rnacentral:lncRNA from 1 species
CUCCAAAACUCCUGUACCAGCUCCGGCGCCUCAUGCUCCGGCUCCGGCUCCAACUCCCAUCACCACACCAACCCCAGCACCUGCCCCUUCUACCACUAAAACCCCCUCCCCUGCACCCUCUGUGGUUUCACCCCCAGCACCUACCCCAGAAGCCGGCACUUCUCCGGAAGCCAGCACUCCUGGGGCAGCCGGGCCCUCGGCUGAGGCACCACCUUCACCAAGUGGCUCCUCCCUUCAGGGUUGGGCCAGCAGGGCCGUUAUUGGUGGAACUGCGGUCAUUGGAACACUCAUCGCCGUGGCUUUGAUGUAAGAGCCACUGGGGGGACACGUGGAGGCUCAUUGACGUUUAGAUCUGCACUUCGAUUCUUAUGGACGGUUGAGAUUUAUUUAUUUUCACCUUUGUUGCAUUGAGUAGUAUUUUUCUUUUCCUUUUUUUUUUGUUAUUUUGGGAUAUAUUUGUCUUGUUAUUAUUAUUUUUUUCCAUUUGUUCUCACAUUCGGGGAUUUGACUUAUUAGGCCCGAUCAUUUGUGUUGAUUAUUCGGGUGAUACAUGACUCUUGUGUUGAUACUUUCAUAUUUCUAGAUGAGUCCCGUGUACAUGAAAUAAUUUUUAUUCAAUGGAGUUCCUAUUCUUUUCAAUAAUUCAUCGGUUUUGGUCUCUUUUUCCACAUCCUACCUUUUGUCCCACUCGACUGGAAAAACUGAAAUGCUAAACCAAAAAGUCGUUUACUAGUCAAUCAAUGCCAUGUAAAAGCUUCUAAUUUUCUGUAUUCAAAGGAAGACAUAAUUAAGUAAUGCAGUGCCCUAUUGGUUGUAAUGCUACCAUUUUCAAGGGAAAUGAAUGGCUGUAGAAGCCCCUCGGGGUCAGCUCAGCCGGUGAGGCCAUGGGGUAAUCCUCAUGGUGGCACAGGUUCGAGUCUGGCCUCACAUACCGCCUGGGUGCUCUUGGGGGCGGGUACUUCAGGCGCAGAAAAUUAGUCGGGCUCCGUAAGGAUUGACCCGGACACCCCUGUGUUGAAAAAAAAAAAAAAAAAAAGAAUGGCUGUAGAAUGUGACCAAAUUGUUGAAUAUGUGCUGGUUCUAGCAUAUUGGCCGGACCAAAAUAAUGGGAGUGUAGGAUCAUUAUUAUUAUUCACUAGCAGGGUGUUGAGGAUUCUUUAUCAUAUUGCUAACUUUGCCUAGCCAGAGAUGGGCAUCUUCGGCUGGUGCACAAUGCAAAGAUGCCCACUUGAUAGAAAAGGGCCAAAGUUAUUUGCAAGAAAGAAUAUAGCAAAAAGGAAGAGCAGAAGGAAUCCUAAGUUAGAUGCUAAUUAUUUACUGUUUGCAAUAUAUGAUAUGGUUAACCUUUUUAAACGUCAAACAUAUGGUUUUGGAAAUGCAGUACCUUUGACAUUGUAAGUGUUGCAAAAAUGUCAGUAUUGUCUUAAAUUGAACUUGGCAAUUACUUUGGUUAAAGGAAUAAGGGUUUCUAAUUUAUUAGUUUGCAGUAUAUUGUAGUCCAUACUAAUACCAAAUCUCCUUGCUUAAAAUCGAGUGCUCAAUUUUAUUCUUUCAUUUUCAUACUAAAAUUUAAGUGAAUAUUGUGCUUUGUUAUUUAACGUAUAGUAGUAGUUAGUUGCCAGCGAUUGAGGCCUGCGGCCACAUGACCCACCGACGGUGCCUUUGCUGGAAAAGGUGGAAAUUUUUGAAGGCUGGGUUUAUUUUUUCAGAAAUGAAUAAUGGUUUUUGGUGCUUUUAGUGGCAAGUGGUACCUUAAAAUAUUGGGCAUAGCUUUCUGGUCGAUUUGGACAUCUAAACUUUCUCCAGAAUGCAAAAGAUUUUGAAAAGGAGUAGUGGAUUAGAAUAUUGGCCAUUAAAUCUUUAGAAGAAAGGUGCAAUGCUGACAAUAUGAACCUGGUGAAUUAUUAGAGCUUUAAAUUUUCUGCCAAGCUGCAGGUUUAAUUCAAUCGCACAUCUUCUCCUUGGGUGUAUUUUAUCAGUGUUUUUAACCCAAAAAAAAAAAAAUGUUCCAAUUGAUCAAAGCAGGUGGGUCAAAAACUUGUCCAUUUUUUGGUGCAUUUAGCUUAAGCUACUUCAUAAUAUCAGAAAAAGUGUCAAUGUUGAAGACAAAAACCAACUAAUAUUAGUUUUUGUGAUUUUUUUUUUGGAUGGUUGUGAUAUAAUCUUUAUCAAAAUUUAAGUCUUUACAAUCUUUUGGUAGUUACAUUUUCACCACGUUUAGACAAACUAUAAUCUUUCAAGUGUAAAUCACUAGGUCAGUUCAGUGGUCAGAUCAGGUGAAAACUCUUAGGGUCUUUUUCGCUGUGACAAUUGGGUGUGGUAGGGUAUUAAAAAAAAAAUUGCUCUGAGCAUAUUCAAUGUUUUUUCCAUCUUUCAAUGGAAUUUAUAGUUCAGUUUUUUUUUUUUUUAAAUUGCGAUUAAUGGGUCAAAAAGAUCAAAUCAAGCGCUAGUCAGCUGACUGAUCUUGUGAAGGCAUUGUGUAUGAAUUUUCUCUCUUGUCCCUUUUCUAUUUCAAGCGAAAAAUGAUCUCUUUAUAAUGACACUUGCCUUGGAUUAAAAUUAACAUGUAAGGGUGAUAUGAUAACAUUUACCAGCUGCCCAAAAGAUUAAAAAAAAAAAAAACCCUUUCUUCCCCACAAAGGCUCUCUCUCUCUCUCACACACACAUAUAUACACAAACACACACAAAAAAAUAUUUUUUUUCCAAUAGCAUCACAUGUGCGAUUGGUUUUUGGUCCAAAAUUAAAGAUAUUUUAAUGCUUCUUGUUUUGAUAUAAAUGUUUCUUAAAACAGUGAAAAGAAAUCUUUUUACUCAUGGAGGACGACUGUAAUUAGUGAUUGCAUCCCUACUUCCUACACUCUUUACCGAGGAACAUUUAAUUUCAGCAAGCAUUUCUCUUGCCUUGAAUUCAGUAACCUAGCAAAAAGAAUUCUCUUUUGAGGGAUAGUAAUUGAUUGCAUUCUAGAACGAUAUCUGGCCUACUGGCUCGACACUCCAAAAUAUGGUGGUUGAAAAACCUCUCAUAGAAAUCAAACUUUCAAACCACCCCACCCCACCCCCUUUCUGAAGAGGGUCGGGUUGAAUAGUAAAAUGAAAGAAAUGAUAAAUAAGAAAUUUUGAAUUCAAUCUCUUGAUCACAAAAGAUUAUUAUAAAAAAAAAACUAUCCUUGCCUAACAAAAAAAAAAACUUCCUUAAAUGCAAAUUGAUCAACUUCUUGAUAGUGUUCUUUCAUUAAAAUUCUUUGACUCUAUCUUGCUUUCUUUCUUUUUCUUUUUCUUUUUCUUUGCUCUUGGUGUGGAGUCUUAUGUGCCGUGUUUCUUUUUUUUUUUUUCCAACAAACGAUAUCAUGUUAUAGAUAUUAACACUUGACCUUACAAGGAUUAGUUACAAAAAGGGGAUACUACCCUCAUCUCUUGUCCUAGCUAAUUCAGUCAGCCAUAUUGGGAAAUCAUUUUCCCAUUCAAUAUCAUGUACAACCUUCACAGCAUAUGUGCCGUGUUUCUUACUAUCUUCAUUUAGGUCAUCAAAUUGAAGGUAAGACACUGGAUCUAGUUUGUCAUUAGCACCUUUUCAAAUGCGAGUUGUCUAGCAUAGAAUUUCAGGAUAUGAUAAGUUCAGUUAGAUGCAUUGCCAUUAAUUUAUCUGAUGAGUGAAUAACGUUUUGAUUAUAUUCCUUUAAAUGAAAGAGGCAAACCAAGUGCAGAUGGACAAUAUAUAAUGCAGUUGAAGUUUGACAAAAAAAAAAAAAAAGUGCAGAUGGACAAUGAUAGCAUAGAAAAAGAAAAGAGGAAAUAAAUUGUAUUAUUUCAUUGAAAUAACGUUUAAUUCUUGAAGUAUUGUACCUUUUUUUUUUUUGAAAGGAAAUUCCAACCUUUACAAAUGGAAAAGGAAAAGAUAAGGGUUUUAGCAACAAGUUAGAAAAUCUUACGAUUAAUUUUAUUUACAUUGACGGUAUAUAUACAUUAUCAUAGUUAAAUGUAUGACAUACAUAUAUACAAAAUUUAGAUUUUAACCUAAAUUUAAAUCAGUUAUCGUGCAUUUAACAAUAAUACUAUGUACAAUGUUAGUUUAUAGAAAAUAAAUUAUUAAUUUUUCUACUGCUGAGUUAGGUGUGUUAUGGAUAGCUUUUGAAGUAUUGGAUGGUAAGGGGCUUGAGGCACUUGUGCGACUCUGAGCUUCUCUUUGGGUUGGCUGAUGUUUGUCCAUUUUGGAUGUUUGUAAUACUGACUAGUGACUCCAAAUCUUUUGGGCGGACGAAAUGGACAUGGGGCUUAGUUAAUUUGAUUGCGGCAAAACUCAUGAAGGUAGUGUUUGGGCACUAUCAAAGACUUCCAACAAAAACUUCUAUUGUUUUUUUUUUUUUUUAAUUUUGACUGUAACUUUUAUUGAUAAGCAGGAAAGAGCUUACAAAGGUCAUACAACUAGCAACUCCAACCAAAACUGCAAAAACUACCAAUUCAAAGACAUAAUUUAACCAAUCUUUUGUUUUGUCUAUAAAAUACAAAGCAAAGAAAUCAAUAAAAAUGAUCUAUAGCAGAGAAAUGCGUAUCAGAAUACUUUAAUUAUUAAUCAACAUUCAAGAGAAAUAUCGAAUAAAGCAUGUCUUUGUCAUGUUGAAGAGGUGGAUAUUACAAUAAUAAUAAUAAUAAUAAUAAUAAUAAUAAUAAUAAUAAUAAUAAUAAUAAUAAUAAUAAUAAUAAUAAUAAUAAUAAUAAUAAUAAUAAUAAUAAUAAUAAUAAUAAUAAUAAUAAUAAUAAUAAUAAUAAUAAUAAUAAUAAUAAUAAUAAUAAUAAUAAUAAUAAUAAUAAUAAUAAUAAUAAUAAUAAUAAUAAUAAUAAUAAUAAUAAUAAUAAUGUAUAAUGGAGAGAACAGUGGAUGAUGACCAGUCAAUCAAGUCGACAAAAAUAAGAAUUGUGCUUGGCAGAGAUUUGAUGCUUGAUCGAUGCUCGGGGACAAAGAAACCCUCGUGUAGCUGAUUCAAGGCUUAAGAGAUUGACAAAAUUGGACUUUCGAAGGUGGUCUCUAAAUUAAAUCGUCCACUCUGACCUGAUUUUAUCAUUUUAUUAUUCUAUCCCAUAAUUGAUUUUGUACCACGGUUUUUCAUUAUUAUGUUAUUUUUUGAUAAUGAAAAGAAUUAACUUGCCCAAAUUUAUGUCGAGCAAGUUGGGGGAGGGUUGAAUUUUGUGAUAAGUUGAGAGAAAUUAUAAAUAAGAUACCUGAAUCAAAACUUGCCACUUAAAAAAAUCCAGCAAGUUUCAUGAUCACCUAAUAAGCUCUUAUGGCAUUCUAGUGAUGUACUACAAAUAUUUUAUGAUUCUUAACCUCACAUGGCAUCUAAAAAUCUAAAUAAAUAAAGAGAAAAACAGGAAAAAAAGUCUUAAUUAUUCAACUGUCUAAUAUGGCAAAUACCAAUUCUCCGCACUAAACAUUAAAUCAAUAUCAUACAUCAAAGAAAUAUGAUCAAACUUCGAGUACGUGCUGAUCAACAAAAUCAUGGCCUACAAUUUGUUACAAGUGGACCGCAAGCUCCUUGACUCCUAAAGAAAGAUAUAUGGAUGUGGUGGAUGGCACUGACCUUUUUGCUAACUCAAAUGAUAUGACUGGAAUCAAUUGACUCAAAGAGACGAGGCAAAGUGCAAGCAUCCAAUAUCAAGAAAUUUUUAAUUUUUUUUCCAUUUUAGUCUUGAUAGAUUUAUGUGUGUAUAAGCCUAUCGAAUCAGAAGGUAAUGAAGUACUUUUUUUUUUUUGUCGAAACGAUAGAUGUCCUAUAACCUAAUCUAGUCUAGUCUAAGGGGAAGGGGAGGGGGUUCGAUAUGAGUACAAACUCCAUCGAUAAAGGUCAAUUAAGACCGCCACAAAUUGUGGCAGGCAGGGAUUGAACCCCUGACCUCCAGCAUCACCUUUAAUGGUGAUGACCACCGGACCAAAUGGCCAGUGGCAGAAGGUAAUGAAGUACUCUUACCAUAUUAUCGCCGCACAAGUGCUAUCUUGUCUCCAGCUUAUUCAUAUUGCUGUAGAAGUACUUAGUCAUAGUAAUGGAGGAUACAACAACACCAUUGUUAGAAAAUUCAUGCUCCCUUAUUAAGUCAAAGAGUCAAGAAAAUGGUGGAGAUGAAAACUUUCCAGAUAAAGUUUGGCAUGAAACAAAGAAGCUUUGGCGAAUAGUUGGCCCUGCAGUCUUCAGUCUUCUUGCUUCAUACUCCAUGCUCGUCAGUCGUCAUCACCCAAGCAUCUGCAGGCCACCUAGGUGAACUUGAGCUGGCUGCUAUGUCUCUUGCCAGUAAUGUCAUUCUUGGAUUUAACUUCAGCUUCAUGGUACAUAAAAACUGCUUCCCUCCACUAAAUUUCUCUCUUUUAGGAUAAUUUGACAUCAUAAUUGUAAUAAAUACAAGGUGCAAUUAACUAGAACACAAAAUUUUAUGGAAAUGUUGUUUCAUAAGGGUUCUUGAUACACGCCUGUCUGACAAAAUUGAGCCAGUUUAGCAUGUCACAUGUACCUUAAUAAACGUGUUAAAUAUAGACAAAUUCUUGAACUCUAUGAGGAUUAUCUUUUGUAUCCCUGAAAUUUUUUGAAUUCGUCCAUGUAAUUAUGGAUUUUCAGUUGGGAAUGGCAAGUGCUUUGGAAACUCUAUGCGGACAAGCAUUCGGGGCAAAGAACUAUCCUAUUUUAGGCGUAUACCUGCAGCGUUCUUGGAUUGUUCUCUUCUUGUGCUCCGUUCUAAUGUUGCCCGUAUACAUUUUCGCUACGCCAAUCUUGAAGCUUUUGGGGCAGCCCCAACAAGUAGCUGAGCUUUCUGGGAUUGUAUGCUUGAGUUUCAUUCCACUUCAUUUCGGCUUUGCAUUUCAAUUUCCCCUUCAGAGGUUUCUGCAGAGUCAGCUGAAGAAUAAUGUGAUCGCUUGGGUGAAUUUCGUGGCUCUGAUUUUGCAUUUGGCAUUGAGUUGGUUGGUGGUGUUUAAGCUAAGGCUUGGAUUGGCCGCCGUUUCCCUUGUCUUGGGCUUUUCUUGGUGGAUUGUGGUGUUUGGUUUGCUUGGUUAUACACUAUGUGCUGCAUGUCCUCAGUCGUGGACUGGAUUCUCAUUUGAAGCAUUUUCUGGUCUAAGGCAAUUUCUUCAACUAUCUGUAUCUUCUGGUGUCAUGAUAUGGUAAGAACUUUAUUUCUCUAAUUUUUCUUGUUUCUUUGGGUUUGGGAACGUUCCUGACGAUCUACAUUUUAGUAUUUUCUAUUUAUGUUUCAUUUUUGAAACAAAAAUGCAUGACUUUUUCUUGAACAAAUGUUUGUCACGAUCAAAUGACGCAUAACUAGGACAGUUGUUGCCCGAUUCUGUUCCCAUUUGAUAUGAGCCCAAAUUUGUGAAAGGAAGUAAACAGGACAACGUUUUGCUUGUUAAGUAAUUACUCCGUUGACUCCAAUUUUCUUGGAACAGCUUGGAGAACUGGUACUACCAGAUCCUGGUAGUGAUUACUGGAAAUCUUGCCAAUUCAGAAUUUGCUUUUGAUGCUUUAUCCAUAUGGUAAGCAAGUUGUGCUAAGCUUCUACCUCAAUCUUACUUUUACUAUUCACCACGCUCAGUUUUUUUUCAUCAGUUUGGUUGUUGGAUUCCUUAGCAUGAGCAUCAACGGCUGGGAAAAUAUGAUUCCUAUUGGAUUCUUCUUUGGAAUAGGGUAAAUUCUGUUACUUUUUUUUGGGGGUUUUUUUGGAUUCACCUGAAUUGAAUUUCUGUCAAUCAUAAUAGUGUCUGCCAAUUAAAAGUGACAAAUUGUUUUUUCAAAGGGGUGUUACAGAGUUAGGGUUGCAAAUGAGUUGGGAGCAGGAAAUGGAAGAAAAGCCCAGUUAGCAACCAUAGUAGCAGUGACAGAAUCAAAAUUGCUAGGCCUAUUCUUUUGGGUGUUUUUCCACAAUGAAAUUGCACUUGUAUUCACAACCAGCAAACCAGUGCUGGAAGAAGUCAGCACACUCUCAAUACUUUUGGCCUUCACUGUUCUCCUCAAUAGUGUUCAACCAAUUCUUUCAGGUAAUUAAUUAGCACUAAUUAAUUGCAACAUUUCAUCACUCUCUUCAUUUUUAUUUUUCUUUUAACAUGCAGGGGUUGCUGUUGGAUCUGGAUGGCAGUCAUAUGUGGCAUGCAUAAAUUUGGGCUGCUAUUAUCUGAUUGGAGUACCACUUGGAGUAUUGAUGGGUUGGGUUUUCAAGCAAGGAGUAAUGGUUAGUCUCCAAUUUGCAUACCUUUCUUUAAAGAAAUUGUGCUACUUAAUUUCCCAAAGUUCUUUUCCUUUUGCAGUAUAAUAUUGUUAUACUAACAGUUCAGCGUAUAUAAGGUUUAUUCGUAACAAUAUUAUCGUUUUCUAUCUAUUUUAGUAAAGAAAAAUAAGAAAGGGAUUCAUUGUGUACUAAUGCACGUGUCCAUCAGAGAGAUGGUGAGAUAAAAGGAAAUUAGAAAGAAUUACUUAUGCUCACUCAGUGUAAUUUAGCUUAAAACCUUACUACCUAAAAUCUAAUUUCAGAUAUCCAUUUUUUUAAAUCAUAAUUUAUAACAUUUCUUUGUUUUUUCUUUGAAAUUGAUUUGAUUGGAUUCGUUUUAGGCGAAUAACUAGUUUUUGCCACACUGAUAUAUGAAGGGAAUCUGGGCUGGAAUGAUUUUUGGUGGAACUGCAGUUCAAACAUUCAUAUUGGCCAUCAUUACCAUUAGAUGCAACUGGGAGAAAGAGGUACAAAUGCUGCUAUAUUUUUGUGUAAUUCUUUUCCCCUAAAAUCCUAAUAGUAGAAAUGAACAAUUUCAUUAGCUUUUCUGUUGAUUCAAACGCAGGCGAUCAGGGCAAGUUUGCAUGUGGAGAAAUGGGCACAUAUUGGUCCCUAAGCAUAUAGGUUAAAUUAGGGCAGAAAUUUAUGGGAAAAGAAAGAUAUCAUCGGAGAGAGUGAUCCCAGGGCACGAGGGCAAUAGCAGAAAUGGCAGUCUUGGUUUCUUGACAGAAGGCCCUUAACAAUAAGGCAAUGCCUUGGGAAAAUAAUAAUAUACAAUAAGACAAUGCCUUGGGAAGCGAAGAAGUAUAGUGGCAUUACGCCAAAAUCUCAGACUCUGUUGAAUCUCUUUGAAACUUUUAGAGUGAAUGGUCCAAAAGGUCACUAAAAUAUUAAAAAUGGCAUCAUCUGAUCAUCAAACCUUUUUUGUGGCCAAAAAGGUGACUAAACUCGCAAAAACUCUCCAUCAGAGUUAUUUUACCGAAUUUCAGCGGUUCCUCGUCCGGUGGAAUGGGCAAUGUGGAUUGGAGAAAUAUAGUCAAGGGGCAAAAAUGUCUGAAAGGUUAUUGGAAUAGGUGAAGCCAUGGAUUGUCUCAUUCACAAACCAAGUUUGAACCCAUAGAUUGAAAUAGUCUUCUCUGCGGUAAAAAAUAGUGACUUUGUCCGCCUGUAAACCAAAUCAAAACAGCAAAUAACGAGUAUUUACAGCCUAAACCCAUCUCAAAAAUAAGAGCAGCCGAGGAAAUUGUGAAGCUGGUGAUUUCAAUGGACUGGGUAAAGCGACCAGGGAUGAGUUGGAAUCUAGAAGGUACUAUCCUGAGAAUCUAGACGGUUUCACCUGAACUGUUAAAAGAAGAUCUAAAACCAAUUUGAUAGCCGCCGGCCGGAAUUUCAUCUCCUGCGGGCGUUCAACUAUUUCAUUAUUUGGAUCUUCUUUUACCAUUCCCUCUCCCAAGCAAAACAGGUCGAAAUCCAACUUCAAAUUCCAAAAACCCUUUCUCCAGAAUCGCCAAAAGCUCGAUCUUUCUAACCUUAAACCCUCGAUUUCUUUUGCUGCAUCUUGUUGUUUGAAACCUGUAAUGUGCAAACUAUGAUGUCUUGCUCCAAUAUAUCGACAACGGUCUCCUUAAAACCUUCAAUUUGUGACCCCUCUUCAAUUUCUUCCUCAUCUCAGCUCAACCCCCAUCGCAUAUCAAAUUAUCAAACAAUUACAGAUACAAAAAGGUUUGAUGUUUAUCAUAUUUCGAGAGUGCCCCUUUUUCAAAUGGCCACCGUGAGCUCAGGGAGCGGAUGGAAACAGUAAAAAACACCCAAAAAGUGACAGAAGCAAUGAAGCUAGUUGCAGCUGCAAAAGUGCGGAGAGCCCAAGAAACAGUAAUCAAUAGCAUACCAUUUGCAGAGGCCAUUGUUGAAGUAUUGUUCAAUAUCAAUGAGCAGCUUCAGUUGGAUGAUAUAGAUGUUCCUUUAACAAAUAUUAGGCCAGUCAAGAAAGUUUCGGUUUGGCUAUGCAAUCUUUCACUGUUGAUCUCUUCUAUGAUUCUAUCCCAAGCCUCUCAAUUCCAAAACUUUUGAAUUCGUUCAAUGUGCUUUUUUGGGUUUUGCAAUUCUCAGGAUAGUACCUUUCGGCCAUUUUUGCCCCUUUACUAUAUUCCUCCGCUCCACAUUGCCCAUGCCACCGGAUGAGGAACCGUUGAAAUUCGGUAAAAUGACUCCGCUGGAGAGUUUUUGCGAGUUUAGUGACCUUUUCGAUCACAAAAAAAGUUUGGUGACUAGAAGGUGCCAUUUUUAAUAGUUUAGUGACCUUUUGGGCCAUUCACUCAAACUUUUAACUUCCCUGUCACAUUUGUCAAGCAAAUUGUACUGAAUGAUUUUCAGUAUAUUAAAUAAUAAAAAUAACUUCUUUAUCCGAAAAAAAAAGGAGGCAAAAUAUCUCAAAUGAUUGAAUUGUAGAAAAAAUAUUCUUCAAUAGAAUACAAGCACUAGUACUCGCACCAUGCAAAUGAUACUUUGAAACACUGUUAAUCGAAUUAAACUAGCACAUAGACAAAACAAUCUGUAGAAGCUGUUCAUUUAACAAUUGGUUGGCCAUAUUAAUGUAUCAAAAUUUAAUUGUACAAGGAAAAAAAAAGGGCAGAAUCUGUUGGUGUAUGCAUUUCUAUAUCUUUCAUGGAUACUUCGAGGCUUGGAGCAUUUUUCAAGAAACUCGUAAACAAAACUUCUAUUUCUGUUUGGUUGACGUUCUUUCUCAUUUCUGUUGACUCAACACAUUGCUAAUCAGCUACUGCAAAUGAAUUGGAACUGCAGAUGAAUUGAAAAAUGAUCUCUUUGCCAUUUGGUAAAUCGAAAGCCGCAGAAGAAAGAAUGUUUCUAAGCGGGCAAAAAGAUGGGGAAAAAAAAAUUAACAGAACGCCAUUUUCACCCCCAACUGGAGAGAAACUCCCUCAAACACAUAAACACAUACAAACAGUCAAAAUAAACAGCAUCGACCAUUAUGCAAUUGGUUUUGGACUUUUGGUACAAAAUUAAGAGAUAUUAUUAUGUUCUUGAAAUGUGAAUAUCUUUUUAUUUUUAGGUCGAUUCUGAUUACUUCCAUUCCUACUUCUUUACAUUCAAGACACGCACAAAAAAAAUGAAAAAACAAAAAAAGGAGAAAAACAGAGAGCCCAUUAACAUUUGCAAGCAAAACGUUCUCUCUAUUACUCAGUUUGUACCUUUUGCCUCGAAUUCAGAAACAUUGCAUAAAUAAUUUUCUUUUUUUUUUUUUUGGGGUCCUGCUCUUUUUGUUCUCUUUGAUUCUCCGAUAACUCCUUGUCUCAGUUAUCAACUGACUCGGUUUUUCCUUUCACAGUAUGACAAGAUAUGGAAAAAGAGGAUCUCCCAGUUGCAGUCCCCUCUUUGGCCUCAUUGAGUGCAACUUCUCCUUACUCAACAAAAUUUCUGUGCUGUCUGUGCUUAAAAAGUUGAAAAUGACUGUCGCUUUUAACUGUUUUUGUUUUGUAUUGCUAUUAUUGCCUUUUCUCCGGAUAAGAUCACCUUCAAAAUUGAUCGCAUCCUAUGUUUAUUGGGGUUGGCUUCUACCAUCAGUGCUGUUCAGUUAAAAGGUGAUCAAAAUUCAGCAAUAGCAUGCUGGUUUACAGUUCGUUCUGUCGCUCCUACACAGGUUCUUCCUGUUCGUUGGAUUCCGCCAUCCAAUGGGUUCAAAUUGAACACGGAUGCAAGUGUCAAAGAUAGAAUGACAACGGGUGCUGGUUUAGUGCGGGGACUGUAUUAAGAGUUUAUUUUUGCAUUCUACAAAAAAUUCAGGGGACAUAGAUAUGUUAUCAGCAAAAGCAAAGGCCCCAUUGUUUGGCUUGAUUCAAUGCUCUGUUCGAGACUUCUCCAUUUAAUCAGUUGAGGUGGAUUCACAAACUUUGGUCCAUCUCAGCAAUUCAUCUUUUUUGUAUGGUUCAAAGUCGCGGUCGUAUUUUGAGCUGUUCCACAUCGAUCUCGACAUAUUGAUCGCAGUUUUGUCAAUACGCAAAUUUUAAAACAUUUAAUAUUUUAAAAAUUAUAAAUAAUAUAAUAAAUAUAAUAAAUAAAAAUUAAAAAAAAAAUUAAUAAUAAUUCGAGUUGACUCGAGAUGAUUCAAUCGUUUCUAUCCGUCUCGGAGCUGUCUCGGUCAAGUUUUUUGGUGAUUCGGCCGAGUUCUUGAUGAUCCAUUAUUUCGAAAUCAUCUCGUCCCGAUAUCGUUUCGAAGAGUUCCGUUCCGGUAAUAUAAAAAAUAUAAUAAUAAAAAAUAAUAAAAAUUCGAGUUGACUAGAGAUGAUUCGAUCGUUAUUAUUGGUCUCGAAGCUGUCUCGGCCAAAUUUUUUAUGAUUCGGUCGAGUUUUUGAUGAUCAGUUAUUUCGAGAUCAUCUCUCCAACGACAACUGGACUGAGUAGUCUAGGAUUCGGCCGAAUCUUUGAGCGAUGCUUUUCAACUACGUAGCCUUUAUGUUUGAUUCUGCAAUAUGUCUUACAUGUCAUGUCAACUGUGACAGUGCACGUGUUUAGGAAGGCAAAUGUUGCAACUGACUAGCUGACUUUUUUGGGCAUGGCUUCUCAGCAGUUUUUUAUGUCACUGGCUAAAAAUUGUUUGCAUUAUAAAUUAUUUAAAAUAUUUUUACUGAAAUAUUUUUUAUGAUGUGAUGUAUGUGAGAUAAAAAGAUAAUUGAGAAAAUAAAAAACUGUAUUGAAAAUUAUAAUGAUGAUGUAAAUAAAUAUAUUUGAGAAAAUAACCCACUAUCCAAACAAACUUGUGCUCAUGGAUUUUUAAACUUUAGAUCAAUUUCUGCAAGGGAGUAAGUACUACUUGUAUAUGGAUUUUUUUUAAUGUAUUAGAGGUUUUGGUUUGGUCCCCCUCCAUUUGUUUAUUUAUUUUGAUGUUAAUAAAAAAAAUAAAUAAAUAAAUAAUUCCUCAUUUUUUUUAAUUUUUGGGAUUAAAGAAUUCAUACCCUAAAGAAUGCACCUGAUGCAAUUUCAUGCCACAUGAAGCACUUUCUCACGGUUUGACCUGUUUUCCUACCAGUUUGGUACGAAUUUGAUCAAUAAAUGGUUAGUCAAUUUUUAAAAAAUAUAUAUACAGAGUAGUAUGAACAAAAAAAUUGAAACCGUGGAAGAAACACAGCCAGUUUUUAGCAGAGUCAAGAUCCUUUUUGAAUGUUUAGAAGGCAGCAUAAGGAAGAUAUGGGAUUUUUUAUUCCAACAAUUUGCAGUUUGUAAUUGAAUAUCUGGAUAAAUAGCAAUUUCAACACCAUAACAUAAAUAAACGCCUCAUAUUUCCUCCACUAAUUGAAGCCAUUUAGCCACUCAAAUUCCCUAAUCAGUCAAUCAAUCCAAGUGAUAUGAUGCUAGCAACUACCUUUGUCUAAUUGUCUUCUUUUGGUUGCACACACACACACUAUACACAUUAGGUAGAUUAUGGAAGUACUCUCCUUUUUUUGAUGAUAUAAACUUUUUGAGUGGAAUUAUGAGGUGGAGAUGAAGAGUCCUCUUUAUUAGUUUUGUAAUGAGUGUUCAAUUAUUCCCGUAUCAUUUCAAUUCCAUCUCUCCUUUUUGGGGGUAAACCGCAACUUUUAUUAAUAUAAUAUGGCAGAAAAAACAGUCACCAGCAGAAGCAAUCUGCUCAACUCAUACGAGCGCAACUGAAUCAGUUUAUCAACUAUCAUCAUCUCUAUCACUAACACUAGGAACAGAAGCAACUCUUUGUUUAUACAAACACUCAACUGCUCAAAAGUUUGUGUUGAUCCCUCUUUCCCUCAUCUUCCUUUCAUAGAGAUUGUUUUUUUUUUCUUUUUCUAAUAAAUAAGUGUAUUAAAAAAUUUAGAAAGUGGGACUUUGAGAGCAUUUAUUAAAAAUGGGCAUGCAAUAUUUAAUGAUCAUGUCCUUUCUUCUUCAUUUUUUCUUCAUGAGCAAUCAAAUAAUUUGAAAACCACAAACACGAGGACCACCACACAAAUCGACCAAAUUUUGACAAACAUAAAUGAGCCCGUGAGCGAUUGAAUAAUUCUAAUCAUGAUCAUCGUCUUGUAUUUAGCUAGGGGUCCAAGCUACUAGGGGACUGUUUGGGAUUAACCUUUAAGAAUGAUGGACUUGGAAAUAAAAAUCUGGACUUGAAAGCACAAUGACAAGAGGUUGACAUGCACUUUCUGAUGAUUUAUUAUGCCGUCUUGGCAGCAAUUUACUGCUAUACUACUUUUCCACAAUCUGACGUGGCAAAUUUCCAUCAUAAUCUUCUCAUCUUGCAACUCAAAGUUUGACGGAGGAAAUUGUACCCCGUACGUUGCUGUGUUUUUGGCUCAUGCAUGCAGUUCCGGCUGGUACAGUAGGACUGCGACGCUUUGACGGAAUUGCUUUCGUAAUCGCUUACGUAAAAUGAACAAAUGACAAAUCUUUAAAUUCGUGGCCCCAAUGAUUGAUUCAUUUAACCUUUUGAGUCCAAUUGAAAAGGGGACAGGGAGAAAGAACGGCAGCUUAUAGUCGGUCUCGCAAGAAUUGAUCCGGUAUCGAUAACAAAAAAAAAACCAUUUAAUUAACCAUAGAAUGCUUUUUUUUUUUUUCAUUAGAUGCCAUGUUCAUAAUGGUACCAGAUGUUCAAUCUCUUUUUGGUUAUCAGAUUGAAGAACAUCUUACUCCACACAAUUUUUUUUUCUUUUAAAUUUCAAAUAGAGGUGUUUCUUUUACUUCUUCAAAUACUUGUCGUGUAAAAAGAACAAGCUCGCAUCUUCUUUUUCAUAAACUAAUUAGUAAGUUUUUCCUGCACAAUACGAAAUUAAGAAAAAAGAUAUCGUAUUCCAAUUUUCUUUUAGUACUUGCAUCAAGUUUCUUUUUAUACAUUGAAUUUAGUCAAUCCAACUGCGGGCACGUUUCAGUAUGACUUCUUAUUGUAAACUACACAUGUGUAAGUGUAACCCAAGGUUUAAAAACAAAACAAAAAAAAAAAAAAAAGAAGACUAUAAGGCAUUUAAUUUAAGGAAGUUUUUGGAAGCAUCCAAAAAAUUGGUUUACUUUUCCCCUUUAGAGAUGGCAACAACCGCGUAUACCCAUCACCUGCCUUAUAUAUAUAUAUAUAUAUAUAUAUUUAUUAAUAUCAAAUUAUGUAUAAGUAAUGUAAUUAAUAUUAUUAGUUAUACUACUAAUUAUACAUUUAUACUAAUACUACAAAUUACUGAUUAGUUAUGUUAACAUACUUAUACUAAUUACACUUUUAGUCUUUUACAUUUGAUAAAUUUCUAUUGUUAGAAAGUUAUUAAAAUGAUUCAAAGUAUGGACUCGGAUGCAUCAGAUUAUGGAAUGCUUAUGGAUGAUAUUCUCAUAGGUAUACAAAACUUUGCAACCUGAGAAGCAUCAUGAAUGUCUAGAAAAUUGAACAAUGUUGCUCAUUAUUUUGCUAAACAUGCUUGUUCUAUUUCUGAUGAUUGUAUGUGAAGGGAUUUUCUUCCAAAUUUUAUUCUAACUGCACUUGCUGUGGAUAUUAUUCAUAUUAACAAAAUUUCUAUUAGCCCCCGCGAGUGACUGAGGAAGGGGUGUGCGUGACGAGCGGUGAAGUGGGAGUGGGGAAAAUGUUUGGACAACGAGGCGAGGGAAGGGUCCCGGCCCUACGUCCACCGCGUUGCCAUUCCUAUUUUUCUUGAUUUAUGCGAUGAUUCAUUUUACUCUUUUUUUUUUUUUUUUGAUAAUAGAUUGUAUAGAGAAGAUAAAAUCAGCCAACGUAAUUGGACUGAGAAACAGAAGACAAAUGGCACGGCAUAAUUGACUUCGUGCAGACCAAGCAAAAGUUGGUAGUGGUUGUUUUUCUCCUGAUGGAUACAGAAAGGAAAAAAAAAAAAAGAGAGGUAUUUACUUCUUGUAGAACAAGGAAAGCUGGAUUGAGGUGGGCGCUACAACUCGAGGAAAUCACGUGUACAUUUCAUCUUUCCAUUUCCACCCGUCUCCAUGACUCAUUAAUGCCACUAAAUGCUUACAAACUUGUGUUGUCAUUGGAAAUAAAUGGAUGGCAGAUCCUACGACAGCUGUUUGGAUUGUCUCGAAAUUGAAAUUGAGAGAAUUGGAUGCUUAUUAACUCCAUUAUGAGUAUGGAUUCAACAUUCAAGAUGUAAUUGGAAAAUCUAAUACUAGUAGUCAUUCCCGGCUGUAUUCUUUCAACCCAAAAAUUGGAACAAGUAGCCAAUGCUUUGCGAUCUCUGAUAAAAUCAAUUCCAUUCGCGUGCUUUCAGAUUUAAUUCAACUAAUAAGACGGAGGGUUCUUGUUAGGCGCAUGCAACGUAUUACAUAUGGGCCACAAUUUCAUAAUAGAAUUUGGUUUCGUGGAAAAAGCUAGGCCAAGCCUUCCAAAGAAAUAGAAGUACUACUUUGACUGACAGAAAUUUCUUCUGUUUAGGAUGAAGCAUUCCUGGUGAUUUUGGUCAAAAGAGUGGCAAUUUAUUGUGUUACUAAUUUAUUGUGUUACUAAUUUAUUGCUAGUUGCAGAAAUUUGCCAGUUGCCAAGAAGCUUUCGUCUUCUUAUGGUCAUAAUUAUUAUUUCUCACAUAGAUGCUGGUAUGAUUUUAAACCCACGUGUCACUCAAACAAUUCUUUACUCUUAAAAUUUUAUUGUGGCAUUCCUCCCAAAAAAAAAAAAAAUUUAUGGCCACCCAAACAAAUUAAUCCUACGUAAGCUAAUCCAACUUUAGAAAUUUCAUCAAUUUGUUAGGAAAAAUUGGAAUACAACCCGGUAAGAUUGGCGAACAUUUUUCCUUGAUUCCAAAAUUAAAAGGUCCCCUUAUUUGUCGGGAAUAGAGGCGUGUCUAAACUCUAAACAAAACGAAGGAUGACCUCCUAAAGUUUUUUCAACCAUGAGUUUGAGCGCCUGAUUUCUAGGUUUUCAUUUUCUAAUCUUUUUUUUCUUUUAAGUUUAGUUACUCAAAUUUCUCCUAGUGUGAAAGAUUUUCUGUCAUUUUUAAAAAAUAAUUUGAAUGAAAAAAAUGAAAAAAUAGAGAGGUCAAUGGAAAAUAAAAAAGAACCAUUGAGCUAAUCCAUCACCAAAGCCUUAGGGCUCAGUGAGGUGGGAGCUCAGGUUUAAAUCUUGCUUCACAUCGUUUGUCACUAAAUGUGGCAGGCCACUUCAAGUGGCUAUCGGACAACUGUGCAGUACACUCGUUUGGAUCGGUAGGUAAUUUAGUCCUCUCCGAUUUCUUUCUGGACCCCUUUAGGUUUCCCCUCUUUCAUAGUAUAGAAUAGAAUAGAAUACACGUAGGGUCUAUCAUUGUGGGGAAAAAAAAAUGUAAAGUAAAAGAAAGGAGAAAAAAGCUAACAAAAUAACACAAAAAAAAUGCCAAGGGAGGUGGUCAAACAUGUUUGAAAUAAUGGGAAAUUUCUAAGAAGGUUAGUUUAUGGCUAAUUGCAAUAGUUCAUAGACUCUAUUAAUAGCAUAUCUAAGGCUGGCCCUUGUCUCUUGCUCUUCUUGUCUUUGGACUGCCUAAAGAGACCUGGGCAGCGGCGUUCAUACCAAAGAAAAUGUCAAACAACAAAACUACAGCAGAAGCAGAGAAUGAAACAAAAGUCCCAUUACUGGACUAUUCAUCAAAAAGUAUAGUAGGAGAAGAAGCAAAUGAAGAUCAAAGUCUUGCACGCAGAACUUGGAUUGAAUCCAAGAAACUAUGGCGAAUUGUUGGUCCCGCCAUCUUCAGCCGCAUCGCUUCCUACUCCAUGUUCGUUAUUUCCCAAGCCUUCGCCGGCCACCUUGGUGAUCUUGAGCUCGCUGGCUUAUCCAUUGCUAGCAGUGUCAUUUGUGGCUUCGAUUUUGGCCUCUUGGUACUUUUUCUGUGACCAUCUUGAGCUCCCUUCUAAGCCUUGCGUUGCUUGAAAGCUGAAUAAACGAAUAGCUAAAUGAUCCCUAUUUACAAUCGCAGGGACAUCAAAUAUAUACUUGCUAUUACUACUCUCUUCCAUUUCGCCUUUAACCAUAAGUUUGCUCACAUCGUAUUCAGUUCAAGCAGGGCGAUGAAAAGUUGUAUAAACUGUUGCUCAAAUUCUUGUUGGUAUUGGAGAUUCAUACUAGGUUUGAAUCCUCCCUAGAAAUUAGUUUAAUAAACUAACAUGUUACUACUAAAAUUUUUUAUGUACUAGUAUACGUUUUUUAUACUUUUUCUUUCUAAAUAUUCAGCCCUUUGUAUAAAGAUUUGGUGAAUUUUUUUUUCAGCUAGGGAUGGCAAGUGCAUUGGAAACUCUAUGUGGGCAAGCUUUUGGAGCAAAGAAAUACUACAUGUUGGGCGUAUAUUUACAACGAUCGUGGAUAGUUCUUCUCUUAUGUGGAGUUUUCACGUUACCUUUGUACAUAUUUGCAACUCCAGUUUUGAAGCUGCUGGGACAACCUGAUGAUGUUGCUGAGCUUUCUGGGACUGUGGCUUUAGCUUUUAUACCACUCCACUUCAGCUUUACUCUUCAGUUCCCUCUGCAGAGAUUCUUGCAGAGUCAGCUGAAGAAUAAUGUGAUUGCCUGGGUGAAUUUAGGCGCCUUUUGUAUUCAUGUGGUCUUGAGCUGGCUGUUUGUUUACAAGCUCCAUUUCGGAUUGAUGGGGGCUUGCGUUAUUUUGAAUCUUUCUUGGUGGCUUAUUGUAAUUGGUUUGCUUGCUUACGUUUUCUGUGGUGGUUGUCCUCAAACAUGGUCUGGCUUUUCCUUUGAAGCAUUUUCUGGUCUUUGGGAAUUUCUAAAACUCUCUGCUUCUUCUGGGGUCAUGCUAUGGUGAGUCUCCAGUCCUUCUUCUCCUCCAAUUAAGCAUGUUGAUUUCAAAUUUUUAACCAUUAAUUAAAACCCUUUUGAUUCUAUUCUAAUUUCUGAUUAAAAAGUAUAACUGUUUUCAGCCAAGAAGCCUGUUCCAAUUGCUGCAUAUUUGUUUCAAAAACAUAUGCUUUUACAAUUGUUAAUUAAGGCCUACAACCAGCUGUUUUCAUAUGUAAUUAAGGGUCAUCAGAGUUGCUUUUUGGUAAAUUUCAAUUUUGGUUAAUUGUUGCCUCUUCUCAAUUGGAACAGUUUGGAGAAUUGGUACUACAGGAUACUCAUCGUGAUGACUGGAAAUUUGCAGAACGCAGAGAUUGCAGUUGAUGCACUGUCUAUUUGGUAACCCUUUUAAUUUUAUAUGCACUUUGUCCCCACGAGUAGGACUAGUUGCAUUAUUAUAUUAGGUAAUUGUAGUUUUUAUGAUUACCAGAAUCUGCUCAUAUCUUCCAUCCAAUUGCCAAAGCUUCAUUAUCACUUUUGAAUUAUUAAAAAAAAAGAAAAAGAAAAAGCAUCCCUGGUUCCGUCUUCUAUUGAUAUACCAAUUCUUGGUGAACUGAUGAUUCCCGUGGUUUCAACUUUCUUGUUUUUUUAAUAAUUGAAUUGGUCAUCAAUCAUUUUCUUGCCCUGGUUUCCUGUCUGUACUAGAAUGUGACAAGCUUCAGCAUUUGUGUUGCCAGUCAAAAGGUCUUGGAGGAUUUGAGGGAUACCUCCAAAAUAGACUUGAAAGAAAAUUCACAAACAAUUAAACCAAAGCAAACCUACCUUGAUAGGAAUCUUUGACCAAAAAAAAAAAAAAAAAUCUCUAUGCAAUCAAGCCAAUCUCAGUUGUUUUAAAAGUUUAUUGUAGUCAACAUAAAUAAUUCAUACGUACUUAGACAAUAAGUCCAUGAAUAAUAUUAGGGCAUUCGAUACUUCUUGUGGAUUAACAACCUAGCUAAUCAGCAUUGUAUUUUUGUCUAUCAUCUAACCCCAUUCCAGUAAUUUCCAGAUGAGGAUAAAAGAACUAAUAUAACGAAAAAGUUUUAUCCAAGCCAAGCUCCGUGCAUUUUUCAUCACAUUUGUCUUCUUUUUUUUUCUGGUCCUGAUUAUUUUUGUCCCUUUGUCUCCUGCUGGCAGCAUGAACGUCAAUGGAUGGGAGAUGAUGAUUCCUCUGGGAUUCUUUGCAGGAACAGGGUAACCAUAUUUUUCCCAUAAACCACAAAAAUACAUGACUUCAUUUAUGCAUUUUGUUUGUGCAUAAAUUAUAAUAGAUACGACAAAAUUUUGUAAUAUUCAUGACUUCAUUUUAUACUGGUGAUUGGUGCUGAUAUCUGGAGGGUGGUCCUGCUUAUUAGUUCAUAUUUUACGGUCUUUUCUGGUCCCUUCGAUUAUUGGACUUCACCAUCAAUUACAGUCUCUUCUGGUCCUGCUUAUUAGGUCAUGUUUUACAUGGUCCUCUCUGGUGCCUUCGAUUAUUGGACUUCAAUAUCAAUCACAUUAAGCUAGGUUUAUCUGGUAGGAACAAAAAUAACUUGUGACCAGAAAGAUGGUACCCAAUCAGCACAAUUUGUAGGAAGGGGGGAAAAGGGCAAGAAAACUGGAUAAUGUGAGAGAACAAACGAAAGCUUUGCAUUGGCGAUACUUAUUCUUGAUUGUGCAAGAAGCAAAUGUUGCAAACAUUAGUCUGAGACCAAAUAAAUUCAUCUUUAUAACUAAGCUAAUAUGGGUUUUUUUGUGAUGUUUGCUAACAGAGUAAGGGUUGCAAAUGAAUUGGGAGCUGGUAAUGGGAAAGGAGCCAAGUUUGCAACAAUUGUAGCAGUAACACAAUCAAUAGUGAUUGGUCUAUUCUUCUGGCUACUGCUUAUAUUCUUCCACAGUGAAAUCGCCUAUGUAUUCACUACCAGCCCGCCUGUGUUAGAAGCAGUACACCAGCUCUCAAUUCUCUUAGCUUUCACUGUUCUCCUCAAUAGCGUGCAGCCCAUUCUUUCAGGUAUCCACUUUUAAUCAACAUAGCUUCUUUUUUUUUUUUCUUCUUCUAUUAUUUUUUGGCUAUUUUUAUCCUUUCUUUUUUAAUAAAUUAUGACUACUUUUUUUAAAGGAAUUAUGAUUUUUCUUUUUUCUUUUUGGUUAAUUCCUGUUUUAGGGGUUGCUGUGGGCUCCGGAUGGCAAUCAUACGUGGCAUACAUAAACUUGGGUUGCUACUAUUUAAUUGGCGUGCCGAUGGGAUCUGUGAUGGGAUGGGUUUUCCAUUUUGGAGUAAUGGUACGUACACCUCUUAAUGCUUGUGUUGUGUCAACUCAUUGAUGGCUAAUUCUGUAUUUUCAAGUUUUUUUUUUUUUUUUUUUUUUUACUAAAUCUCAAGAAUGAUCCAAGAAAGUAAAAAAAAAAAAAAGAUCCGAAAUGAAAGGGAAACAUUUCAUAUAAAAUUUGAUGUGCAUUUUAGGGUAUAUGGGCUGGAAUGAUUUUUGGUGGAACUGCAAUUCAAACUGCGAUUUUGGCCAUCAUAACAGCUCGGUGUGACUGGGAGAAAGAGGUAUUAACUGCAUAAAAACUUCUGCAAUUAUUCGUGUGAAAUUUUAUUUUCAACGUGUAAUUUCAUAUCUAAUCAAUUAAAUGUUGAAAUUGCAGGCAGAAAAGGCAAAUAAUCGUGUAGACAAGUGGUCCAAACCAAGUCACACUUGAAGCUGUGAACUUGGGCGAUGAUGACGAAAUUUUGACGUUUUGAUUCUUAUAUUUGUAAUAUUAUUUUCCAAUUAACGCAGAAAAAGAGUAUAGUUUAUUAUGAAUUUGAACUAUAUAUCCUGAAAAUAAAUACUUUGUUAAUUCUUUUAGGAAUAAAAUUGAUGCGUAAAUAUAACUAGCUCUCAACUUGUUCCUUUGUCUCUUUGCUAAUCUUUUCUUUUAAUACUGCCAACUGACUUCAAAUUUAUGAAGAUCAAAUGACUAUUCCUCAAAAAAAAAAAAAAAAUAAAAAGGAUGCGGCAAAACCUCGUUGAUUGUUGAUCAAAUGGGAUCACGGUCUAGUUUAAAGUAGCGGAAUGUUUUUAAAUUGUGUAGCUGCAAAUUAAAAAUGCAGCAUACAAAAAAUUCUUGUGUUAGAGAUUGCCGUAUCCAAAAAUGGAUGCGAUGAAACAUGAUUGACCGUUGAUCACAUUUGAUCAACAGUCAGGUUUUAAACUUGCGGAAAUUAUUUUUUUUUAAUUAUGUCGCCACAAAUAUCAAAAUUAGCAUAAUAAAACUUUUUUCUAUCAGGCAUUGCAAACAUAAUUGACCGUUGAUCAAAUGUGAUCAACGAUCAGGUUUUAAAUUUGCGAAUAUUCUUUAUAAACUAUGUCAUCAUAAAUAACAAAAUUGGCGUACAAAAAAAUUAUUUAAAUGAUAAAAUUUAACCGUUGAAUGUAAUGAGAUCAACGGUCUAGUUUUUUCAAUACACAUGAUAUAAGCUUAGCAUCAAUACAAAAAAGGAAGUUUUGCUAUAAAAAUACCCCAAGUUAAUCACUUUCUCUCACACCAGCCCUAGUUUUCUCUGUUUUCCAUCCCUAAAUCCCCACUUCUCCUCCAAUAUCUUCCAAAAUGAGUAGUUCCGCAAGUUUCUUCCUGAAAGCAGAGUCAGAAGUAGUGUCUUCCCAAAACCUUUCUCCUCCAGUGUUUUUGAGAAAAUAGAGUGUUGCUAACAUUGUCUUACUAAAGUAGAGGCAGACUAAAUUAGUGGCUUAAUUACUCUCACCUGUUGUCCAAAAUUUCAAGCAGUCAAAGCAAUGGCUUCACCUCGCCUGUCUUCCAAACUUUGAAGAAAUGGGUUGCAAUCCUAUUGUCAACAUUUUGAAGCCUUGAAGAAGUGCGCAACUGGAGAAAGCAAACAUGUAUUGUCCAAUUAAGGUACUUUCAGUUAGUAAUUGUUUUAUAUAAUGAAUUGCAUGCUGUACGUUGGUGGUUGAAGUUGAGUAAUUAAUAGCAUUUAAUUAAUAUUUUUAUGUGAAUUACUGUGUAAUUAUUACUAACAAGGUUUUGAAACCUAAAUCGGAUUGUCUGGUUGGACCGAUUGAACUGUCGAUCGGGCUGUUGGGUGAAUCGGGUUAUGCCUUAAACCCAGAGGGGUUAAGAUACCGCCUUUUUUUGUGAAAAUCAGUUGACCUGGAUGGUUUGACCGCCGGACCAUUGAAUUGAAACGAUUUUCAUUAAAUCGGCUGGUUCCUUGACUAACUUUAAUUAACCCAAAAAAAAUUUAAUUUGGUAACUAAUCCAAUUCAACAUUCCAAAGAUAAACCUUACCAAUUACCCAUAAGUAAUUGUCUCUAAUUAGUUAGGCAAUAACAAUUAUUACCUUAUUUUUCUACUCCUCAUUCUCUCUCUCUCUCUCUCUUUCUCUCUCAUAAUGAUAUCUCAACUUUUGUCUAAAAUUUAUUGCAUAUAGUAUAUUAAUUACAUUAACUCUUUAGUGCAUUUCAAUUGUUUGUCAUUGCCUUCUAUUUAUUUUUAUUCCUAUCUUAUAAACUACUUAUCAUAUAAUUUAGGAAAAUUAAAAAUGUAAAUAAUUAAAGAUGUAAAUAAUAAAAUGCUAUUCUAUAUUUCUUUUACCUUUUACUUAUAAAAGUUAUUCUUGAAUUUCAAACAUGUAAUACAUACAAGAUUAGAAUAAGGAUUGAAAUGAUUAUUUUUAACAUUAUUAUUGAAGUUUCUACAAAUAUUUGCAUAUUUUUAUAUAUUUAAUAUUUGUUAAUAAUAUUUAUGAUAUAUUUAUGACGUCACAAUUUAAUAACGGUUCGUCCAUGACCCAAUCAUUUUUUUCGAGUCAAUGAACGGUUUGGGUUUCAAAACCUUGACUGCUAAAUAGUAAAUAGUAAGAGUGAAUAGUAAAUAGAAAAUAGUAAUAGUUAAUCGUAAUGGUAAAUAGUAACAGUUAUUGUAAUGAGGAGGACCAAAUGCUUGAAGGAGUGCAGGCACUACCUCGAAGGUCUGAACGGCUACAGGUGCAGCAAGAUCUACCACACAGGAGGAUAUAUUAGAAAUGUGGUUGUUCUACCAUUUCGCGCGAUAAGGGUAAGAGAUACGUUGAUAGGUGAUAUUCAAACUUCAAGAUUUUUUCUUAUCAAAGCUCUUGUUUAAUUAUCACAAAACUUUUUAUUUUGUUAUUUUACACAUUUAUAGUUAGAUGCUGCAUUAUUUAUCAUAGUUUAAAUUAAUCUUAAAACCAAAAAAUUCAAAAAAGAAUGAUUUGGGCAUAUUUCAAUUUAAUUUAAUUUUAUAUUUUAAAUGGAACCUAAAGCUUGCUUCUUGCCAUUCAUCAAUAAUUAAUCACCGGUUAUAAAAGAAAAAUAGCACAAUUUUUUACAUAAUUUUUGUUUUACGUAAUAUCAUAUUUUAGUGUUUAGGGUUUAGGAUUUAUAGUUUAAGUUUAGGAUUUAGGGUUAUGGUUUAGAGAUUAGGGAUACAAAAAUUAAAAAUUUAUAUUUAAAAUAAAAAAAGGUCGCCACAUCUAGCUCGGAUGUGGCAAUGACAUUUUUUUCAAAAGCUUCGCUGCAUGUUAUUUGGCAUGCGGUGAAGCCUAAAAAAAAAUCAUUAUUUUUAGUUCCUCCAACAACUAGAACAAAAAGAAAUUUAAUUCAAUUUUUGGAUGACGCCUCAAUUGUCAAUUGAGACGACCCUUAUAUUAGCAACUCAUGUCAACAAACACCACUAGUUUUAUGAUGUUUUCUUGUAUGGACUACAUGUAGAGAAAUUCGCCUCAAAAUGAAGAAGAAGAAUUGGACGAGUUGACCUGGACCACCAAUUAAUUGUGCAGGCAAGUUGCUGUGACGGGUCAAAGAGAUGGCCAUCAUUGUCUUAUAUAACUAUCCUCAUAAUAAAACUACGUACUGCAGACUGGAGAAAAGCCAUCAACGAGAUGCCGACGAGCUCCGUUCUUCUCAUGCCCAUAGUUGAAAUUUGUUUCGGGCAUAAAGGCGAACAAGGGUUAUAAUUUAGGGCAAAUUUCACUUUACCCCCUGUAGUUUAGUAUUUUUUACAUAACUCCCUAUAGUUUCAAAAACUAUACAUAACUCCAUUAUGGUUUGGAUUAAAGUGUCAAAGUGACGGGAAUGAUCAUUCGUAACGGAGUAAUCUAAUAUGUCAAAAAUACCCUUAUGUAAAGUUGAAAAUUAUUUAUUAAUCAAGGGGGGUUAUGUGUAUAUUUUGAAAACUAUAAGAGGGUUAUAUGGUAAAGUAUUAAACCAUAAGGGGGUUAUAUGGUAAAAUAUAAAAAUCAUACGGGGUUAAUGUGUCAUGUAUUUAUAAGGAUAAUUUCGACAUUUUUAGAAGUUCCGUUAUGAGUGACUAUUUCCGUCACUUUGACACUUUAAUUCAAAUCAUGAGGGGGUUAUGUAUAGCUUUUGAAACUAUAAGGGGUUACGUAAAAAAUACUAAACCAUAGAGAGGUAAAAUGUAAUUUGCCCUAUAAUUUAAAACUCCGUAUGUUACUACUAGGGCUGCAAACGAAUCGAGCUGCUCGCGAUCCGCUCGCGAGCGGCUCGAGUCAAGCUCGAGUCGAGCUCGUUAUUAAUCGAGCUCGAGUCGAGCUCGAGCCGGCUCGAGUCAAACUCGAGCUCGAGUUCGAGCUCAGAAUAUUAAGCUCGUUAGCUCGCGAGCCGGCUCGCGAGCUUGGGUAUAUAUAUAUAUAUAUUUUUUAUUUUUAUUUUUAUUUAAUAAUAAAAUUAUGUAUAUUAUAUAUAUAUUUUUUUAUUUUUUAUUUUUAUAGUAAAAUUACGUAUAUAUCCUUAAUAUUUUAUUAUUUAUUAAGAAAAAAAUAUUAUUUUAUUUAUUUUUUUAAAAAUAAAAUAAUUAUUUUUUAUUUUUUUUCGAGCUCGAGCUCGAAAUUUGCCGGCUCGUUGAGCUCGAGCUCGAGCUCGAGCUUAGUAAAAUUUAGUCGAGACUCGGCUCGAUUAACUCAAAGCUCGACUCGGCUCGGCUCGUUUGCAGCCCUAGUUACUACAAAACAUUUUGUCCUCAAAAUUUAUGAUGUUUCCUAAUUCAAACAGUUAAUCUUAAUUAUGCAAAUCCAUCAACUUCCGAUCCAUGUCCAAAUGUGUGUCGAAGUACUGUACCUGUGCUUCUAAUCCAUACUUCUCAGAUGGACAUUAUGAUGAAAAAAGGGAAAAGGUUAAAUAUUAGCAUCGGCAACAGGUACAGUUUUGAAGUAAAUGUAAAUUCGUCAACUCGUACAAUGUGAAAAUCACUAUUACAUCAAUACAAGUUUAUGUAAAAAAAUUGUAAGUAUAUCAAUUCAAUUGAAUUGUAUGGAACUCAACCUGAGAGGCCGUGAUCCGAUUGAGGAGGUGUCAACUUCUAAAACAUUAAAUAUCAAUGAGGAGGCAUCUAAAUACAAGGGAUAUAAUAAACGUGGAUUUGAGCAUUUAGAUGGUUCAUUAGAUAUAGUUUAAAGUGCCCACUAGACCCCAUUAGAAAAAUCCUAGGAAAUUUAAACAAAUAAUUAAUAUCAUUCAAAAUGUCUAAGAAAGUGAAUUAUGUACAUUAACAUUUUAGAAUUGAAUAUUCACCCUUUCUACGAAUAGAAUAUGUCUAAUUGGGAUCUGAGGCCUCACAAAUUUACUUGUUGCCUGGUUUAAAUAGGUCGUUUAUUUCUUACAGCAUUUCGUGUAAAUUUGUACGCCUUUUGUGUAAACUUGGGACCACUGCAAUGAUAUCGUACGAAUUUGCAUCUGACACUACAAAAUCAGGUUGAACUGAACUUGUAAGGCACUAAGGCCCCAACUCCGUCUAAUUGGCUGUUAACAAGUUAACAUCCCUCUUUUCAUUUGGUCUUUUAUGGAAUGCCUAGAAAUGCCUAGGCAGUAAGCAGCCACCGUAAACACCAGAGAAAUGUCAAUUAUUAAAACCACAGCAGAUGAUGAAACAAAAGUCCCAUUAAUACUAGACCGUUCAUCUUCCAUUAUCCAAACAAGAAGCAGAGUAGAAGAAGAAGUACAUCAAGAUCAAAGUCUUGCACGAAGGACUUGGAUUGAAUCCAAGAAACUAUGGCGAAUUGUUGGUCCGGCCAUCUUAACCCGCAUAGCAAACUUCUCCAUGUUCUUUUUUUCCCAAGCUUUUGCCGGCCACCUUGGUGAUCUUGAGCUCGCUGCUUUAUCCAUUGCUGGCACUGUCAUUAACGGCUUCGUUUUUGGCCUCAUGGUACUUUUUCUUGUCGACGAACUUAUGUUCUGUUCAGUUCUUCUACCCCUGAUGUUAAAACGUAGGUUCUGUUCAGUGCUUCCACCCUUCAUGUUUCCUUUAGUAAUUACCACUUGGGAUUUCCUGGUAGUAAAUUAAACGAUUCCGAGUCUUAGAAAAUUAAUUUUUCUCCUUCACAAAUUGAAAAUUUGAACAAGGUUUUUUAAUCCGUUUGAACUCUUGCCCCUUAAAAUCUUGAAAAUAUAUUAUGUUAUAUACUUAAAUUUAGAUAUCUUAAAAUUUGCCCUAUCAAAGUAGAUUUUCUGGUUCUGUCUGUCCCUUGCCGGCCACAUGGUUAAAUUUUUAGCGGGCGAUUUUGUGCCUAGAAAAUUUGUGUUUUUAUUCGAUGAGCGUGAUUUUAGUGAGCUAUAAUUUUCUGGUGAUUUUUUUUUUUCAGCUGGGAAUGGCUAGUGCAUUGGAAACUCUAUGUGGGCAGGCUUACGGGGCAAAGAAAUAUAACAUGUUGGGAGUAUACUUGCAAAGAUCCUGGAUUGUUCUUUUUCUCUUCUGUAUCCUGACCUUACCUGUAUACAUUUUGGCCACACCAGUAUUGAAAUUGCUAGGACAACCAGCCGAUAUUGCUGAGCUAGCUGGAGAUUUGGCCAUAUCACUUAUACCAGUUCACUUCAGCUUUGUUUUUCAGUUUCCUCUGCAGAGAUUCUUGCAGAGCCAGCUGAAAAAUAAUGUGAAUGCUUGGGUGAAUUUGGGUGCUUUCGUGAUACACAUGACAUUGACCUGGCUCUUUGUGUCGAAGCUUCAGAUGGGAUUGAUUGCCAUUUCUGUCACACUAAAUAUAUCUUGGUGGCUUAUUGUUUUUGGCUUGCUUGCUUAUACUUUGUUUGGUGGUUGUCCUGAAACAUGGACUGGUUUUACCUUUGAAGCAUUUUCUGGUCUUUGGGAAUUUCUGAAACUCUCCAUGUCUUCUGGCGUCAUGUUAUGGUAAUCAAUCUCCACUCACAGCAAAUAUGUGUGGCAAAUUUAUUUUUCGUCAAGGGGCAUGUAACUUGCAUCAUGUGUACUAAAAGUACUUAUUCAUGGAGCUAGAAGAUCUUAGAGGUUUAAAAUUUGUUUCCUUGAUUAGUACUAUUACUUUACAGUGUUUAAUUUCAGUUUUCCCUAAUCUUUGUUUCUUCUAAAAUGGAACAGCUUGGAGAAUUGGUACUACAAGAUAUUGGUAGUGAUGACUGGAAAUUUGCCCAAUGCCAAAAUAGCGGUGGAUGCAUUGUCCAUCUGGUGAGCUGCUUCAUAUUUCUAUAGUUGCCACAUUUUAAAAAUUGUUUUUCUGUAAGGAAAAGGUGAGACUUAAGAAGCGAAGAAGGAGCACGGAGAUUUGAACCUUGAACUUCUAAUUUUUGGGAUCUCGCCUUAAGCUAUUAGAUCAAAAACUCCUCGUCUAUUGUUGCCACGUCUAAUACAAUAUACUGUGAAUUAUUUGCAUCUGCAAUUAAAUUUAUACAGCAGUUUGACAAAUCACAAGUAAUUACUCUUUAUUGGGUCAUGAUCAUUCACAAUUAAAGCGUACCAUUGUUUUCACAAAAAAAAAAAUUUGAUAAUUUUGUUUUACCAAAAUUGUAUUUAUUGUAGUACUUAAAAACGAAUACUCAAUAGUCACCAAGAGAAAAAAAAAAGAAUUUAUUUCCAUCACAAGCUAUUGUGAUGAAUUUUGUCCAUCUGUCCCUGGUUUGCAGCAUGAACAUCAAUGCAUGGGAGUUGAUGAUUCCUCUAGCCUUCUUUGCAGGAACAGGGUAAUCUUCUCUCUUUUUUAUUAAACCCCCCCCAACACACACACACACACAUGACUUGAUUGGUGCAGUUUGUUUGUUCAUUGAUAUUGUAGAAGAGACGUAGGUCAUUUGAGUUGCAAGCUUUGUUUAAUUUGUCUAUAUAGUAAACGCUCAUGAAAAUAACUUCACGGUGUGUUUGGGCAAAUGCGUCUAAAUAUUGAAUGUAAAAGUCCUUCAAAAAAAAAAAAAAAAAAGAUUGGAUGUGAAAGAAAUGGUCCUGCUGACUUUGAUGUUUAGCAUUGUCCCCUUUUCUUGAGAUUCUUUCGAUUGUUGUUGUCUCUUUCUGAUAUCUACUUGUUUGUGAAGAGCUUGGACCAAAACCAUACGUCUUGGGCCCAGUAUAACCCAUCUGCCUGUACCUAAUAUACUUGUGUCUAAUCUCAUUAUUGUGGUUGUUACACCGAAAAAAAAAAAAAAAAAAAAAAUUUAUUGCAAGAAGGAUCGGACAUGGAUAUUGAUGCAUAUUUUUGCCUUUCAAUCACCACAAUUGUUGCAGGAAAGAAAAAUUUCAAAUACUAAGUUCAUUACGGAACAAAGAAAGUAGACUCACCGUGCAUUUUUUUUUUUUGUUUUUUCAUUUUUCAUAGUUCAAGAAAAAAUUGCUAAUAUUUCUUUUUUUUCUCAUGUUUGACAACAGAGUAAGGGUUGCAAAUGAAUUGGGAGCUGGUAAUGGGAAAGGAGCCAAAUUUGCAACAAUUGUGUCAGUAAUACAUUCAACAGUGAUUGGUCUAUUCUUCUGGCUGCUUAUUCUGUUCUUCCACAAUGAAAUAUCCUAUAUAUUCACAACCAGCCAACCUGUGCUAGAAGCUGUACACCACCUCUCAAUUCUCUUAGCUUUCACCAUUCUCCUCAAUAGCGUGCAACCCAUUCUUUCUGGUAUUUCACCAUAAAUUAAUCAACACAUAGUUUCUCUUUCUACUAAUUUUUUUUUUUUUUUUUUAUUUUUGGGUGGACUUAUGAUUUUUUUUUUUCACAAAUCUUGUGUAAGGGGUUGCUGUUGGUUCUGGUUGGCAAUCAUACGUAGCAUACAUAAACUUGGGUUGUUACUAUCUACUUGGAGUCCCAAUGGGAAUUGUAAUGGGAUGGGUUUUUCAUUUCGGAGUACUGGUACGUAAACCCCUCACGGUUGCAAAAUCUCAAGGCUGAUCCAUCAAAAUUGAAGGGAAAAUAUUGAUAUUGAUAUUUCAUAACUUAACAGGGUUUGUGGGCUGGAAUGAUUGUUGGUGGAACUGCAGUACAAACUGUGGUAUUGGCCGUCAUCACAGCUCGGUGUGAUUGGGAUAAAGAGGUAAUAGAAAGUAGAAACAGAAUCUCAUUGCUUUUCUUUUUUUUUUUUUUAAUCAAAGUAAUAUGCUUUUCUGAAAUUGUUGCGAGUCAAUUACAUCUGAAAAUGCAGGCAGAGAAGGCAGGCAUGCAUGUAGACAAGUGGUCGAAAAGGACUCGUAUCUGAACUCACAUUGAUGUGCAUGUGGAGUAACAGUCUUGAUUUUGGCUGCAAAAUUGUUUUAAUCUGCUUCACCAUCUCUGCACAAUUCUAGCUAUUGUGGAAAAGGCUUCCAAUUUUAGUAUGAAAAUAUCAGAAAGCUUUGUUAAGGUGAGUCAUGGUUGACAGUUAACUCUACGCUUUGGGUUAAUUAGCUUGCAAUAUAUGUAUUUGUGAAGAGUGAAAAACUUAGGAAGUCCCAACACUAUCACCAUUGUCAAGUUUUGCCAUUUAAUCUGAAUUUUGUCUCCGACGCAUCCCCUAAACAAUUACAAGUGCAUAGUUUAAGAAUUUCUGAUCAUUUUAGACCUAAGUUAAACAUUUUGUCCGAUCAGAAUAAAAAACAUUGGGACCAAAAUUAAAAGGCCGUAAUUAUCUCUCUCUCUCUCUCUCCAUAAGUCAAGAUGUAGAACAUGUUACUUUCCUCGGUAAAGCUGGACCUGAUUGUAACAGUAGUUCUUGUGAUUGCGAAAUUCCGGCCUUCAAGCCUUAGAACAAUCAACUAAUCUUGCCCAAGUUUGUGUGGAAAAUUUUUUUUUUAAAAAAGACGUGACUUAGACGCAAUAGGCGCUCCGUUACGUGUUUUUAUUUUUUGGUGGAGAUAUGUAGAAGCCAUUUCUUGGUAUCAUGCGUUAGAAACAUGGGUUAUGAUCGUCCUAUUACAUUCCUCCCAAAAAAAAAAUUGUGCUAUUACAGUGAUUCUCAUUGCCACUUGUGUUUUACUAAUAACACUCAAUUUAAUUAGAAGUUUUUUUGUUUUGUUUUGUUUUGUUUUUGUUUUUUUCUUCUUGAAGAUACACUCGAUUUGAAGUCGAUAUGAGCUCAGAUGUAAACUUGCAAUUAAUUAAACUUAAUUUCUAUCAUGUCACGCAACAUGUUUGGUGUUUUCUUCAUUGGUAAUCGACCAAACCGAUCAUAUUUUAUCAUGUCAUUCUCUUUUAUGGUUGUACACUGAUUCAGUAUGUCAAGACCCUCUCUUUUUUUCCCUUUUUUUUUUUAAGUGGGAGGUUUUGAAUUUAGAAUCUCCUACCUACAAUCCCUUACAUCUUACCAUCGAAUCUAACAAUCCUCCCAAUAUGUCAAGAUUUAAUAAGCUUUUGAUGAGCGAUCUGUAAUAUCACUAUAAGCAAUUUAUGAUUUUGGGGUCAUGUUCUGAUCCGUGACAGUGAUCAGUGUUAAAUCUAUCCAAAUUUUUUAUAUAAAAAAAAAAUGAGACUCAAGAAGCUUGUGACUCAUGGCCCCUUAUGCUCAAAAUCCAUAAAGAUGUUCAGACUUGAUUAGGGGUUAUAAACCUCUACCCUCAUCUCAUUUUUUUGUUAAAUAUGAAUUUCAGUCUUUAUAAGCUUAGAGAGAAAUUGAAGGAGGGUUUGGAAGUCAAGUCCUGAAGAUUACGGCUCCUUACCAGCUAAACUGGGUAUUGGAAAACUCCUCUCAUUAGUUGUUACUAACACUGCGCCUUCAUAGUACUAUCAAUUGGGUCAAUUAAAUACUUGAAAGCCGCAAAGUCCAAUUUUAACUCAUCUAAUAAAGAAACGUCUCCCUUUACCACCUAUUUAAGAGAGGUCACUACCAAGGAAAAUGUCAAGCGAAAGCAUAUUGGAGGAUGGAAAUCUUCCAUUACUCGACCAUUUAUCCAAUGCAAGAUGAUCAUAACUGAGAAGCAAAGUCUAGCACGUAGAAUUUGGACGGAGACCAAGAAGAUGUGGCGAAUGGUUGGUCCAGCAAUCUUCAGCCGCAUCGCUUCAUGCACCGUGUUCAUUGUUUCCCAAGCCUUCGCUGGCCAUCUUGGUGAUCUUCAGCUUGCUGCUCUGUCCAUUGCUGUUAAUGUCAUCGUUGAAUUCGACCUCGGCCUCAUGGUAUCAAACUUCCAAGCGUUCGUUCAUCAUUUGAAUUUGUCAUUAUCAAUUUUUUUUUUAUGUUGAAGCCACAUAUUUAUUUUCAUCACUUGGACCAAAAGUCCAGCCAUUCUGCCACUAGAUGGGAUGUCCGGUGCUCGUUAAAUUUUGGAAAAUCUUUCAUUAGGGUGGCGGAAGUUUCAGAAGUCAUACAAGAGCGUGAUACUUUUGUUUAGUAUAAUGCAAUUCUAUACAUUUCUACGGUGCUUGUAAAUAGAAAAUGAUUUACAUUCGAGAAGAACACCUGCAUAAGUUUCCUUAUCAAUCUACCAUGCUAAACGAAAGGCCAAUCCCAUUAAAGUCACAAGAAUUAGAGGUUUUGACUUCAAUUUUUUUUUUUUAAUUUUUCUCUGCUACUUAAAUCUCACCCUUUUUCUGUUAAAAAGAAAAUUUAAAAUGCUAGCUUCAUACAUUCAUGGGGUAGUUUUAGGAGAUUAAACUCUUUGACCAUGAAGCCCUCUUACGUCUUGUAUCAUCAAUCAUGACCCACAAGCCCUCCCACCUCUUAAAUUUUCUCCUGUAACUACUUUCUUUCUUCUAAUACUAAAACAUAGAUCGCUCAUAAAUUGCAAAUAGACUAUUCCAUAAUCAAAAUUAAAUUUUUAAGGAAACUACAUCUUAAAUUGAUCAGAUCCCACUAUUUGAAUUAUGUUUUAGUAGGCAACUUAGAAAUUAUUUGCCAAUUUUGUCACCAAUUCCCAUUGACCUUUGGUAUGCAACACAAUUGGGGUGGAUGCUAGUUAAACUUGUGGAACAAAAAGUGCUACCCUCUGUAUGAAUUACAAACUUCCGCCACCCACUGAAAACUUUCCCUUAAAUUUUGCUUCCAAAAAUUCUCUUUAAGAUCUCAUGUAAAUAAAUUUGGUGGAUCGUCUCCAGCCAGGCAUGGCAAGUGCAUUAGAAACUCUAUGUGUGCAAGCAUUCGAGGCGAGAAAACACCACUGGUUGGGUGUAUAUAUGCCGCGUUUGUGGUUUCUUCUCUUCAUUUACUACAUUUGAACGUGUCCAUUUUUACAUAUUUGCUAUACUCCAUUUUUGAAGCUGGUCGGACAAUAGUCAGAUGUUGCUGAGCUUGCUGGGACAAUGGCUCCACCUUGCAUACCAAUUCAUUUCACCUAUGCAUUACUGCUUCCUUUACUGCAAAGCCAAUUGAAGAACUAUAUAGCUGCUUGGGUACAUACACACGUAUACUCUUAAACUGGUGUCUAAGCUUCAGCUUGGAUUGGUUGGAAUUGAAAUAAUAAUGAAUAUGUCUUGGGGGCUUAUUCUGCUUUUUAUAUGCUAUUUGUGGUUGCUAUUGUCUAUUGCUUUUUUACACAUAAUUUUAGUAUUAUCUAUUGUGUUUUGAUAUUAUUUGUUGUUCAAUUCACUUUUUAAUUAUAAACUCCACCAAAGUCAAACUUCAUCUAUUUCAUCGCUUGGUUUAAUAAAUCAAAAUGCCUUCCAUUUACUCAUAUUUCACACGACUGGAUCUUGACAGCAUGAACAUCAAUGGGUGGGAGAUGAUCGAUGACUUCUCUGGCCUUCUUAGCCGCGGAAUAGGGUCAGCUUUUCUUUUAAAUACUACUCCUCCUCAUGAGACUUUAUUUCUUGUUCACAUUGUAUAUUGUCGUGAUAAAAUUUUAAAUUUGAUAAAAUGCUCCAAAAUAAAUUCUUAUGUACUCUUUGUUGUGUUUUGACAUAUAUGUCAGUCAUUUUACGCUCGACAUGAUCUGUAUUUGAUCAUUAUACACACAUAGAAAGUAUGACCAAGGUUGCUGGUCAAAUUAGAUUAAUGCUAAUUAUAUCUCAACAUGUACGCUAAUUAUAAGAAUUGUAAAAUUCAGUGGAUUGCAAAGACUCCAAUUGUGACUCCCAUGCAUUAGUAAUUGAAUCACCACAUACCAUAUGAGAUUUAAAAAAUUAGGGAUAUAUAUAUAUAUAUAUAUAUAUGCCUAACAUUUGAAUACCCAGUCAGAGUUUGAAAAGAACAACUGUAUUCUAAUUAUAAUUCAAUCACAAUUAUUUUAGAUGCUAUAAUUCAAAUUCCAACCUUCUUUUCAUCUCAUAUAUAUCAUAUUAUAAAAAGUGCUGCAAUAUUAUUUCAGACAAUUUUCCCAACUGAUCUCCUAUCCAAAUGGAUGUGUUUCCUGGUUCAUUUAUUAUGUAUUUUCUAGGAAAAUAGAUGCCUUCACAAGGUAAUUAAUAUGGUUCUCUCUUCUUUUUUUUUUUUUUUUUUUUAAUGAUAUGAUACAGAGUAAGGCUUGCGAAUGAAUUGAGAGCUGCAAAUGGGAAAGCAGCCAAGCUUGCAACCAUGGUAUCAGUAACACAAUCUAUAGCAUUUGGUCUAUUAUUUCGGGUGCUGAUUAUAUUUUUCCACAAUCAAAUUGCCUUCAUAUUCACAUCAAGUAAGGUUAUCUUAGAAGCAAUAAACAGACUCUCAAUUCUUUUAGCUUUCACCAUUCUCCUCAAUAGCGUGCAACCCAUUCUAUCUGGUAACUAUUCAGCGUUCGUUGUACAUAAUUUCAUACUUUUUUAUUUUUUGAAUUUACUCUUUUGAUUCAAUUAGGUGUUGCUAUUGGAUCUGGAUGGCUAGCAUAUGCUGCACACAUAAAUUUGAGCUGUUAUACUAUUUUUCUGGGAUUGUUUUUUCAUUUCUGAGUAAUGGUAUGGGACCUCCAAAUGUUUUUGUGUAUUCUUUUGGGCAAGCUUUUCUAGAAACAUGAAACUUUAAAAACCAAACUUAAACAAUGGAAAAGUUGACAUGAUGCAAUGGGUACACUAAUUAAACUAAUAUAUUGAUUUUUGACAAUUUUGGGUAUGUGGGCUGGAAUGAUUUUUGUUGGAACUGCAAUUCAAACGACGAUAUUGGCUAGGUAUGAUUGGGAGAAAGAGGUGGUUGAAAAUAUCAUAUGACAUGAAUUUCCCAGAUUAAUCAUUUAAUCUUUGUUUUUUUCUUCCACCUUUAAUUUUAUUUCUGCUGGAAUAAACAAUUCCACUUGAUACCUAAACUGGCUACUUGUGGAAAACAGGCAAAGAAGGCAAAUAUGCAUGUAGAGAAGUUGGCAGAAAGGAGUAACACUUCUGGAUAGAACUCGAUCCAAGUGAAGAGGUGAACUUUAGUUUGAGAACAAGAUUUAGUAAGAUUUAUGAGGAAAUAUUAUCUUAUUUUUUAGUGCAAUUUCAUACCUUUAUUAUUUAUUUUAUUUCUUUAAAUAUUUGUUUGGUAAGAUCAUAAGACUCAUAGACCCUUAUACAGAUCAUCGUGGGCGGAGGGUAGCUGGAGCAGAAUCAUCUAUGAAACUUUCUGCAAAAGGUUUUCUGCAAAAGAAUAAAAAAUUUUAUUGGGUUAAUUAAAUUGACUUUUUCAAUCUGAAUGAUUGUGCAACCCUAUUAAAGCUUUUCUAUUUAUUAGUUAUUACAGUAAUUAGAAUCUUUAUAACUAGGGCCUUCAUGAAGUUGCACAAUCCAUGCAUUCGAUAGAAAGAUCUAUUGGAUUGAAAAUUAUUUGGGAAAUUUUUUUUCUAUAUUUAAUACACAACGGAUCUUCUGUCCCACACCCUGUGACACUCUCUAUUCCACUUUUUAUUAUAUUAUUAUUUCUCAAUCAUAAAUAUUAUGUUUUAAUUCUUUUUUGUUUCCUUAAGAUCCAAUAACUAUUAAUUGAGUAAUACACAAAAUUUAACAACCUCAAAAAAUCAAAAUGCACAAAAAAAAUGAGAUUUUUUAUGAAUUUUCUGCUUUAUUUUUUAAUUUUCUAUCAUAUAUUGCUUUUUUGAAACUGUUGUAUUUAUUUUUUACUCAAUUAAUAGUUAUUGAAUCUUAAGGAAACAAAAAAAAUUAAAACAUGAUAUUUAUGAAAGAGAAAUAAUAAUAUAAUAAAAAUGGGACAGAGAGUGUCACAGGGUGUGGGACAGAAGAUCCGUUGCGACAUAAGAGUGAGUUAGUCCAACUAUAUGUUAGCAUCGUAUGGUGAAUUGUUGGUCAGUUUGCAAUAUUGUUAAGUUAUAAAUUUGAUCCUAUGAAUGGAUUGCUAUCAUGUCAUAAAAAAAACAUCUCAAAAAAUGACAAAAUAUUUGGCAAGGAAUACGGUACGAGAAAAAGAUUCCAUACCAAAAAUGAGGUAUAAAGAAGAAGCAGCAAGAGAAGGAGAAGGAGAAAAACAGGAGGAGGAGAAGAAAAAGAAGAAGAUACAAGACCCUAAAAAUGACUGAAUAUUUGGCAAGAAAUGGAGCUAUUUCUUCCUAAAAGUCACAAUAGUUUAUUUAACCACACCUACAUGUGACGAUGCUGGCAUAUUUGUCCAUCUCAGACCAAGAGCCUUUACUCAAAAGAUAAACUUUCAAAGAGUAGAUUACAGUCCUUAAGUUCCUGUCCACAACUCCCAACGAAGGUGGAUUUUAGCAGUUGGCACUUAAGUCCCUAAUAGAUACACACCUGAAUUAAUUAAUUAGUGCAAUUAAGCGCGUAUGAAUUGGCUGACAAAAUGUGCCUGCUUCCCUGUUCACUUCUUUUACUCGUUUGGACACGAGUUUCCAGGCGGGAGACCAUCGUGGACUUGCCGACGUAACGCUGAUAGACCAGCCAAUUGAUUUCAGUACUAGUGUAAAACUUUAGACUGCCUCCACAAUUUUCUUGUGACGUGUACACUGAUAUCCAAUUGAUUUGCCUACCAAUCCAAAUGGGCAUUAUAUAUACACACAUAUAUAUGUAAGCCACCGCAAGGGCGGAAUGUCAUCAAUUGCCAAGUUCAAAUCUUUCUCUUCUUGUUGAAGAUCCACGAGAAAUUUUCAGCAAAGGAAGAAAAGGGGGGGAAAUGGCUAGUAAUAACAAGGAAAAAUUCGAGAAUUUGGUCAACGUUGAAGAAAAUCAAGUUCCUCUACUGCUGCAUUCAGAGUCAUCCAAAUAUGAAAUUGAUGAUGACGACCAAAAUCUCAGGCGAAGGGUCUUUGUUGAAUCGAAGAAGCUAUGGCAUAUUGUUGGCCCAGCCAUCUUCAGUCGAAUUACCUCCUACUCCAUGAACGUGAUUACCCAAGCUUUUGCUGGCCAUCUUGGCGAUACUGAGCUUGCAGCAAUUUCAAUCAUCAAUAACGUCGUCGUUGGGUUCGAUUUCGGCCUCUUGGUACAUUUUAUUUCUCUGAAGAAUUCUAACUUUUACUUAUUAUAUUCGCAGAUUUUUUUAAAUUUAUUUCUCUGACAGGCUCUCUCUCUCUCUCUCUCUGUUUUUUUUUUUUUUUGGGGUUAUGGAAAUUAGUUGGGCAUGGCAAGUGCUUUGGAGACGCUAUGUGGACAAGCAUUUGGAGCCAAGAAAUACCACAUGCUAGGGAUAUACAUGCAACGUUCGUGGAUUGUGCUAUUUGCUUGCUGUAUACUACUUCUGUCAAUUUACAUCUUCGCUACACCAAUCUUGAAACUAUUAGGUCAGCCCGCAAACGUGGCUGAGCUCUCGGGUAGUGUUGCCUUGUGGAUGAUUCCUUUGCAUUUCAGCUUUGCCUUCCAAUUCCCAUUGCAGAGGUUUCUGCAAAGUCAGCUGAAGAAUUCAGUGAUUGCUUGGGUUUCAUUGGUAGCCCUGCUUGUACAUAUUUGCACCAGUUGGCUGUUUGUUUAUGGAUUCCAGCUUGGAGUGGUGGGAACCGUCGUGACCUUGAACUUUGCGUGGUGGGUUUUGGUGUUUGGUUUGUUUAUCUACACCGCUUGCGGUGGCUGUCCCCAUACUUGGCCUGGUUUCUCGAUGGAAGCGUUUUCGGGUCUUUGGGAGUUCCUAAAGCUCUCUGCAUCAUCUGGAGUCAUGCUUUGGUAGGCUUUUUCUUGCCAAUGGUUUUCUAUUCCCUAACUGCUCUCAUAUUAAUAUGAAUGUUUUGCCAUCUUGAGUGACUUCUUUACUUUUUGUUACUUUCUCAGUUUAACCUUUUUUCUCUUCACCACAACAAAAUCACUUUCAGCUCUGUUAACGAGUAAUAUAUAUAUAUAUAUAUAUAUAUGUAUAUAUAUAUAUGUAUGUAUAUGUGUGUGUGUGUUAAACAAAACCUUGCCUUGCUUGGAUUGAAGGUUUUCGUCGGAAAAUAUUAUCGUUUUCCGUGAUCACAUUUCCCUAUCACCUUUUUCCCUCACAUAUAUCAAAUCGCUACAGUAAUUUUUCCAUGAAAAAUGACGGAAAAUGCAAUCCAAACACAACCCUGUCAAUAGUUUGGAGAACUGGUAUUAUAGAAUACUCAUAUUGAUGACCGGAAAUCUCAAGAAUGCAGAAAUUGCAGUGGAUGCUUUAUCUGUAUGGUAAGUGAUUCUCCACGUCUUUGAUUCUUGUCAACAAUUACAAAUAUUUAAAUAUCUCGCCUUGAAAACUAUCAAAAACAUGUGAUUUGAUACUUUCUUGGUUGCUUAGGAAAUUAAUGUACAUUAGCUCCCUAAACUAUACUCUCAUUGUUUCUCGGUACUUUGUAAAUUAGAGUUGGGACGCAGUAGAUCCAUUGUAGUACUCAAGAUUGGCUGGAAUUUUUCAAAAUUGACAAGCACAGAGCAUGUGCACGUUUAUAUUAUUAGUCAAACUUAGGUCCCCUCGAAGUUUGAACUGUCCGUUGACUUUUUCGACCCUUUGAUUUUUUUUAAAACAAUUUUUUAUAUAAUAUGAAUGAGAAAUUUGAGUUCGAAAUCUCUUAUUUACACUGUUUUUUUCAAAUCACCCAACCCAUCCACCUCCGACUCUUUGAUUUAAGAUUAGUCAAAUUAGUCUACUCUGUUUCUUGAUGCGGGCAAGAAAAUGAUAUAAUUCAAUAGCAAACUAGCAAAGUGUCAUCUUGACAUAGUGGGAGUCAUCCUUUCGAGCAUAGUUAUUAAACUCGGCCCGGCCCGGCGGUUCGACCGGUCAACCCGGUGAACCGGCCAUUGAGCCGGGCCGGUUAGCUAAUUGGAUCGUUUUGACAACUAAACCGUUGACUUUUCAACGGACCGGCGGUUCAACCGGUCAAACCCAGAGAACAGUCCGGUUUUAUAGGAAACCGGGUUUGCAUGUUAAAAAUGUUUGGAAGAUGCUAGAGUGAAGCUUCGGUUUUAUAGGAAACCGGGUUUGCAUGUUAAAAAUGUUUGGAAGAUGCUAGAGUGAAGCUUCGAACCAACGACCUCUUGUAUUGAAGGAAAUGCAACAAACGCUGCACCAACAGCUCACUUGUUUAAUAUUUAGUCUUUUUUUAUAUUAUAUAUUAGACUUAUUCUUAUUUUAAUUUUCCAAAACAUAAUUUAUUUGGAAUCUUUUAAUAAAUUUUAUUACUCCCCAGACUCUAUAAAUUAUGAAAUGAAUUUAAAAAAUAACAUAUCACAUAAUUCAUUCUAAAGGCAAAUAUCGUUCCUAAUAAUUCUUUGCAUUUAAAAUUCAUAAAUAAACUAGAUAAUUAUACUUAGAUAAAAUUUUAUUCUUGAAAUUUGAUGGAUUACUAAUUGCAUUUAGGUUUUGUUAAUUCUUAUAAGAAUUAAUGAUUCUAUAAUAAAUUAGACUAAUUGAGCAUUUACUAUGACAUAAUUUAUUAUAGUUUUAACCAUAUCAAAAAUUAUGAAACAUAAUAUUUAAAUAUAUUUCGUGACCCACCGGUUGAACCACUCACCCACUGGUUGAACCAGUAACCCGUUCACCCACCUCUUUCGCCGGGUUCCCCUCCGGGCCGGGUUUAAUAACUAUGCUUUCGAGCCUAUUGUUUUGAUUAAAAAUUAAAAAAAAAACUAAGAAACUUGACUUGAAGUAUAAGCAGAGUAAAAAGAAAGCAUCUUCCAAAUUUAAACUUAAAACUGUGGGAUUUGGAAAAUUUUCAUCAGUAAUAUAUAUCUCAUCAUAUUAGUCUCCAAAAAUAGGAUCUUGAGCUCUUAAAAAUUGUUCUUUCAGCAAGAAUUACUUCGGCUUUAUAGUGUUAUAUACCUUUAAGAUAGAGCGAAAAUAUUGAUGAUCAUCCUUCAAUUGAUUAUUCCAAUCUAUCUCAAAAAAUUUUUUUUUUUUUGAUUAUUCCAUAAUUCACCUGUGUAAACAAUCGCAGGCCUUUCAGUACAAUCACUCACUCGAAAAGGAUAGUGAUUCAAUUAAUUUCACCAUUAGUACAAUCAAUCAAUUAAUUUCACCAUUAGUACAAUCAAUCAAUUAAUUUGGGAAACGUAAUCCAGCAAAUGUGAUAUAAUAACACAUCUAGAAGAAAUGAAUUAAACUGGCCUACAAGGUUUGUCAAAGCAGAACAUCUUUUGACUACAAUCUCUCUAUCUAUGACGAGCUCUUUGUCUUUUUUCUUUUUUCUAAUAAAUGUGAAUUUAUUUUCCUUUGCAGCAUGACAAUAAAUGGAUGGGAGAUGAUGAUUCCAUUAGGCUUCUUUGCAGCAACUGGGUAAGAUCCAUCAUAUCAUACGUUCUUUCUCGUUUCAUUGCAAAUUAGUCUUAACUCCUGUUUGUGUUUUGAGAUUUCUGAUUACAUUUCAUUCCAUGACGAAUUCAUUUCUGUGCCAUAGAAAAGAAAAGAAUCCAGUAGGCAAAAUUUCUCUUCAUUCUAUCUGAAUUGGCCUUAUUUUGCACUUGACAAUCACUCAUUCGUGGACUGAAAAAUUUUAUCACGUUCCACUCUAACAAAUGCACAUGCUUGUGAUCACAAAUAAAUUACAACAGCAAUGGUACAUUAAAACUGUUAAUAUGGGCUGUUCAUCUUUUACCUAUGAGAAGGAUAUCAGAACUUUUCUUGGUAAAAGCAGACCAGAAUUAUUCAUUGGUCGACAAACAAAGUUUUCACGUCUACUCCCUGCAAACGUACAAGCUUGCAAUUACAACAAUGGGGCACCAUAGCUAUUGGUGUGGGAUAUUAAUUUUGUUGAACACAUGCAAAGGAAUUUGUUUAAAAAAAAAAACUGUUUUGCAUGAAUUUCUAGGGGUGUGAAUCAGAAUCGAAAUCGGUAAUUCGGAACUUUGAAAUCGAAAUUUUUCGGAAUUUUGGUAUCAAAAUUUCCGACCGAAUUCGAUUUCAAAUUCACCAAGUCCAAAUUUGAAUUCGUUUCGAAUUCAAUUCGGAAAUUUCAAUUUCACCAAAUUUAGGAAUAUAAAAAUUAUUAUUAUUAUAUAAAUGUUAUACUACAUGUAUAUAAAAAAAAUAUUAUAUAUAUAUAUAUGAAAAUGAAUUUGAAAUCGAAAUAGGAAUUCCGAAUCACCAAAUUCAAGAAUAUAAAAAUUAUUAUUAUAAUAUAAAUGUUAUAUUACACAUAUAUAUAAAAAUUUUAUAUAUAUAUGAAAAAUGAAUUUGAAAUCGAAAUAGGAAUUCCGAAUUCCGAUUUCGAUUUCAAUUUCGAAUUGUGAAUUCGAAAUCGGAAUUUUCGAUUUGAAAAACCCCAUUAUCAAAUUCGAACCAAGUUCGCAUAAUUCGAAAUUGGAAAACCUGAUUUCAGUUAUGAAUUUUGAAUUACCAAUUUCAAAAAUUUCGAAUUCAAUUUGAAUUUAAUUAGUAAAUCGGAAUUUUUUAAUUUUGCACACUCUUAUGAAUUUCAGUCGUAACCGUAUUGUGAAUGCUUAUGGUGCAGAGUAAGAGUAGCUAACGAGUUGGGAGCAGGAAAUGGGAAAGGAGCAAGAUUUGCUACUAUUGUUUCUGUGGCGACUUCUACCAUAAUUGGGCUUUUCUUCUGCCUCAUAAUAAUUAUUUUCCACAAUGAAAUUGGUUUAAUUUUCUCCUCAAGCAAACCCGUGCUGGAUGCAGUGAAUCAACUCACUGUCCUCUUAGCCGUCACUAUUCUCCUCAACAGUAUUCAACCAGUUCUAUCUGGUAUGUCAAUUAAUUGGAAGUUAAUUUUUAUUUAUAUUAGUUGCUAUUUAUAUACUAAAUGUUUUGUUUGAUUAACUUUUUUAUAUAUUGUCAGUGUUGAAUUUCAUUAUACUAUCAGGUUUAGUUGAAUAUCUCGUAAUCUCUAUUUAAAUUUGAAAUUUACUCCUUACAUAUGUGACGUGCAUUUACACCUGGUAGCUAACAAUAAAAAAAUCUUUAUAUUGUUAGCACACAAAAAAAUGAAUCCUUCUUUAUUGCUAAUAAUAAUUUGUUUUUCAACAGUUUUAGAAUUUAUUCUGAUUGGAUACCGUCUGAUUUUGUUUUCUAUUGCAGGGGUAGCAGUUGGAUCCGGAUGGCAAUCACAAGUGGCUUGUGUAAAUGUUGCCUGCUACUACUUGGUUGGAUUUCCACUUGGACUCACAAUGGAAUGGGUUUUUCACCAAGGAGUUAUGGUACGUAGCCAUGAUGGAACUGAACAAUCAUGAUGGCCACCAAAUUUUUGCAGUUGCCAAAUUCUUGACAAUAAAUUUCUCUUGCACUUAAUACUAACUAUGUUUGGCCCUACAAUAAUUGAUGGAUCCAAUAAAUGUUGAAACCUAUCCUCUGAACCUGUGCUAAAGAAACUAACUUGAGAAGUCAUUAAAUAUUUAAGUAAUUAAUCUCAAACCAAGACAAACCAAUUUUUACCUUAAUCACUUUUGAGUUAGCUGUGAUUAAUGAUAACAUGAACAGGGCAUCUGGGCUGGAAUGAUAUUCGGAGGAACGGUACUUCAGACACUAAUAUUAGUCAUCAUUACUGCUCGAUGUGACUGGGAAAAAGAGGUAAAUUAAAGCAAUUGCCCAAAUUUUCUGUUGCCAUUUGUUUCUGCCACUAAAUAUUUGGUUAAAUGCUAGAGCUUUUUUCCUUCUCAAUUCUGCAAAGUGUAUACCAAAAUUGCCUGCUAGGCUACCAUAACCAUGCAUUCUAAUUUCAUUCCUUUUUGGAUUUGCAGGCCCAGAAAGCAAGCAAUCACAUAAAGAAGUGGACUGUCUUGGCUUAAUAAGCUCUUAUGCAUCCUAAUAUGAAUUCAAGGGGCUAUCUCACUGUGUAAUGAAGCCGAAACUUCAAACUAGUUUAGGAUCAAAGGCGCAAAACCACUGUAUAGGGAAGCUCAUCCUUCAUGAAGGUGAGGAAUGAUUUUUCUUUUUAAUUUUUUCCAGUAGAGGAGGGGCGGGAUUUAAGAAGCGGAGAGAGGGAAGAGAGAUUUUAGAAACAUGACCAGUGGAUUUGUUUGUUCCUUUGAUAUCCGAUUUUGGUAGGGAGUGGUCAAAAAGUUUACUUGUAUCUUUUGGUGAAUGUAUCAUAACCAAGUCCUUUGAAAAGAAAAUUUGUGCAUUACUUGUAACAAGUGAGUGAUAAUGACUUAUAAGUUGAAUUUAUGAAUUUUUUUUUUUUGCCCUUUUUGGGGCAAUCCAGCCUUUGAAGAUUAUAUCGAUGUAUAAUGAGCAUUGGCCAACUGUUGGAGUCACAAGUGAAAGAAUUACUUCCACUCAAUCAUUGGAAAGAAAGGGGAAAAACAUGGAUCUUUGUAACAAGAAAAGCUGAAAAUACAAGCCAAAAUAUUACUACUAUUUUGUAAUAGAAAACAAAUCAUCCAUCACUCUGAGGAGUGCUAGUUUUGGACCUUAAGUUUUGGACCUUAAGUUCCUAACAAUUACUAGUUUUGGACCUUAAGUUCCGCGCAACAGCCCCAGACUAACGAUCUUGUGGCUCUUUUUUUUUUUAAAAAAAAUAAAAAUAAAAAUAAAACUAAAACAAGCUUUUCUUACGUUAACAGUUUUUAAAUUAGCGGGUGCAGAUACAUGCCAAAUGUGCAAGCUUAAACUUCAAAUGUAAAUAAAGAUCAAGUGGCACACUUCCAGACAUGCUAGUAUAAUAAAAUUCAUACAAUGUUAGUGUGAAAAACCUUAAUCUCUUUCCUUUUUCUAAAAAGAAAAGAAAAAGUGUUAUUUUAGGUGCACAGUGUAACAAAGGCUUACAUGCUUAUGCAAGAGAGGGUACAAAGUUGCAACUCAAGUUGUUUGAAAGCAUGUUUUGCUCCAAAUUUUCUUGAGCCAAUUCUGACAUCUGACAGUUUGAGAAUUCUCCUAACCUGCCCUUGGUCCCUUGUUUCAAUUUUGAUAUUGAAUAUUGACCUAAGCUACCGGAUGAGAAGUGAUCAACCUACAUUCUUUCUGGUUUUUUUUUUUUUUUAACUUGAAGAAUACUGCUUGCUGCCGACAAUGGGUCAUCCAUAAUUCUACAUAUAAAUGUCAAAUUCACAUCUAACGACGACUAAUUGAAAAAAAAAAAACAAAAAAGAAGAGAGAGCAAGUGAAAAAAAUUAAGGCACAUCAAUUUAUUCAUGGUGGUCCAAUUUUAUAGCAGGGAAAAGAAGGUUAUCCUUUCCUUUUUUUUUUUUAUGGCAGUCCAAUUUUCAAGAAUGUAAUACAGGUAGAUUGGGGACGACAUGUUACCUACUUUUCCUAUUUAUGAUCUUAUUAUAUGCUAUUAGCGCUGAAUUAAGUUCCUUCAACUAAUUGCUGAAAUACAUGAUUAGCAAAUGAAUAUAUUAAUUGUUUGAGUUAAUUGUAAACAUCCAACAUGAUUCCUAAAAUUAUUUAAGUACUAUGCUAUCUAUGUAGUUGUUCGAGCAACUAGAAAUUAAAUACUUCUUAGAGAAUGAGUUUUCUUCACGAAAGGUCAUCAUUACUAGUGGGGCGGGGCAUAUUUAUUCUAACAAUCGUUGUCACUUGGAAACAAAAGCAAUAUUGAAAAUUCAUAGCAAGUUGAGGCAGAAAUUGACAAACUACGACAAUUCAAUUCUAAAAAAACUACAACAAUACAGCAAUAAUAUAAUAAAAUCAAAAUCAAGAUUACUUAAUCCUUUUUUUAAUAGGAUAUUAUUAUUUCUUAUAAGAGAAAGAUAGAUCACUAUAACUACCUUACCUUGUCCCUUAUAUUAGAUAGGAAGUAUAACUACUGACAGAAUUAAGAAUCAACAUGUAACAUUUUCUUCAAAAGAGAUUUCAAAUCUUAUAAGUGGUAGGGGAAAGGGAAGGGUUUGAAAGUCAAAAAAAAAAAUCUCGUGAUUACUAUACUAAUCUCUAUACCAACUAAAUUGAAUCUUAAUGCAUAAAAAAUGGUGUCCCCUAGAUAUUUAAUUACUAUCUAUUAUUAUUAUUUUAAAUUUUUAUAAUAUGCACAAAUAGUAAUAUCAGGAAUUGCCUUUUUGGAUCUAGAAAAUACUAAUAAGAAUGGACAUAGACAGUGUGGAAAACGUGCACACAAUAGUGUGCAGAGAACCAAGUCAUCGAGAAAUAUAAAUAGCUCAUCUUGACAUGGUCCAGAUAGAUAACUUAGAUGCCAACAUGACAGCAGUGUUACAUGCACCUAAUUUUCUGCUCGAUUUCAACAUUUGUAGUGAAUGAAUUUAAUGCCCCAAUUGAUCAGAAAGGUCCUGAACUCACGUCCCAGUUGGAUUCUGUUUCGAAGGCAAGAUAUGUAGAUAUUUCUUUGUUGGAUACCCUUUUUCCCUCUAGUAACUAUUCCUGCCUUUUAUUUGAAUCUUCAACGUUUCGAUUUAGCUUUAUACUAAAGUUUCUACUAGGAAAAAAAAAAAACAAUUCAUUGUCCUUGAUGAAAAUUAAAGAGAGUUCUUUGACACAACACAGGAAAACAAAGUAUUCAAUCGAAUAAAGAAAAUAAAGCAUAUUUACCAAAAUUAGUUCAUCAUUCAAGGUUUCAAGACCUUCAAAAGUUAUGCUUCAUUAAACUGUAAUACUCAAAUGUUCUUUGUGGAAUUCAAGAAGCUUCAUUUGAGAGCCUAUUUAACCAAAACUUCUGCUAAAAUCGUGAAUCUAGGUUGCAUGUAUACAUCAAAAUUCAAUCUCACCCUAUAAUGAAGAAGACGAGUUCCAUAUGAUUUGGCUACAUGUAUAUGUACACAUCAGUCAUCACAAACCUAGUUGACUGGUUUAAUAUGGACAAAACGUGGAGGUAUCUAACUCCAAAAUUACAACAUCUUUCAAUCUCAAUCAACAAAUACGGAUCAUAAAGUGGUGGCCUCACCGGAUUCCACCACGAACAAAGCCAAUUUAUUUCCACCGAGUCUCCCCGAAGAAAAUUGAACCGAGUCAUCCCGCUUCAUCACAAACCGAGCUGACUCACUCCCCUUGUCACAUUUUCCCCAUGUUAACAACUUCUUUUCCUCCUUGUACACCUUCAAUUUAUCAGUCUUUUCUCUCAAUUCACUAACCAAGACCCAUAAAUUCUCCGUGGAAGGCUUCUUGACUGGAAAUAGCAAUGAUAAUUUCUCCUUACAGUCUUCUAAUCUCUUUAGGGCACAUACUAACUCGACCGACUCAGCGAAACUCAGACCGCUGAGUCGCAGAUUGAACUCACUGAGCCGUGACAGAAUUUCGUUAACCGCCGACAAAUAAUCAUUGCUCAAUAAAUUGAUCACCUCGUACAAUAACUUGUUCCCUUCGACAAAGCUGGGAUCAGGUCCUUUGCAUAUUUCUUCAAUCAUUCCAACCAAUGAAUCAAUGUCUCUGACUAAAUCUUGACUCAAGAAAGAUGAAAUUCUUUCUUCUUGCUUAUCUCUUUCCAUGCUGCAUGAAGUUGAUCCCAAGAAGUAACCCAAAACCCUAGAAGUUGAGAGCAGGGAUUCAAUGUAACGCGCGUACCAUCUCACCCAUGCAGACAAAACCCACGUGAAAGCGGUCGCACCGUCGCGGAAGGAGGAGAGUUUGAGGUAGUUGUAUCCACCGGCGGCAGGAAAAAUAGAAAGCUGGUCUUGAAGAAUAAAGGGUCCACGCUUAAUGAUGUGGUGGAGGGUUAGGAGGCACUUCAGCGCUACAGUGGAGUUGCUGGUGCGGUGGAGGCGGUCCAUGAGGGAGGAGAUGAGGGCGGAGGCAGUGGUGCGUGAGCUGUCUCCAAGGGCGAGUAGGGCGGAGAUGUGGUUGUCGUUUGGUGGCGUGGAGGGCAUGUGGGCGGUGACACGGAGGACGGCGAGGCGGAGGGAGAUUGUUUCAGGGGUGGAAACAAAAGCGGCUUUGGAUGCUGAAGCCUUGUCUUUGAUAACUCCUAUGAGAUCUCUCAACGUCGUUAUUCUCCCCAUGGAUAGCGGUUAGAAACUAGAAAGUGAAAGGAGUUUGGAGAGACAGAAAAGAAAAGAAAAGAGAAGUAAGGAGUGAGUUAAGGAAUGUGGGGUUUUAUGGUGGUGGGGGGGGGGGGGUUUAACAAUUUUAAGACGUUAACCAGGGAAGUAGGGGAGACUUUUUGCUGGCUAAUUUUGGGGUUGAAAGGGUCUUGGAUCUCUGAUUAUAGGCGUGAUUUGACCGAUGGUAAAAGUCUAAAAGCAAGAUAUUUUAUUGUAGUAGUAAUGGGCAGAUAUGGUAGGGGAUAUCUCUUGUUUUUUUUUUUUGGAUAGGGUCCUUAGGGAAGGAAUUGAAGGUAUCUUCUUUUGGCCAGGGAAAUUGGGACUUUCCCUUUUGUUGUAGGUUAGGUUGAUUUUUUUUUUUUUUAGGUUCCAAAGUACAAAAACAAAGUAAUCAAGUUGGAACUUGUUUUUAUUUUUUAGCUUUUAAAUGAUGAAAAUAAGUAAUUGGAGCUGAGGAGAUGAGGAUAAGCAGGUGAGAGUGAAAUGGCAGCAACAACCGACCUUCCAUUAUUGAAGAAUGAAGACGCUAAGACAGGGUGUAUGAAUUGCCGAGCUCACCGAAUGGUUAAAUAAAUGAAGACCCAAUUGAUUCAAAAAAAAUUUGGGAUUUCUCAACCAAGCUAUGCAAGAGUUUAUUAGUUGUUUGGUAAAGUUCAAAAAGCUUUUUUUUUUUUUUUUUUGGCCCCCUUUUGUCAACUACGUUUUAGUACUUCUGCAAUAACAUACCCGAACUUAAAUGGGAUGGAUACCUUCUUUUUUUAUUUCUUUUUUGCCCUUUUAGAACUGGAUGAACAUAUGGUACAAUGAGGUUUUCAGAACAGAAAUACACAAUUUGGCUACUGGCCAAAAUUCUAAUGAUCCAACAAAAUAUGUGAAAAAUGUGCCCUCACCUUUUUUUUUUUUUAAAAAAAAAUCAUCAGCCCCUAAUGAUUAAUUCAACGAUGUCUAUAGAAAGCUAUAAUCAAGAUUGCUUAAAUUAUGAUCUCCUAAUAUUUCAUCGAUUUGCUCUAUCUUGGACUUAGUAAGAUGUUCCUUAAAUAACAACUAUCCUAGAAAAGUUGAAAAGGAAAGUACGGAAAAUGGAGGACGGCGUGUUGAAACCAAUCUAAACCCAGUGAGAGAUGAAACUAAAUUUUGCAAAAGUUAGAACAGUGCGUGGAGAAUUAUUCAAUUUAUUUUUAGGUUAGCCAUCGAUGUUUGUGACCUACAAGUCGUUGAUCAACCGAUCUGACUGACUGACGUUUGCACUAUGCACAAAAGGGAGUGAUAGCGAUUUAUUUCAUUAAUUAAAAGACAAUUUAAAAAUUUCUUGUAUAUUUCAGUUAUAUUCAAAAUUUUUUAGAUAUAUUGUAUCUGUUGAAUUGCAAAUAUGAUAUGUUAUUUCUAAUGCAUGUUUAACAUAUCAUUAGGGUAGCAAUAUAAAUCAAAUCGAGUUGGACGAUCUCCAAUAAUUGAUUAUGAAAUUUGCUUUUUACAUAAAAAAAAAAAAACUCCUGCAUACGUCAUAGAACAUGGAUGAUUGUCUUUUUCUUUCCUUAAAAAAUCAAUAAUAACGGAGACUUUAUUGUUGACAUUUACUUUCAAUUAUAUUUUCACAGCCAUGACUCAUCCUCCAUACAAAUAUUUUCUCAUGAAGAAAUGCUCUAAUUCAAAUUGCAAAUACUAAGAGAUGACUUGAGCAAAGGCAAUUGACAUGCAGAAAUCAUCUUACACAGACAGGCGUGUUAAUAAAAAAAAAAAAAAAAACGGGUGUGUUUAUCCAAACAAGCAAGUGGGAAUAAAAUUCGCAACCACCCGUUGCUCAAUGAGUUGUGAACGCUGCUGCAUUGACUGACAUUUCUUUUUCUACAACUUCUCUACGACCCACAAAAUUAUGAUUUGUUGUCUCCUUUUAGACCUUUCAGCCUUAAUUGAUGUUAACUCUUGUUGUUUGUCAUUAAUUAAAUUGUAGACUAUCAUUUUGUUUUGGCCCACCUCUCCGAGGAAAGGGCGUGUAGAUGUGUAGUGUAGAGUAUCAAGAAUUGUAAUACGGACCCGAACAAAGCAUUGCCCCUUAGAAAGAGGAUCCUGUGCACACCUGCAACAAGUUUGCAACCGAUAGACUGUGCCAGCUCCAUUGGGUUUUUUAAAUGUCAAUUCUUUUGGGUUUGGUGUGGAGUGGGGGGGGGGGGGAGGAAGGGGAAGAAAACAAUGAAUUAUUUGAAUAAGAGAAAAACGUCUUAAAAAGGGCCUAAUUCUGCAACUAUCACAAAACAGAAAAAGAGUAGUUCAUCAGCGGGCAAAGUGAUCACAAGAUAAAAAGUUAAUUAGCGGCUACUGAUAUUGCGAAUACAAUUUGCUAUUCAGCAAAGGUUUCAAGACAAAGGAGGGAUUAAAAGUUUGUGUUUACACAUUUGUUUUAUGUAGAAAGCAGUCAUCAGUACUCAGCCAUGGGGAUUUUGCUACACAACCUACGUUAAUAAAGCCGAAAACAGCAUCAAAACAGAAAACAAUAAUGUAUACGAAAUUAUUUAGAUAUAAAGCAUUGGAUAAACUUGUUAACUUCUCUAAUAAUUUUUCAUCGUUAUGCUUAUGGAAAUAAAUCAAUACAACCCGAACGAACAUCCGAAUAGUAAAACAAUAGAGUGGUGAUUUUUGGCAAAUAGAAGCAAGUUGCAGUAUUUAGACGCUCUAUAGACUAUGCCCAAAGGGGGGUGGAUAAAGAUAACCGGAAAGCCAAAAGUUUCUUGGAUUAAUUUCAACGUUCAAAUAAGUGAUGUUACCGUCUCAAUUACUUCCUUUUACUAUAAUGCGAAGCUACUUGAUUGCUUUCUUUGAACAUAAACCUUGGUGGUGGAGCACUAACCUUUGUACCAAAUUUGUGUAGUGGACAAAUGAGUUUGUGUAAUAAAGACUCCUUCAAGCCAAUGACCAGGCCAUGAAGAACAAGCCAAAAGUUGAUUUAUAGACCCCAUGCAAUCAUUAUCUUCAAGUUUAUGGAUUCUUUUUGGACGUAUUGUUAACGAAUCAGGGUUCAAGAUUCAGAAAACCGAUCAAAGCCAUAAAAAACUUACAGCAUGCGGACAAACAACUAUUUUCUAGUCUAAGAGCUUGAAGAUGCUGGAAUAUGUGCAUGGAUAGGGUUACUGUAUAGAGGACAGACGCCUGUAAUCCAUCUUUAAUUUCAUUGCCUAAGCGUCUAAUUAAGAAAAACUAAAUUAUAGUGAAUUCCAAAUUGACAUACAAGCAAGCCCUCCGCGUGUCUUCAAAUUUUUGAAAGACUAAUACAACAUAAAGAAAUUGAAGGGAGAAAAGUAGUACGGAGUAAAAAGGAAGCAAAUAAGCUAUAGAACAGAAAAAGUGUUUGUUCGUUUGAAGAAAUAGACCGUUUUCCAGAAGCAAUGUUGUGCAACUUCACAUGUAAACUAGUCAAUCUUACUGAACAAUAUAACUAAUCUGGAACUUUGAAGAGUCUUCCAUACUCCAGUAUAAGAUAAACAACAGAAGACAUGUUCCAUAUGAAACAAAAACACGUGCAAACCAAAAACAGAAAAGGGUAAUAUAAACUUAUUUUAAUGAGUCCAACCUUAAUUAAUCAUGAUUUGUCAAUACUUGGAAAAUUCUUCAUUGUCUUUGUUGGUGAGAAAACAAUGGAUGAAUUAUUUGAAAAGAAUAGAUUGUGAACAAUGCAUUUUAGCUAUUCAUGACUUUCAAAUACUAUAAUUGCAAAACAAGUCCUCAUUUGAUUUUUCAAUAAUGUAUGGAAGAAUAUAUGAAAACAGAUUAUUUUCCUUGACAUUUUCUUUUCCUUCACGAAUUUAGGAUAAAAGUGGGACGUUAGUGCUUUAAAAGAAGGGGGGGGAAAGCAAUCGAGUCUAUAUGAUUGUGUACUAGCAAUAAACUACUCUUUAUAAACCCAUGAGAUUGGAGCAGUUGAUAAGCGGGUUGCUAAUGCUAACGGGAGGUUACAAGUUCGACUCCUACAUAUGACACCUGAAAAGUUCUGGACCAAACCUUUACCCCUGAAUAAGAGUCGGAUUCUGCAGGCACUCCCUAAUCGAAUCCGAAUUAGUCUUACUUAGGUUGGGGAUACUGGAUGCUCAAAGCAAAAAAAACUACUCUUCAUGAAAAUUUUCAUAUAUAAUAUAUUCAUAUUUUUGACGGAAUCCUGGAUUAUUUGGCAUACAUGCACAUGCCAAAAAAAAUCUUUGGAUAGUCCAUUAUAAUCUUACUUUCCCUUUUUCUGGGGAGAGAGAGAGAGAGGCGCCCCCGGGGGGGGGGGGGGGGGUUUAAGUGUAGGGCGGGGAGUUUCUCUGAAAGAGGUCCAGGUGCUUAUAGUUGAAAUAACUGAGCAAUUAUGGACAAAAAUCGCAGAAAUCACUGUUUCGAAAAGAACAAAUGCUUUAGGGUUAACCCUGCUAUGCUAUAGCUUCCUUGGAGAUUUGUCCUAAGCUAUCCUCGUAUGAAAGGGACAUAGAAACACGAAAAGUAGAAUGAAAAGAUCAAAUGCACGUUAUUUGUUUGUCAUGAUGAUUUCCGCAUCUUGGGCCAUAUUGCAUCAACAUGCGAAAAUGGCGAAGGAAUUUGUUUCUUGCCUAAUUCCAAGUCAAAGACAUCCACAGGAACUUGGUACUAAUUAUGCUGCAAUUACGUUUUAAAAAAAAAUCAUUUCCAAAAGAACAGUUCUACCAUAUGUACAAAUACUACCCAAUUCUACAAGGGAAAAUCGUUCAAAAUAUCCCUCAUAUUUUACAAAAUGACUUUUUUCGUCCCUCACUUUUAAAAGUGUAAUUUUACAUUCCUUACAAAUUCACAUUGACCAAAUUUGGUCCCUACUUAGGUUUCCGACUAGUUUUUGGUCGGAAUCUAUCACGUGACUUGCAUGUGAUCAUUUUUUAAGGGCAAAAUUGUCAAAUAAAAUUCUUACAUAAUUUGAUUCAUAGUCCCUCACAUUUCAUAAAACAAAUUUUUUCAUCCCUAACAAUUUACAAAAUAAAUUGUUUCGUUUCUCACAUUUCAAAAAAUGAAUUUUUUCAUCCCUCACAUUUUUCAAAAUGAAUUUUUUCAUCUCUCAUUGAUCAUGUGUACGAAUAGCUUUUUUUCUACAAACCCAUGUAAAUGUUUAUUUGAUUUUACCUGAAUAGUGUGAAUAACAUGUAAUUUAUCUCUAUUGGAUUUCAUCUAAACAUGCUAAUCGUAGUUAUACACAUGCUAUUCAAUAGAUAUAUAUAAGGGUUUAAAACUAAUAAUUUUGUUUGAAACCUAUGUAUAUAUUUAUAUGAUUUCAUCAUUUGAACCUAUUCAAUAGUUGUGACCUUUCUCUUUUGAUAAUAAUUUAUUUAUUGAGUUGUAUAAUAAGGUCAUCUAAUUAAUUGGUCCUAACUUGAAUUCUAUAAUUGUGCUAAUAAAUUUUAGUUUAAAUCUGAAAUUUCUACUCGACACUUUUAAGACCAACAGUUGAAUUACUUGCCUUGUGAUUGUCUUAAAAUUUGAAAGUGCCAAUCACUUAUUUCUUUUUGUCAUACUUUUCUUUUGUUUACUUUUUCUAUCCAAAUUUAAUUCAAUAUAAACACUCGAUAAUAUUUAGGAUUAAAUGUCAUUUUUACUUUCAAAUUUCAAGUAAAAAAAAAUGAAUAUAAGUGAAAAGUUAACAAUUUUUUUAAACCCAUGUAUAUAUCUAUUUGAUUUCAUUUGAGCAGUACGAAUAGUAUGUAAUAUAUCUUUAUUUGAUUUCACAUGCUAUUCGUACUGUUCAAGUGAAAUUAAAUAGAUAUAUACAUGGAUUUAAAAAAAAAUUAAUCACACACAUGAUCAAUAAAAGAUAAAAAAAUUCAUUUUGAAAAAUGUGAAGAAUGAAAAUAUUCAUUUUGUGAAAUGUAAGGGACGAAAAAAUUUAUUUUAUGAAAUGUGAGGGAUUAUGAAUCGAAUUAUAUAAAAUUUGAUUUGACAAUUUUGCCCUUAAAAUAUGAUCACGUGCAAGGCACGUGGUGAAUUCCGACCAAAAACUAGUCGGAAACCUAAGUAGGAACCAAAUUUGAUCAAUGUGAAUUUGUAAGAAACGUAAAAUUACAUUUUUAAAAGUGAGGGACGAAAAAAGUUAUUUUACAAAAUGUGAUGGACGUUUUGAACAAUUUUCCCAUCCUACAACUAUUAGAGAGUCAAAUAAAGAAAGUUAUUUAGUGGCCAAAAUCUUAAGAGAAAAAGUUAUUUAGUAGCUAGAGAUACUGUAAACAUAAAUAGCUACUCUAUAACAGUUUCAAUAUAAAAGAUGGGGUUAAAUUAUAGAAUUAAUUUUUCCUACACUGACUUUGAAUGAAUGACAACUAUGCAAAAUCUGAAUUUGAAGUUCUACUUUUGCACAUGUGUCAUGAAUAUAAGGGUGACAGUGUAUACAAAAUUUAUUCUAAAUUAUAAUUGUGUUUACUGUUUUACAAAGGAUCUUAGGAAGCAGUCAGCCAUGGGUUUUUCCUACAUAUGCUAUAGUAAGGCAGAAAACAACACGAAAACAGAAACUCGUGUUCAACAAUUAAAGAUAAAGCACUGGAUGUAUAUUGUAUAGACUUGUUGACUUUCUCUAAUUUUCUUGCUGACAUGCACAUAAACAUGUAUUUUGCUGGAUCUCCAACUUUUGUAUGGUUCAUACAGCAAAGGUUUUGUAACAAACAAAUAAUUGUGUAUACAAUACUUUAGUUUCCUCCAAGCCAACAAAUGAGCCGAUUUAUCAACAAAUCGGAUGACGAGAAAACUAAGAAAGAAAUCAUAGCCACAAGGCAUUUGUCCAUCUUCAAGGAUUUUUCUUUUCAUCAUCUUAAAGAUUAAAGAUUCUUUUAAUUUUUUUUGGGAUAGAGAAAAUGGAAUUUGGUGUUGCUCUUUUCCUCAUCUUUACGAAAAUGCCGCCAAGGGUCAUCGGAGGCCUUUUAGACUUGCAUAUAUUCUUGGAUAAAAAUGGUAGUAUAACAUAUGGUAAAAAUAAAUGCUACUACUUAUGGUUAUUGGAAGAAAUAGAAAUCAGAGAAUGCUUUUGCAGCUAAUGCCCUUCAUUUUUUUGGUCCAGUAAUCUCUUUGUAAUUUCCUCCAAGUCCAGGGAAAUUAUUUGUAGUGCAAAUCCAAAAGAUGCAGAACCUUAUUUUGUUCUUAUUUUUCUGCAGAUUCCUAUGAGAAUGUGUCUAAUACUGAUUUGCUAUAAAUCUAUUAUACCAAUAGUCACAAAAGAAAUUAAUUUUUCUCUACAAAGAUACAUGAGCUACCAAAAUCUUUAACCAAAAUCUUUAACUGCAACAUUAGCUGAGUUAGGAUCAAAUUUUGUUGACUUGCAGACAUAGUGGUCUGGUUUCAAAGGUUUGGAAAAUUGACCAUGAUAAGAUGGAAUAAUUUAAACUAAUCUAGGAUGUCACUGUACACGCUGAUCAUGGGCUUGUAAACGGCAUAUUUGACAUAGGUAUAUCAAAUUAAAAGGCCCUAUAUCAAUUGACCCAACCCAACGAAUGAUAUUAGAUUAGCCAUGGAAGCCCAACCCAUAUGCCUAACUACCUCCAACUGGGUCUGCCUAACGACCCCCAACUGGUACUGGCUAAGAUGUAGUUUAGUUAUUAAAUUUUUUUCGAAAAAAUAAAGUCAAUUAGAAAAAAUGUAUGAGCUCUCAUUGGUACUCGUUAAAAUGUAGUUUAGGUAUUAAAUUUUUUAAAAGUAAAGUUAAUUAGAAAAAAUGUAUACAUACAAGAAAGAGUAAUAAUUAGUAGUAUAUGCAUUCGCAUAAUAGAUUAGGUGUGAUUUAAAUGAACUAACAAGCGUCCAUUGUGCAUCCGUUACAAACACUCUUAAAUUAUUAUGCAGCAACAACUCAUUACACUUCUUUUCUGACAAAAAUAAUAAAUAUAGAAAAUCACUAACUGAUCUUGAAAGUAUCCAAAGAAACCUAUCAAAAGUUUUUAACUAAUGGUAAUGCCGACAUCAAUAGUUCGUAUCCAAUCUUUUUCACUUGCAGAAAUAUAUUACUAACUUUUUGUGCCCUAGAUACUCCCUUGAGUCCCAAACCUCAUUUCAAAGGUUGGCCAUGAAAAAGACGGGCUAAAAUGGAAGACCUUACUAUGGGCUUGUAAUUAAACUACAUCUUUGAUGUGGAUGUUUCAAAGGAAAGGCCCGUAUCAAUUUGACCCAAGGGACGACAUCAAUACAAGCCACGGAAGCCCAAACAGCACGACAAAUUUGCUUGCAUUUCGAUGUAAAGAAUGUUUGGUAAAAUAUUUGGAGCAGUGCCAUAAUAUUUUUUCUGACGUGAUAUAAAUGUAAUAAAAAAAUACUUAGAAAACAUGUUUACGAUGCGAACAUACAAACUCAAAUUUUCUUUUGAGCAAAUGUAAAAUUUAAUUAAGAUCAUCAAAGGAGCUUAUACACGAGUUUCCUCAUAUAUAUUUAAGCAUAACUGUAGACACAAACAACAAACAAAACUGAUUGAUAUGAACCUCCAAUCUACAUUCUACAAUUGAAUGCUUAUGCAUUUUCCUUUAAAAUUCGGUCCUGCGCCAAAUAUGCUGAGAUUGUUCGGGAGGCAAGAGAUAGAUGAGAAUCAAACUCAUAUUCGGAUUUAAUAUAGAAAUCUCACCAUUCGUACUCAUUGGCCUUUGCCUGAAAUUUUCAGUUCUCUUCAAAUGCAAGAUGAAGAACUGAAAAACUUAAAGCUUGUGAAGUGUUCAAAACGAUAAAGAAUUAGUUGGUUUUCAAUAGCUUAGACCAUGUUUGAAUUGCAGUAUUCUACAGAAAACUUUUUACGUUCUUUUAUGAGCAUAUUUUUAAUUAUUUUUUAAACUCAUAUAUAUAUAUAUAUAUAUAUAUAUAUAUAUAUAUAUAUAUAUAUAUAUAUAUAAAUUUAUUACAAUAUAUUUUUCUACGAAAAUUUUUAAAUGUAGCGAUCCAAAAGGAACCUUAAUAAAUCUUGAUGGUGCUGGAAUAACAAAUUGGCAUCCUGAAUCUUCCUUGAACUUUGCGGUCUAAAUGAACACGCAUCACCAAGCGCUUUUCCUCAAGUACUUUUUUUUUAAAAGUACAUUUCCUCAAGUACUUUUUUUUUUUGUUUUUCCUGACGGAGGGGGUAUCCGGGCCAUCGGAUAAAUCAGAUCCGACUAAUCCCCCACCAGUCCGAGAGGAGAGGCCCCAUCCCCCGAACACGUUAAUCAUAGGACUCGAACCCUCACGGGAGACUGGAUAUAGGCUCUUAAGAAAGAUGCCGUCACGGGGGGCCAUUUCCUCAAGUACUUGAACGGCCCAAAUUGAGCAAACAAACCCUCCUUGAACUUUGCGGUCUCAAUGAACACGCAUCACCAAUACCUUUUCCUCAAGUACUUUUUUUUGAAAAGUACAUUUCCUCAAGCACUUGAACGGCCCAAAUUGAGCAAACAAACCCCUUCGUGAUACUUGGCAUUGUUUCACUUGAGGACCCAAACAUUGAGAUGCCACACUAUGUCUUGUCUCCAGAUCUGAGGCUCUAACCUGUAAAAAGACCAAAGGAGGAAAAAGUGCCAAAUUUCCACGUAUCAUUUUUAUCUACAGGCAAGUCAUUUUUAUCUACGUCUUUCUGCCAACCAAGCAUGUGCCAGAUAUUGCUGUCCGACACUAUAAAGGGGCGUUGCAUGCUUCAACCUUCAAGGUUCAUGUUUGAAUGUUCAUUCGUAAAAUAAAGAAAACCUUUACAUGUCAAAGCCAUAUAUACAUAUAUAUAUAUAUAUACACAUAUAUGUGUGUGUGUUUGUUAAAAAAUUCUAUGAAUCUGUCUCCAUCAUUUGUACCAUUCCUGCGACUAAAAAGAUUGGUACGUAGUCAUUUGGAGUUAAACAUUUGAAGCAAAUUUGAUGAGACGGAUUUUUCUUUGAGCAAGUUUAUGAGAUGAUUUUCCAAGCAACUCUGAAUUGUUAACCUUUUAAACCUGUAAUGACUUUUGAAAAGCUUAUAUUACUUUGCACGAAAUUUUCAUUAUAUUACAUCUGCCAAAAAGCUUUUCCUCUUGUCCUGUACUUCAAAAGUAAACAUCCAGAAAAAAGGGCAAAAAAAAAAAAAAAAAAACUAAAGGACAUGGAUGAGUGGAGAAACCAGGCUAGAAAACGAUGCAUAUGGUUUUGUCUUACUGUUUAACUUUUGUCUGUUCGCGGUUUAGAAAUCUUUUCUCAGCGUCGGUCCAAAUUAAACAAUGAAACCUGAUGUUACACGGAAACUAUAUCGUCCCAAUCAUGCCACGUAGUGUGUCUUGGAAUAAACCUCAUGUUAACACGUCCAAUCUAUUUCACUGAAAAUUUCAGUGAAAAUUGCUGAUAAUAACAUGGCGGAUCUUGAUUGAUUAGCCCAGAAUGCUGGUCGUCCUACGUUUUUAUGAUCGAUCACACCAAAAAAGUGGAACCCAAAAAAGCUCUACUUCAACUGAUUAGACGUAUAAAAGGUUUCACAUUAGAUUGCAUCAGGUGAAAAUACUUUUGUCGUAUAUUUUUUAGAUCAGUGGAAGUCUCCAAUUGGCAUAUCAAGACGAUCUAGUGAUUAUUGUGUAGUGGCAAUGCCGUUUACUAGUGAUUAAUUAAGGUUAUAUGUGACAUCAUAUUGUGUUCUUUCUCAAAUAUAUGUAUUGCUUCUUAAUCGAAUAUAGCCUUCGAUGAAAAGAAAUUAUUAUAUUACCGACCAUUGAAGGAUGGACAAAGAUAAUGCUUAAUUCUGCUCAAUUUUUUUAAUUAUACAAAAGUGGCCCUUGUGGUGGGAUAUGACCUUGAAUUACCACUUCAUGUAUGAAACCAAAUAAUUAUAUUUCAUUGAAUUUGACCACAACCUAUAUAUAUUUCUUACUUAUGGCGUUUGAUUUGGUGGAAUUUCCAUGAAACAUAAAACUUCAAACUAAAAGAUCAUCGGGCUUCUGUAUCUACUGGCUAACUAUAGAAUAUGAGCAAAUCGGGAAAAAUGUCAUUAAACUAUAUACUUGUACUAGUUCAGGUCACUAAACUAUUUUUUUAAUAAAAAAUGUCACCGACCUAACCAAAAUGCAUGUUUUAUAUCAUUCAGUAAAUGUUGACUGUCAAGACAAAUGGAAUGAACAUCACAUGUAGGGCUUGAAGGGCAAAAUGGUUUAAAAAUUUUAAACACGCUAAAGAAGCCACAAUAGCCGACCCUUCAAUUCAGAAGCUCAAUUUAUGAACACAAUUGGGGUAUCGGAGAAGCCAUUGAGCUUGACGUACAUUCACAGCAGGGGUGAUAAUCGGACAAGUUUGGAUGGGACUUUGGUGUUUGAUUCUGCCAAUAAGGUAUCGGCUAGUCACGUGUUGGGGUCGGGGAAUUGUAAAUUGAAGUACAAUUAUGUCCAUGGCGGCCUCUGACCAUCUUCAAACCCAGGUUCGAUUUUGCCAACAAUUCGUGGGAUCUUGCAAUUUCGCGUAGGGUUUAUGGCGAUGAUGUGUUCAGGGCUGCUUAUUAGACCUCGAGUCAGAAUUUGGGGCUUGAGUAGUUGAGCGAUUCAAAAUUGAACAGGUCGUUUAAGGUAUUAUAUUGCUGUUUGAUUUGUUGGUUGCUGUGUUGUUGAUUUUUUAUGAAGAAUUUAUGGAUCCAUUUCAAUGGUAUAGUUCGAAUGCAGUUUGAUUUGAGCUAGCCUUGUUUGGAUCGCAUUUUCUUGGAUUUUUUUGUAGAAAAAUUACUGUACCGAUUUGAUUUAAUGCAUGUAAGGAAAAAAAGAUAAUAGGAAAAUGUGAUCACAGAAAACGACGUAAUUUUUGGGCAAAAAAAGGCUGUUCUGAUGGGGCCUUAAUUUUCCACCUUUUUAAACUUUAACUCGAUUGCCUUCUACUACAACUAAUCAAUAUUUUAGCAUCUCCAAACCCACCUCAUCACAAGCACAUGCAAAGUAUCGCCUUGCUGGGUUUCUAAUGGUUUUUGUUCCACAAAGACAAAUCGGAGAUACUUCCUUAUGUCUUGAAAUCAUGAAAUUUCAACCUAUCCACCAAAUCAGAGAUUCCUAAAUGGUUGGUAAACCCAUAUCAGAUCUAUGGUUUGAAAGGGAGAAGGAGCUGCCUAUAUUGUUUAGGGGUCGUUUAUGAAGACAAACUUCAAUCAAAAAAUUGAACUAACGAAUUUACCCCUAAAAAAUCAAGUUUGCAACUCACCUGACAGCAAUUCCAUUUGCCUUGAUAAUUAAAUUAGACGAAAUGAUACAAAACAUGCAUUUUAAUUAGUUUAAUGAUAUUUUUGGCGAAGAAAAUAUUUUAGUGACAUGAACUAGAACAAGUGUCCUGCAUAGGAUAGUUAUACUGGGUUUCGUAGGGGGUCGUCACUUCUUAGUAGCAGCGGGCCUACUAGCUUGCCCUUGUGGGGUUGCCAUCCCACAUCGGUUCUUGGGGGGGUUUGGGGUUGGGUUUAUAAGUCACUGGGAGGACCUCAAAAGUUACCGACUUUUGAGAUUUCUUCUGGGAUUAGGUUUAUUAAUCUAACUUUCGUCAAAAAAAAAAAAAAAACUAGAACAAGUGUAUAGUUCAGUGAUAUUUUGCACGAUUUGCUCAUAGAAUAUUCUUCCUUUCACGGUCUGAUCACUUAGAAAUAUUUCGAAAAGAAAAAAAAAAAAUUGCUUCGUAAAAACUGCCACGACAAGAUCUACUUGAUGAUUUGCAACUUUAUGCAAAGUGGAACGGACAAGAACAAUAACAAACAAACAAACAAGCAUAGCCCUUACACAUUGUAAAUGCAUAUAUCCUAUACUUUUUCUCUACCACUCCUAAAAAAAUCCUAAACUUUAGUCCACAUAGUUUCUAUAUAAACUCCCAAGAAUGCUGCAAACCAGUAUCAACCUCAGACUUUAUAGCCGCACAGUGAUCAUGCCAUACACAAAAAUAAGCUCUACCACCACUCUUACAAGCAGUGUCACCACAGUCGACUGCCAGAAACAAGUCCGAUCGUGGCGGCUUCUCCGUUCUAUCUUAGAGCUACUUAUUCCUAGUUGCAAUUGCGUCUUUGUUAAAGAAAAUGAGUUGCAAGACAAAAAAUGCUGUGACUACAGCUAUUGCUAUUAUCGACAACCUAGUUUCUUCUCUAACACCACCAUCAGUGGCACCAUAUUUGGUCAUCGACGUGGAAAAGUUAGCUUUUGUAUCCAGGAAAACCCUAAAUCCACCAUCCCGAUGCUUCUUCUUGAACUUGCUAUAUCCACAAGCACACUUGCUAGGAAAAUGAGAGGAGGGUUCGUCAGAAUUGCCCUCGAAUGCAAUACGUGUGGAAAUGGCACAGGCUCCUCUGAUCUUCUUUCAAUGCCCGUUUGGAGUAUGUUUUGCAACGGAAGGGAAGUAGGGUUUGCUGUCAAAAAAAAUCCCUCAAAAGUCGAUAUGGAGGUUUUGCAGCUUAUGGAAUCAGUUGUUGUAGGUGCUGGUACUCUACGUAGAGGAGAACUCAAGAGUGAAGAUGAUAUUAUGUACCUUAGAGGAAAAUUCCAAAGAGUUCAAGCGUCAUCAAAUUCAGAAUCAUUUCAUUUGAUUGAUCCAGAUGGUAAUGUUGGACAGGAAUUCAGCUUUUUCUUCCUUAGGUCUCACUAAAGAUGGAAAUCCAAUUCAUCCAUGCAUAUUGCUUCUUAAUUUAGUAGCGUACUUGGUAGUGGUCAACAACUUUGUAUCACUUUUUUGCUUUCUUUAUAUUCAUUUUUUCCUUUUACUUGUCUUGCCACCCCCCAGGCGCUUUCUUUCGAGUUGUGCCUUCUUGUUGGCAUUACUUUCUUGUCUGUACUAUUAGUUUUGGGUGUCCAAGCAACCCAAAUCCUGGUGAUCCGCUUGUAGAAAAUGUUAUAAUAUAAUUAUGUGAGGCCUUUUGUGCAGUUAGAUUUUCCUUUUUAUUUGUAUUUUUAUUGAUCCUGUUUUUGUAGUUAAUGUUAGCAUCUUAUGAUUUCUGUAUUAUAGUAUUGCCAAAAUUUGGAUAUUGGUAAUUUAAACCGAAACUCCUUCAAUGCUUCUUUUGUCUUUUCCUCUUGCUCUUCCUUUUGUCUCUCUCCCUCUCUCUCUCUCUCAACCAAGACAACAUACAAAAUAGGGGCGGAGUCAGAAAAAAUUUUCAGUGGGAGUAAAAGCAACUCUAAAAUUUUUUACCUACUCUUUUUUUAGUUUUUUAAGGAAAACAAUAUUCACCAACAAGUACAAAUGAUGCAUAUAUUUCAUAAAAAAUAUCAAAAAACAAACUCAAAAUUAUUAGUGUAAUAAUAAUUUUAUUUCAAAAGCAAACUAAACUAUUUAUAAUUGCUUAUGACGAGUUUUCAUAUUUUGAUAACGGUUUACAACCUUUUCAUUUUGAACUUCACGAAGUAUAUUUUUCUUAAUAUAAGUAACUAAACAAUUAUUCAUCCAAGUGUCUUCCAUUUUAUUUUGUAACCGAUUCUUCACUAUAUUCAUCAUUGAAAAAAUCCUUUCUACAGUAGUUGUAACAACAAGUAAAAUCAAAGACAACUUUAAAAGCAUAUAAACCAAUAGAUACACAACUCCAAUGGGCACACUUCAAAUUACAUCAAAUUUUUAUAGGUAUUAUAGAAAUUUAAGGGGACAGUGGAGGCCUAUAAACCAAUAGAUACACAAAACUCCAGGGAGUACAGUUGAAAUUACAUCAAAUUUUUAUAGGUAUCAUAGGAAUUUAAGGGCCCAGUGCCCCAGUGUAAAUCCGCCACAGAUACAAAAUAUAACUAGUGUACGGAUUGUUAGAGGUAGACAAAACUCGAAUAAAUGAAAUUAUAAACAUAUAUCUAGAGCUUAUACAAGAAAUCAAUAUAUGAAAUUAUUGGGAGUUGCCUUUUUCUUUAUUGAGCUUUUUCUUUUUGGCGCAAUAAUAGUUGCCUGCUGACUACUUGAUUCUGUGCUCCUAAGCCGGCCAUAAGCACUGAAAUGAUUUGUCAGAUUUGAGGAACUUCUUCUUAAAUACAAUUUAUGGCUAGCACAAACAAAUCAAGCAACUAACUGAUUAGAAGUUCCCCAAAAAAAUAUAUUAAUUUUAAAUCUACUUAUAGAAUGAAUAACAGAUAUAAUAUCAAACCAUGAUCAUAAGCAGAGGCGGAUCUACAAUGGGGGCACUGGAGGCACAUGCCCUCACUGCCCCCAAAUAAUUCUACUGUGAUCUAAGUAAUUUUGAGAAUUUUUCAGUUGUGCCCCUAUUAUGACCCAUGCAAUUUUGAGAAAUUUUUAAUUAUGCCCCAUUAUGUUGUUUAGCAGUAAAUGUAAAUAUAAUUAGUUUGUAACUUAAUGGAAUUGAAAUGUUACAAAAUUCAAAACAAUGGCCCUUUUACAUCAAUAAAAUAAAUUUUAUGAAUUUUUUAAAACAAAAGUAAAGAUAUAGAGUAAUUGUACAUGUUCCUUAGUUAAAAUAAAGUAAAUUUAAUUUUUUCCAAUACAGUGUAGGUGACUUUUUUAAUAGAAUAAGAAAUUUUAUAUCCUUGUGCCUUACAAAUCUACAGGUCUAUGGUUACUUUAAAAGAUUUUUUAAAACUUUUUAAAGAAAAUUAUUGUGUUAUUAUAUGAUUUUGUGUUAUAUUACCCAUUAAAUAAAAAGUUUUAUGUUGGUUCGAGCAACUACUUGGUAGGCCUAGUAGUUGCUCCAAGACCAAUGAAAAAGUUUCACAUGAAUAUACAAGGGUCUCGAUAAAUAAAUGCAAUACAUUUUAUGUGAAUAUUGUUGUUAUGUAUUAUUUUUAGGAAAGACAAAGAAGAAAAUUUGAUAUUAUUUUUGCCCCACUAACAAUUAUUUCUGACUUCACCACUAAUUAUAAGUACACAUGAUAAUUAAAGAACAAGGGAUGUUAGCUCUAAUAGAUAUAACUUGAUCAGAGCAUCUGCAAAUCAUAAAAAUUAGAGAAAUAUCGAGACAUAAGGUAUAAGGGAAAGCAAAGAGAACCAAGGAAAUCAUAAUAGUUGCAUAUAAAGUCUAUGCUUGCAUCGAUCCUUUACGUGCUUCUUAUUUUAUUUAUUCUUUCGGUAUGUAUAAAUACAUACUUUACGGAUUUUUGGUAAUGGGAAAGAACUUCAUCAUUUUUUUUUUGAUGCUGUUGCUGCACAGGAAUGAAUUAGAUAAGAAACAGUAGAAAGCAAACAAACUAUAACGAUAGUAGGAGUAUUUUCUUUGAGAAACGGAAUUUGCCUAUCAAGUGCCACUUUGAGCUGUACAGAACACCACGUGGAUUCACAAUAUUAUAAAGCAUCUCCUUACUAAUUCAACCUUGGAAAAGGCAUUACUUGUUUUUUGUCGUAUUACUCCCCCAUUCCAUUCAAGAUGUCAUACUUUAUUUUUUGGCUGUUCCAAAAUAUUUGUCAUGUUUGAUAUUUUUAACUAUUUUAUAUCAUUUCAAAUGUGGUAGGAUUGUUUUCUACUUCUUACUUUGACCAACAUAUAAUUAAGAGCAAAAAUUAAAUAAAAGGAAACAUUUUUUGGUGGAGUGUACUGUGUACAAAAAGCAUAUAUCCCCAAACAUGAUUAAAUAUAUGGGACAGAGGAAGUAUGAUUUUUUAAAGUAUUAAUAAUGAGUAUUAAUUUGCGGGAAGAAAUAAAGGAUCAGUUUAAGCUAUUUUGAUGAUAGGAAACUAUUUCAAAACAACAAACCGUCCAGGACAAACAACAACACAUUGGAAAAUAUGAAAAGGUUUUGUUAGGAGAAUAUUAGUAUUCUUGUAGAUAAUAUAUUAGUAAGGGUAUUCUUGUAAAUAGUCGGUUAGGUUUGUACUCCUAUAAAUACUAGUUGGUCACUCAUAAUACGGUGACUAGAUGUUUUCCUCCCAAGAUACCUGUUGAUAUGGUAUCAGAGCAAAAGUCCUAGGGUUAGGGUUAAACAUCUAGCAAAGUUUUGGUCAUCGCGACUGUUCACGCGAUACUGUUCAUCGCGACUAUUCACUGUUCAUUGCAUACUGUUCAUGCGACACUGUUCACUGUUCACGGCACUGUUCACGCGGCGCUGUUCACUGUUCACGCGCUGUUCAUCUCGAGUUUUGACCUUUUCUUUGGUUUGACGUGCCAUUCGCCAUGGUUGAAAGGUUUGUUAAUGCGGUUACCAAUGACCACAUUGAAUCGAGUUUUUCAGCACAUGGGUCCCAGAAGACUGUUACUAUAUCUGAGGAAGAUUAUGUUAAAUUCCUACAGUACCAAGCUGCAAAUCACGCAUCUCUUCCCUCUGCUUCUUUAGCACAAAAAGGUAAUGACACAUGGAUUAUUGACUCCGGGGCUACUGAUCAUAUGUCAGGUACCUCUAAAAUUUUUUCUAAUUUUCAAGAAUCUACUCCCUUUCCUCAUGUUACUUUAGCUGAUGGAUCUACCACUAAAGUUAAAGGACUAGGCACUGUAGAAAUUAAUCAAUCACUUCCGCUGUCUUCUGUUCUUUACGUAUCCAAUUUACCCUUUAAUCUAAUGUCUGUUAGUAAGCUCACUAAAUUUCUACAGUGUACAGUUACUUUCUCUCCUGAUUCUGUUAUCAUUCAGGAUUUGAAGACAAAGAGGACGAUUGGUGGAGGGCAUGAGCAUAAUAGUCUUUACUUUCUCAACUUCAAUGGUCCGAUAGCAUGUCCUGCUACUGUUUCUCCUCUUGAAAUUCACUGUCGUUUAGGUCAUCCAUCUUUACAAAAUUUGAAAAAGUUGGUUCCUACUUUGAGUCAAUUAUCUUCGUUAGAAUGUGAGUCUUGUCAGUUAGGAAAGCAUCAUCGUGUUUCUUUUGCUCCUAGAGUCAAUAAACGGGUUUCUGAACCGUUUUUGUUAGUUCAUUCUGAUGUUUGGGGUCCUAGUCGAGUCACUUCAAAGUUAGGUUUUAAAUAUUUUGUAAUCUUUGUUGAUGAUUUUUCAAGAGUUACCUGGCUUUAUUUAAUGAAAGAUCGUUCAGAACUAUAUUCCAUUUUUUGUGCAUUUGUUGCAGAAAUAAAGAAUCAAUUUGGUGUGCCGGUACGUAUACUUCGCAGUGAUAAUGCGAAAGAAUAUUUUUUCACUCCUUUUAAUACCUUUAUGAGUAAGUCUAAUAUUAUUCAUCAGUUCUCUUGUUCUCACACUCCACAACAGAAUGGAGUUGCUGAAAGAAAAAUUGGACAUUUAAUCGAAAUUGCUCGAACACUGUUGUUGCACAUGAAUGUGUCCAAACAAUUUUGGAGUGAUGCAGUUCUAACUGCAUGUUAUUUAAUUAAUCGCAUGCCAUCUAAUAUUCUUGGAGGUCAAUUACCUCACUCCAUUCUUUUUCCUCAUGAACCUGUGUUUAAAUUACCUCCUCGUAUUUUUGAAUGUGUGUGCUUUGUUCAUCAGCUUACUCCCGGGGUGGAUAAAUUAGAUUCUCGUGCUAUUAAGUGUAUUUUCUUAGGAUACGCACGAGCGCAAAAAGGGUAUAGAUGUUACAGUCCAGUUUUAAAUCGAUUUUUUACUUGUGCUGAUGUUACUUUCUUUGAAUCUACUCCAUAUUUUAUCAAACACAGUAUGCCUUGUGAGUUAGACCAGUGUCCCUCUUUUUCUUCUCCUGUUUUACCAGUCCCUUCCCCUUUAUUACCUGAGUUAUCUAGUCCACCAGAUUCCAUAACUCGAUUAUCUCGUCUGAUAGAUUGAAGGCUCGUCUGGUAGCUCGAGGAUUUACUCAGGUGUAUGGAGUAGAUUACUUAGAAACAUUUUCUCCUGUUGCAAAGACUACCUCGGUUCGCCUUCUUAUCUCUUUGGCAGCAACUUACAAUUGGCCAUUGCAUCAGUUGGAUGUGAAAAAUGCAUUUCUGCAUGGAGAUUUGGAAGAAGAGGUAUAUAUGGAACAGCAUCCUAGAUUUGUUGUUCAGGGGGAGAAUUCGCAGUUGGUUUGUUGUUUGAAAAAAUCCUUAUAUAGAUUGAAACAGUCUCCAAGGGCUUGGUUUGGCCGGUUUAGUAGUGUGGUCAUGGAGUUCGGUCUGACGAGAUGUGGAGUAGAUCACUCUGUAUUUUAUGGGCAUUCUAAUGCUGGUAAAAUUUUAUUAGUUGUUUAUGUGGAUGAUAUUGUGAUUACAGGUGAUGAUGUUGUGGGGAUCCAGAAACUUAAAUCCAAUCUGCAGGCAAACUUUCAGACAAAGGAUUUAGGUCAUUUACAGUAUUUUCUGGGUAUUGAGGUAGUUCGGUCUAAAUAUGAAAUUUAUUUAUGUCAAAGGAAAUAUGUACUUGAUAUGUUGAGUGAAGUUGGGAUGUUAGGUUGCCGACCUGUGGAUACUCCUAUGGAUCCCAAUGUGAAAUUAGCAAGAGAUCAAGGAACAUUACUUGAUGAUCCUAAGCAAUAUCGAAGACUUGUGGGUAAGUUAAAUUAUCUCACUGUAACGAGACCUGACAUUUCGUUUGCAGUGAGUGUUGUGAGUCAAUUUCUUGAUACCCCUCGUACUAGUCAUUGGGAUGCUGUUAUACGGAUUCUCAGGUAUCUUAAGGGUGCUCCUGGAAAAGGGUUGCUGUAUCAAAAUCAUGGACACACUGAUAUUGAAGGAUAUAGUGAUGCAGAUUGGGUCGGUUCUGCCUCAGAUCGAAGAUCGACCACAGGAUAUUGUGUAUUUGUUGAUGGUAAUUUAGUGUCGUGGAAGAGUAAGAAGCAAAUAGUUGUCUCCCGAUCAAGUGCAGAAUCUGAAUACUGUGCUAUGGCUCACACUGUGUGUGAGUUGGUUUGGUUGAAAAGCAUGUUACUUGAAAUUGGGUUUGAGUAUAAACAGCCUAUGAAUUUAGUGUGUGAUAAUCAGGCGGCUGUCCAUAUUGCGUCUAAUCCAGUGUUUCAUGAAAGGACAAAACAUAUUGAAGUUGAUUGUCAUUUCAUUCGAGAGAAAUUACUUGAUGGAGUCAUCAAGACAUCUCAUGUACCGUCUGCAGAUCAAUUGGCUGAUUUGUUUACCAAGAGUUUAGGGGGCUCUAGGGUGAAAUACCUUUGUAACAAGUUGGGUGCUUAUGAUAUAUAUGCUCCAACUUGAGGGGGAGUGUUAGGAGAAUAUUAGUAUUCUUGUAGAUAAUAUAUUAGUAAGGGUAUUCUUGUAAAUAGUCGGUUAGGUUUGUACUCCUAUAAAUACUAGUUGGUCACUCAUAAUACGGUGACUAGAUGUUUUCCUCCCAAGAUACCUGUUGACAGGUUUGAACACUUGAAACUGAAGCAAUUACUAUAUAUUUAUUCGCUUCUAUGUUCCCCUUGUCCCGAUGGAUUGCAAACAUUAGCAUCUGUUUCCUUUGAAUUUAUUCAAAUUCUACAGCAAUCUGCUUUGGAGAUAAAAACAUUAGCUAUUUACACUUUCUACCCGUUUUUAGAUGACUCCACACACAACAUGUAUGAUAGAUUGUAUUUUUGUCAUAAAAUUCAUGAUUGUUUUCCCUUUUACUUUACUAAAUAUUGUAUUAAUUAGUGGAUUCUAUUUAUAUUUGGUAAUUGUGUUGAUUGUAGGGAUUCAAAGCGAAAAAGAGUUAAGCACGUGAAUAUUAACUAAUUUCUGUGCAAUUUGGCAUGAGUACAUCAAAGUCUAAUCCUGCAGGGAGGUCUCAUUUCUUCUAGGAAGAAAUAAGAGAACUGAAUUCAUUUUUCUUUUCCUGGGGAAUUCAUCUCAAUUGAAGAAUGGCUGCAGCAAUAAAUUUCAAUAUUUCGUGCUUGGCUUUUUCUAUGGAAAUGAACUAAACUUUUCAUUCUAGUCAAGGAACAACGGAGGAUUUGGUUCAUCUAAAAUUGUUAGAUCGAAUUGAUUAUAUUUAUUUCUUUAAUUUACUGGUAUUCGUAUGUUCUUUGAUUUAAUUUCUUAUGGUUAUUAUUUUAUUUGAAUAUCAAGGGCGUCCGAUAUUUAAUUUAAUCAAUAAUCUAAAACCAGUUAAAGCAGUUAAAUCCGUAAUUGUUUGAUUAUUUUAAAUUAGUAGUGACUGGUAUGAUUGGAUUUAUGUUAGGGGAAUAUAUAACCUAACUUAAAAUAACCUUCGUAGCAUAUUAUUUGGUUAGAACAGGGUUUCUCUAAUUUUUAAAACAAUUGAAAAAUUAAACUCUAAGGUCAUACCUUGGGUUAUUUUUUGAUUAGAAAAGUGAUUAACGGUCGUAUUUUGAUCAUCAAUACAGUAAGGAGAAAUUGAUUGUAAUCGCAUGUUUCUUUAUCAGUGAGUGAAUGAAAUUAUUAUUGCAUCCAUGACCAAUUGAGUGAACAAUUUUCAAAGUUAUUUCUUGACUAGAGUUUAUUUAUUAUUAUUUUAUUUUUAGUUAAAUUAUCAGUUAGGCCUUUUUAUUUGAUUUGUUUAAUUAUUCAUAUUUUUACAAAACCCCCCUUAUUCUGGACUCGAAAAGAAAUAAUUAUUUUUCAUUCCUUGUGGAUUCGAUCCUAUUCACUACUAUAUACAAAAUUUGUAUUUUAAUUGAGUGUACAGACUUGACACCUGUCAAUUUUUAAUACCGUUGUCAGGGACUGGUAUCUAAUUAAUUUGUCUCUUUUUUUGAGUUCAUCUUAUUUUUAUUUAUAUUUUUCUCUUAUUUCUAUUUUGCUAGUUUAUGCCUGCUAACAUUCUUUAUUUUAGUGAUCGACCGGAUUUUAUUCCUAAGAGGAUAAUGAAACUUGUGUUUUUUCUAAUAAUCAAUAUUUAGAUACAUUAACCUUUCAUGUAGAAAAUUUGACCGUUGCAACUUGUGAAAUUUGUUAUGUCUCAUAUCAUUUAAUCGACAUAUGCCCCGUAUUUCAAAAUAACCUGAAUACCUCACUCAAUACUUUUGGAGAUUUUUCAUUCUAAUUUCGAAGGUAGUAUGACCCUUAUUCAAACAGGUAUGAUCAAGAAUGGUGGGAUAAUUUUAACUUUAAUUAUGCAACAGAGCAAAUCGAUUUUCAACAUCAAUAUCAACAGAGUUUCAAGAAUCAUCAUUUAUGUCAGGUAUGUCUCUUGAAAAAAUGUUGAAAUUAUUAACUGUUAAUACAUAUCGAUUUCAACAGGAGACACAAAUAAAAAUUAAAGGGACAGUGUUGAUCUAAAAAUUAAAAGGACUGUGUUGAUCUUAGUCCCUAUCUUUUGAUAUUUACAAAUCAAAUGGAUGAUACUAAUAUCUCUUCAAGAUAUACUUUCAGUUAUGAAGUAAAUCAGAUUCAAAGAUCAAACGCAAUUGAAAGAAACAAAAGUUGCUGAAAGCUAUCGGACGCUUGUGAAAACAAGAUCGGACGUCCGAUAAUCAUUACGCAACUUCAGACGCAUGAAGAACUCCAUCACCGGACGUCCGAAGGAAAUAAGACAUUCUCCCUAACUCAUUGACCUCGAUCGAACGCAAGUAUCAGACGUCUGAUAGGAUCUUUCGAACUCGACGAAAGCUGUCGGACGCUCACAAAGACAAUACUGGACAUCCGAUAGAAUUGAGAUAUUCUUUCUAACUCAUUGUCUGCUUUUGGACGCAAGCAUCGGACGUUUGAUAAAAUUGAAGAAAAUCUCUUAAACUCACUGCCUGCAGUCGGACGCAAGAAACCAGACUACCGGACAUCCGAUACCCCAACGACUAGUUGACUGUUCAGCUACUUUCUAUCUGUUGGAAGUAUUAAUGAAACACUUUCUUUGUCUUGUAUAAAUAGUGCAUGAUCAGAAACUUCAAACAACUUUUGUACACUGAAAAUGCAAAAGAUCUAGAGUAGUUCUAGUGAGAAAACACUCACCAAAGAAGAUUUGUAGUCUUGAUGGUGUGAAGUUCAUUGUAAAUUUUUCAUUUGUGAGUGAAUACUUCAAUAGUGUAACUCUGAGAGGGUUGUCCUGAGGGAUAGUAAAACUUUCUAGUUUGACCGAGUAAAACUUGGGGUAAGGAGGAAGUGAGUCUUUCUUUGUACAUAAGAUUGGUUGUAUUUCAUCAAUUUGAAAAAACUUGUUUAAAUUGACCUACAAGCUCAAGAGAAGCUUGAUAGUCAAUUGGUUUGUAAUUCUUCCCUUCUUAGUUACUUAUUGUUAUCGUGUGAUCUUUGAAUUACUUAUAUCUUCUACUUCUCUCAGGUAAUAUUGUUUCUUCAUUUAUUGAUUCAUUGUGUGAUCACUUAAGAAAAGAGAAUAAAUUUCAUAUUGAGCAAAAAGUGCCCAUAACUUGAUUUGUUUUAUAAUCAAUCUAAUUCACCCCCCUCUUAGGUUGUUUUCGAUCCUUACAAUUGGUAUCAGAGUUUGGUCUUUUAGAGAUUAACCUCAAGCAGUUUUGGAGUAAAGAUGACAAACAACAAUGCCAUAUUUUUUGAAACACAAUCUGUGAUUAGACCACCUAUGUUUAAUAGAUCGAAUUAUGUGAGUUGGAAAGAAAGAAUGAUUAUUUUCUUGCAAUCGAUUGAUAUUGAAUUGUAGUUUAUUGUUAAUGAAUGUCCAUAUGAUACUUCUAUAGUAGAUGAUAUUACUCAUAGAUCAAGAUCAAAAACUAGAAAUGAAUUAACUGCAGUUGAUAGAGCUCAUCUCACCUUAAAUGCAAAAGGUAUAAAUGUGUUAUAUUGUACUUUCGACUCGAAUGAAUCUAUUAGAGUCAAGAGAUGUAAGUCAACUAAAGAAAUUUGGGACAAACUACAAAAAAUUCAUUAAGGUAGUGAGAAUGUUAGAUAACAGAAAAAAUCUAUCUUGAUUACUAAAUAUGAGUCGUUUAAUAUGGAAUCUCAUGAAAAUAUUGAUCAAAUGUAUUGUAGAUUCAAUGAUUUUAUUAAAGAUCUAGAGGUUCUGGAAAAGAAAUAUACCUUAGGAGAGAAAAAUAGAAAAAUCUUGAAUACUCUGUCUAAAGAUUGAGAAAGUAAAGUGACUGCUAUUCAAGAGGCAAGAGAUCUGAAUUCUAUGUCUAUUGAAUCUUUUAUAAAUUCUCUAACAUCUUAUGAGUUGAAACUUAAGUCUAAAGUGCAAGAGAAAAAGGAUGCUAAGGUGAGGAGAAGCAUAACUCUAAAAGUUUCUCAAGAUGAAGAUGAUUCGGCUUCUUUAGAUGGGAAAGAUGUUGAAGUUGAUGACAAUAACCUUGCUCUCAUCACAAUGAGUUUCAAAAGAAUUCUCAACAAUAGAAAAUUUAAAAGAGGAGAAUCCAUCAAUACAUUUCCAAAUUAAUUCAACAAUACAAGAAACAAAGGACAGCAAGAGGCCAACAAAAAGCAAUCUGGAAAAUGUUUUGAGUGCGGUCAGCUGGGACACUACAUGAAUGAGUGCCCAAUGAAGAAAAGGAAAAAAGAAAAAGUUGAACGAAAACCAAAGUUUAACAACUUUCAAAUCACAUGGGAUGAUUGCUGACAGGGUAUCAAACCUGUGCAAUAAUAAAUACCUGCUUAAAUAAAAUAUAAUUUAUGUAGAUAGUGAUAAGUAGGGUCGAAUCCACAGGGAUUGGGGAUAAUUUAUUUCUUUUAGAGUUCGAAGUAUGGGGGAUUUUUGAAAAUGAGAGUAACAAAAUUACUUGGAAUAAAUUAAAAUAAAAUAAAAUAACUACAACUUAAAUAACUAAUUAUCACAAUAAAAAUAAUAAUGGACGAACUCUAGCCAAGAGACAAUUUCGGAGAUGGUUCACUUAAUUCGAUCACAGAUGCAAGGAUUAUUCCAGUUACUAUCUGAUAAAUUAGUUAUAAUUGUAAUACACGCGAUAAACAACCAACUCUUCCUCAAUUUGUCGAUAGUCAAGAUACGACCGUUGACUAUUUCUCUAAUCAGGAAACAACCCUAGGUACGACCAUAGAAGCUCAAUUCCCUAAUUGCAUGAAUAAUUAGAAGAGCCUAAUUCUAACCAAUCAACACGCUACGAAGGUCUCUUUAAGUUAGCUUGUCUAUCUCCCUGACACAAACCCAAUCAUGCCAGUUGCCAUCAAUUUAGAACAAUUAAACAAUUACGGAUUUAACUACCCUAAUUGGUUUCAGGUUAUUGAAUUAAUGUAGAAUCCGGACCCUGAAUAAUCGAAUAAUAAAACAAUCAUAUGAACAUAAAGCAGAAGAUAGACGAAUACCAGAAAAUAAUUGAAAAGCUAAAAUCGAUUAGAUCUCACAAUUUAAGUCAAACCAAAUUCUCCGUUGUUCUUGAUUAGAAAAAAAUGAAUUAGUUCAUCUUCAUCGAGAAAAUCUCAUGCAAAAGUGCAGAAGUAAUUAUUGAAAACAAGCAAUGUCUUCAUCCCCCUAGAAGAGACGGCCAGGAAGCGAAAAGAAAGAAAAACUAAACUAUGCUAAAAAACUAACUCUCCAGCCUCUGUCCGUUUUUUUCUACUUUUAAAGCCAAAACAAAGUCUAAUGCUCCCGUGGUCCCCCACGAAUUGGGAGUCCAGGUACAAAGAGAAAACUUUGCCAGAUUCCUUGUAUUUCUUUUUUCUAUUGGUAGCAGGACUUCAAGUCAGCCAAAAGGGAGAUGGGAAUCCGUUUCUUCUCAGUAACGUGGGCUAGGCUUGUGAAGUGUUUAGAAGUCUUCCAUUUUAUUUCAGAGAGUCCCUCCUUUUUGUACUUUUCUAGUCCACUCCCUGAAAUUGGAUCCAAAUACCAAAUAUAAGUAAAUGUCCACAAUUAAAACAGUAUUUGGCAGGGACAUGGGGAAAAUUGAUAAUAAAAUAACUGACAAUUAACAUCCUAUCAAUUGCAACUCGGAUGGUGAUGUUGAAGAAGGAGAAGAAUCUGCUCAAAUGACUUUCAUGAUCAUUGGUGAUACUGAGGUAACUACUUGCAACUCUCAAUUUGACAGUGAUGAGGAAUCUGAUGAUGAUGUUAAUUCUUUUAUUGAAAGAUUGCAUAGCAGCUUGAAAGACUCUUGUGCUAGGAACAAGGAAUUAAAACAGAAAAUUAAUUUUCUUAUUCAAGAUAAUGCAAAUCUUUUUCGACUGAACAAGAAUCUGAAAGCUGAAAAUGAUAACUUAAGAAAAGUUGAGACUGAUCUACAUGUUGAACUUCAUAGAAAAAUAAAGGUUUGUGAAUUGUUCAAAAAGAAACAAAGUAGUUUGAAAAGAAGAAUGGAUGAUCUAAAUGAAUUGCUUAAACACAAGAAACAAGUCCGUUUUCAAAAGAAUGAACCAAAACCUCACUUUGACAUUCAUAAGAAAGGUUGAAUUCUAAUGCAAAUGAAUUUAUCAUUUAUAAAAGAAGACAAGUCAGAUUUGUUAAACCUGUUUAUGUAAGCAAUUACCUGACUAUGUGUAGUUUCUGUUGUCAAGUUGGUCACAUGAAAAAUAAUUGCUAUGUAAGGAAAAAUAUGAGAAAUGACAUGAAAUGCAUGUGGAUAGUUAGACAUGAAGUUAAUUCUCAAGGACCCAAAAAUUUUUGGGUACCAUAUAUUAGUUCUUGAUCUCUUGAGUAGGUGAAUUUGGUGAACAUUAUUAAGGAAAUAAAGUGGUUGUAGACAGUGAAUGAUCAAGACACAUGACCGGUGAUCCAUCACAAUUCAUUAAAACUCAAACCAAAGUCUUGUGGCAAGUGAUAUUUGGAGAUAACGUGAAAAGUAAAAUAAUUGGAAUAGGAGAUAUUGGUAAGAUUGGUGAGAUUCUUGUUCAUAAUAUUCUUUUGUAAUUUUCUUUUGAUGUUUCUAAUGAUUUGAACUGAGUUUUUCUUGAUGUUUUUGAAUAUUAUUGAAUUUUUACGAUGACAAAAAAAGGGGAGAAAAGAAUAAUGCUGAUCUAAUGAUGGUUUACUUUGAUAAUUACUUUGACUGUUAUUUUUCUGUUUGGUAUCAAUUUUCUGUUUUUUGGCUGAUGAUUACUGAAUGUUGGUAUGUUGAUGAUUGCUGAAUUCUGGUAUCAUUUUUCUGUUUUUGUUUGAAAUAUUGGAUUCUCUGUUAUUGCUGAUGGAUUAUGAUUGCUAAUUUUUACCCUUAUCUUAUGAUGACAAAAAGGGGGAGAAAUAGAUGCUAUGUGUAAGGAAAAGUUAUUAUAAAUUUGAAAUUUUGGAUGCAAUGAGUAAGGGGGAGUUUAUGCUCAAUCUUUUUUUCUUCCAUCUAUUAUUUUGUCAUCAUCAAAAAGGGGGAGAUUAUAAAUCAUAGUCCCUAUCUUUUGAUAUUUAUAAAAUAUAUGAAUGAUACUAAUAUCUCUUCAAGAUAUACUUUCAAUUAUGAAACAAAUCAGAUUCAAAAAUCUAACGCAAUUGAAAGAAACAAAGGUUGCUGAAAGCUAUCGGACGCUUGUAAAGAUAGGAUCGGACGUCCGAUAAUCGUUGCGCAACUUCGGAUGCAUGGAGAACUCCAUCACCGGACGUCCGAAGGAAAUAAGACAUUUUUCCUAACUCACUGAUCUCGAUCAAAUACAAGCAUCGAACGUCCGAUAGAAUCUUUCGAACUCGACGAAAGCUGUCAGACGCUCACAAAGACAAUACCGGACGUCUGAAAGAAUUGAAAUAUUCUUUCUAACUCAUUGUCUGCUUUCGGACGCAAGUAUCGGACGUUCAAUAAAAUUAUAGAAAAUCUCUUAAACUCACUGUCUGCUGUCGGAUGCAACAAACCAGACUACCGAACGUCCGAUACCCCAACAGCUAGUUGACUGUUCAGCUACUUUCUAUCCGUUAGAAACAUUAAUGAAACACUUUCUUGAUCUUGUAUAAAUAGUGCAUGAUCAGAAACUUCAAACAACUUUUGCACAAUGAAAAUACAAAAGAUCUAGAGUAGUUUUAGCGAAAAAACACUCACCAAAGAAGAUUUGUAGUUUUGGUGGUGUGAAGUUCAUUGUAAACUUUUCAUUUGUGAGUGAAUACUUCAAUAGUGUAGCUCUGAGAAGGUUGUCCUGAGAGAUAGUAAAACUUUCUAACUUGAUCGAGUGAGAUUUGGGGUAAGGAGGAAGUGGGUCUUCCUUUGUACACAAGAUUGGUUGUAUUUCAUCAAUUUGAAGAACCUUAUUUGAAUUGACCUACAAGCUCAAGAGGAGUUUGGUAGUCAAUUGGUUUGUAAUUCUUCCCUUCUUAGUUACUUAUUGUUACCGUGUGAUCUUUAAAUUGCUUAUAUUUUCUACUUCUCUCAAGUGAUAUUGUUCCUUCAUUGUGUGAUCAUUUAAGAAAAGAGGGUAAAUUUCAUAUUGAGCAAAAAGUACCCAUAAUUUGAUUAGUUUUAUAAUCAACCUAAUUCACCCCCUUCUUAGAUUGUCUUCGAUCCUUACAGACAGAGGAUAGAAUGUAUCAACAACUAUUAUCCAUGUCAAGUAUGUCUCUUGAAAAAAUAAUGAAAUACUAAUUGCUAAUACGUAUCUAUUUCAACUAGAGACAUAAAUGAAAAUUAGAAGGAUGAAGGAUAGAAUGCGUCAACAAUCAUUAUCCACGUCAAGUAUGUCUCUUGAAUAAAUGAUUAAUUAUUUUCAACAGGAGAUACAAAUGAGAAUUAGAAGGAUGGAGGAUCAAAGGCAUCUAUUUGCAUCUACAAUGAACCAAUUGCUUUCUCUAAUUUGUGAAGAAUUGCCUUACAGACCAUUAUCGACCUUAAGAAAAAUAAGAGUGUAAUUAUCCUGACAAGUGAUAAGAAACUGCAACAGUCUCAAGGAGAAGGAUUAAAAGAUGCAAUUGAAAAAGAAAUUAAGAAUAAAGAAAUAAAACCUCAAUCUUAAAUCAUUCAAGUGAAUGAAUCUAGUGAGCAAUUCUCAAAUGUGGUGACAUUUCUUUCAUUCUCUAACCAAUAUUUUUCUAACUCUUAUUCUGUGAUUUCUGUUAGUGAGAUUGAUUUUAUUAUAUCAAAAGUUUUUGAAUCUCAUUGCAGGAAUAAAUUAAAAGUUGUGAUGGCCAAAUAUCUUGAAUUGAUAAUUGUUUGUGAUGGAGGAGUAAGUGAAGAAUUUAGGAUAUUGUUUAAUUGUUUGACACCAUCUACUAGUCAAUGAAAAAACGUAACUCAUGUACUUAAAGAUCACUCUACUGAUGAAGGUUACCAAGGUUAUAUAGAGGAUAAAACAUAGAAACGAACAACACGAUUUUAUUCUCCUUGAACAAACAUGAUAAUGUCCAGCCAAAAACUUUAAAGAAAAGCACUGCUUGGGAGGCAAUCCAAUGAUUUUUAAUUUUAAUUUUAGUCAUUUCAUAUUUAUUGUUUAAUUUUUAGGUGCAAUUUAAGUGAUUUUAUUUUAUUUUUUGUGUCAGAAAGUAGUUCGCUAGAAGACAUGCUCAAGUCAGAAUUGAAUGUUGAAUAUUUCUAUAUCCAUCAUAAUUUUUCAGAAGACUCUUUAUGAAUUUGGCAUGGCCGCGCCUUCUAAUCGCACGCUAGGAAAAAAAUUUUCACGAUGCAACGUCAAAAGACUUUCAAUUUUUAUGAUGUGCCCGUGCCUUCAGAUUACAUGUUAGGAAUAAAUUUCUUAAAAUCAUGAUCAGAAAACUCUUCCACUUUAUGACGUGCCCACAUCUUGUUCCAGUAAGUGGGGUUGAAAAAAAAUCAAAACAUUUUUUCCCUUUCUUUUUUUUUUUCUCUUUCUUUCUUUCUCUUUUUUUCUUCAUUCUUUCUUUUUUCUCUCCCAGUCGUAUGAUCAAACCCUUAGGGUUUCUGCUUCCAUCCUGCCUCCACCAUCUUCUCAAGAUGAGCAGUUUUAGACUCUUCAAGUAGAGAUGAAGCGGAUGACCGGACGUCUUACUCGCCUCGAACUUUAUAUUUUCAAGAUGACGCAGAACUUGGUCACCUUCUUUCAUCACGUAGGAUUCAACCCACAUUUUGCUCCUGACCUGUAGUCAUCCGUGACCCCUCGUUAAUCAGAGAAGUUUUGUUGUCCCUUUUUCCUUCUCUUUUAAUACUUUAUUGCUUACAUUGGGGACAAUGUAAGAUUUAGGUGUGGGGGGAGUAGUAUAUUAGAAAAGUGCAAGUGUAUGCAUUUUUUGUUGAAAUUUUUUAUUCAAUUUUUAAAAUUUUAUCUACUUUUUACCUAUCUUUGUGCAUAUUAAUGGUUAUCUUAGAUUCUCAAAAUUUUCUAUUGUUAAUAUUUUAUAUUUUAAGGUGUUAAGUAUGACAUGGUUAAAUUUAAUGAUGUCUAUUUAGUGAAAUUUGAAAUUUUGUGACUUUUGCACUUUUUGAUUAAUUUCUGUGUAUUGUAAAUAUUUGUCUAAUAUUUUUUGUACAAAUUGGUUCAAUUAUUAAUUUUAGUUCUCCAUGUUUAAAAAAUAAAGCAGGUUUGUAUGAUUUUUAAUUUUAAUUUGGUGCUUAUUUAUGAAUAGUAUUUGGCUAUACUCUGCUAGUUAUCGUUACCUAGUAACUGGGAAUUUUCAUCGAAAGUAUCGAUUUUUGUGUCAAAAAGUGACUAUAGCUAUAAGUAUGUGGUUCUUAAGCGACAAGAGUUGAGUAACCGGACUCCUUCAUUUGGUAGAUGUCGAAGUUCGCGUCAAAAGAUUUGAAUGGUUAAAAUCUAAAUAUUUUCCUCAAAAAAGAAAAAAAAAGAAGAAAAGUUGUGCUAAGAGUGAAAAAAUGAAAAAAUAUACGAGAAUGUGGAUGGUUAUAUUAGUUUGCUGAUCCAUGAGUUUUAAUGUUGAGAUUUUGCUUAAUAGUUGAAUAAUUUGCUGAAAAAUAUUGGUUGAAUAUUUUAUGUUUUUAGAUUAAUUAGUCAGAAAUUGCAAAAGUCUCUGAUUUUAAAAGCUAAUUAGAGAGAUAUUUCUUAGAAAUUAACCACUAAUACUUGACAUGUGUUUUAAGUGUAACUUAACAAUAGAUAAUUUGAGUAAUAACCAUUGUUUGAAUUUAAUUAUUUAGUAGUGCUUGAUUAGCUACUCUAAUACUUGAGGACAAGCACAGUUUAGGUGUAGGAAAAAUUAAUAGGUUGUAUUUUUGUCAUAAAAUUCAUGAUUGUUUUUCCUUUUACUUUACCAAAUAUUGCGUUAAUUGGUGUAUUCUAUUUAUAUUUGAUAAUUGUGUUUAUUGUAGGGAUUUAGAGUGAAAAAGAGUUAAGUACAUGAAUUUUAACUAAUUUCUAUGCAAUUUGGCGUGGGCGCAUCAAAGUCUAAUCCUGCACGCAUGUUUGAAAAGUUCGAAAUUUGGCACGUGAUCUCCAAAAUUUGAAUUGAAGUCACAAGGGUCAGACGUCUCACUAGAUGGAUAGUGUUUUAUUCCUGCUAGGAUGCUAGUCUAUUUUGUCUACUAAGACGUUUCGUUUUGUUGGGAUAAGGUUUGAUUUGUUACAAUUUGAUUCCACUAAGUAGUAGUAGUUGAUUAGUGCUAGGAACGAAGAUGGGGAGGACUACGGUUUCUUUAUCCUUUCUUUUCUCCAAGGGGGGACUAGUCAGUAGGGAGGUCUCGUCUCUUUUUACGAAGAAACAAGAGAACCGAAUUCAUUUUUCUUUUCUUGGGGAAUUCAUCUCACUUGGAGAAUGGCCACAGCAAUAAAUUUCAAUAUUUUGUGCGUGGCUUAUUUCAUGGAGAUGAGCUAAGCUUUUAAUUUAGUCAAGGAACAACGGAGAAUUUGAUUCAUCCAAAAUUGUGAGAUCGAAUUGAUUAUAGUUAUUUCCUUUAUUUUGCUGGUAUUUGUAUGUUCUUUGAUUUAAAUUCUUAUGGUUAUUAUUUUAUUUAACUAUCAAGAGCGCCCGAUAUUUAAUUUAAUCUAAUAAUCUAAACCAGUUAAAAUAGUUAAAUCUGUAAUUGUUUAAUUACUUUAAAUUAGUUUAAUUACUUUAAAUUAGUAGUGGCUGGCAUGAUUGAAUUUGUGUCAGGGGAACAUAUGUGUUAACUUAUAAUAACUCUCGUAACGUGUUAUUUGGUUAGAACAGGGUUUCUCAAAUUCUUCAGGCAAUUGAAAAAUCAAACUCUAAGAUCAUAUCUAAGAUUAUUUCUUGAUUAGGAAAGUAAUUAACGGUCGUAUCUUGAUCACCGAUACAUACAGUAAGGAGAAGUUGAUUAUCAUCACGUGUUUGGUAGUUAUAAUUUGUUUAUCAGCGAGUGAAUGAAAUUAUUAUUCCAUCCAUGAUCAAUUGAGUGAAUCAUUCCCAAAGUUAUUUUUUGGCUAGAGUUUAUUUAUUAUUGUUUCAUUUUUAGUUAAAUUAUCAGUUAGGCCUUUUUAUUUGAUUUGUUUAAUUAUUCACAUUUUUAUAAAACCCCCCUUACUUAAUUCAUAUUUGUUUACAGAAAAGACAAACUUGUAAAGUAAUUUCAUUUGUUUUUAACUCCCAAACAAAAGAAAAUCACUUACCUUCUUUUGUUUCUUAAAACUCCCAAAUAAUUUAGAUAGAAACUUGGAUCCUUUCCCAUCCUUAUUUUCUUUUCUAACUUCUCCUUUCUCUUCUUUUAUUUUCUACUCUAAACUCCCAAACUAGUUAUAAGAAAGAAGCAAAGAAUUAGACAUUGGUCUGCAACUUUUCUAUUAUUCUGCUUUGACCUCUAAAGUUUUGCAAAACCGUAAAUGCUUCCAUAAAUUUCUUUUUUUGUUCAAAUAAGUCUCAUAAAUGAGUCUUAGGCACCUCAAUUUACAUGUAAAGCUUAAAAACAUUCAAUUAGAGUUAGGAUUCGAGGAUGUUAAAAUUUAGGAUGUAUCAAAAUACAAAUAGAGAGAUAAAGGAACAUUUUUAUUCAUAUUAAUAAUACACUUACACAUAUUUGUGUGUAUGAUCUAUUUAAUUUUUAAUUAAUAUAUUUAUGACAAUACUAUGAUAGCACCCGGUUCUUAGGCCAAUCCGAUCCUGAUUGAAUCCAUUAACUUUUGAUUCUUGAGUUCAGCUGAGCCACCACUGGGUAUGACUUUCAAAACAUAGGUACAAAUUAAAGAUUUUUAAAAAAUUUUGGGGCGGCUGCUCCCGGAUCCGUCCUUGGCUAUGACAACAUUAACAAGUUCAAAAGUUUGACCAUGACAAAGACGUGUCAAGAUGGAAGAACUUUAACCAAUCAGAUAGUUAUCUGUAGAAAUUGACUAUGGACUGUUUCUAUAAAUGACAUCUGACAGAGAUAUAUCAGAUUAAAGGCCCUGUAACAAUUGAUCCAAGGAACAAUAUUAAAGGCCGUGUAUCUUGCCUAGGCUGAAUGAGGAAGACAAUUUACAUUAGGUUCCAAGCAAAACAGGCGUUUUCGCUGCUAAGCCUGCAAUGGCCAUCAUGUUCCAGACCAGGCCAAUGUUGCAUGGUUCAAAGUACAUGUGUUGAGGGAUGCAUUAAACCCGUGGCUGGCGUGUGGUGGGAGGCUAGCAACUAAAGAUAGGUUGUUAGCUUGGGGUUCGAGUGUGGAUCCUUCAUGCGUGCAGCAGCUAGCUUCUGAAUCUAUAUCACACGUUCUUUUUCUUUUCUUUCUUUUUUUUGUAGUUUUUGGUUGGCCUUUUCUUGCUUACGUAUGGUAAUCAGUGCGGAAGUUGUGAUUGAUCUAUCGUGUAGUUGGACAUUGGGAUUCUAAGCUGCAAUGGAUGGUUCAACAUGCAUUGGUUCUCAGCACUCCUUUGUUGGUGCUAAUGUGCUAUUAGAAGACUUGCCUUUGCAGCAAUAGUUUAUCACGCGUGGAGAAAUGUUUGUGGAGUACACUGAUGAAACAGAUAGUGAAAGAUAUCUGGGAUUCUGGAUAUUGUGGCUGGUUGGGCAAGAAGGGACUUAAGCAACACAAAGCUCUAAAUCUUUGUACAGAAUUGGAUUUUUCUAAUUCCAUGAUUUGACAUGCAUUGUCAAUAUUGCUGCUUAUGUUUGAGUCGAGUUCAUAAUUUCUGUUUCUUUGACAGAUUGUAUGGGUAUCCACCUCACUUGUGAAAGCUUUUUGCCCAUUAAGAACAUGUCAUACUGAAAGAAAAAGAUUAGUCUUGUAAGCCCAAACAAUGCAACUAUCAUGAUAUCAAGUUCCCAAAAGUGGAAGGAUAGAGUAGAAUAAGGGGCGUAUUAUUCAUUUUUCUUUUUGUUGGAUAAGAAGGGUGGUGCAUAAAAAUCAAACUUUGCCUUUGCAUCACUUUGCCCACUAAUCAAUUAAUCAUCUAGUUGAUAAGCUUUUAUUAAUUAUUGAGCAACCUGUACGUGAUAAUCCAUACAUUGUUCAAUGAAUAUAUAGUAAAACUUGCCAGUUAAGUACUAUGCAGCAAUCACUCAUUGAUGUGGAAAGUUUCCACUUCAGCGAACAUCUAUCAUUUUGUACACGUCUAUUUCAAAUUGACAACUAUCCAACAAGAAAGUUCUCUAUUACGGAUACCAUUGCAGUUAGCACCAUCCAAAAGAGCCCAGAUGUCAUCUCCAAUCCCAGAUCAUCUUUUAUCGAUAUUAACAAAUCCACGGCAACAAAAUUAUAAAGCCCACGACCAUGACAAUUCAUGGUUAAGCAUUUCCUAGGGGACAUAGACACAUGAUUUUCUGAGCUUCUUGGGACAGAAUUGUCUUUCUGUCGGGUAUUGUUUCGUUUGAUUGACAAGGAAAUUUUGUUUAAUGUGCCAAAAUUGGCUUUUAAGUAAUAUUUUUCCCUUAAAAUUAAUGUGAGUGUUUAUACACUCAUUUUGUGAGUCGAAUUUUAAUAAGUCCAUACUCAACUCAUACAGAAAUCAUCUUACAGCCCGAAUUCAAUCCAUUCUCGGUACAUAGAAAUAUCUGCCUUAUGUAUAAUUAUAAUUACAUCGGAGCUUUAUUCUAUGAACUACAGACGCCCAAACUCAAUACGCAAUAAAAUUGUACUUCAUAUUAAAGUUCAAGCUCAACCCAACCUAACAUUAUAUGAAGCUAGGUCUCUUUUUCUUAGGAUCAAACAGGUCAAAUUCAGGCUGAUCCAAAAUAGUCCUUGUUUGCUAGGGUUGGUUGGGAAUUUCAAUGCCAAAUGAGUCUCACGGUUGCCAAGUGACUAACCUUCUCCGCACUCUGCCCCCAUAAUCAGCUAAAAUCCUCCCUCUCAAUCUUUCACAGAAACACCCACCCUCACCUAUCCAAAAUAUCCCACACACAAAGUUGGAGGGAUUGUUAAAUAACAGGAAAAGCCGCCCCACAAGUUUUUAUGUGGCAUGAAUUGUUGUUUAUUUAUCAGUAUUUCGAUGUGUUUGUUUGUGUUUCCGAUCCUUAAGUCCCUUACGGAAUCCCUCACUAAGUUCCACCCCAAAAAAAUGACACAUGUAACAAAUCACACGAAGUCAAUUGUAUUUUGCCCUCUAAACAAACUACUAAAUGCCAAUUGUAUUAUAAUAGGUUAAUGGAAAAGAAAAGAUUUAGGGUUAUUAGAAGUUUGGAACCAGGUUUUAGGCUGCCAGGUGAAGUUUUUAGUUUUAUAUUUUUUUUAAUUGAUGUGUAGUGAUCGUAUGAUUGGUUGGGAAGUCAAAAUAGCCUAGACAAGUUGUAUUGAGUAGGAAUACGUCUCGAGUUAGUAAGUGACUUCACAUGAUCCGUUGUUACCUACGCCAAGUUUUUAAAAUGAGACUUGAUAGGGUCUCCACAGGGGCUGAGGAUUGGAAGCAGUUUGUUUGCCCCUUUGUCUAAGUUGUCAAACUCUAUUUUAGAAAUUAUGAUCAAUCACCAGUCUGUCUAUGAGGUAUGAUAUGUGGUAUGAUGGUUGCAAUUCUUGUGCUUUGAGAUGGACAAGGAUUCAGUACAGUUAUAUUUUGUGUGAUGCCGUCUAAUUAUUAUACAUAUUCAAAUUUUUUGAUAUAUAAAUACAUGAAAAUGUUGUAUUGAAUUUAUGUCAAGCAUUUUAUUCUUGUACAUCACCUUUACUCUGAAUACAACAAUGCAAUGUAAUUGUACAUUAAGUAAUACAAAAAGUAUAACAAUCGGGUCGAAUUGCAGAGGUAACCUUGACUGCACUAAGUCCUUUCCCCUAUUGAGAUGGUGAUUACACUAAGUUGACUAAUGAUAAUCGUAUUUGGGGAGUUGUAUUUGAACUCAAUUCCAAUUGUAUUGGUUGGUCUUUGCUUGAAUUUGUUACUUCUCUUCGAAUGGAAGGUGAAAAGUAAACAAUAUUUAAUGGAUAUAAAAGAUAAAAAAGAAUUGUUGAAAAAUUAGUUGGCGUUGUUCCGCUAGAAUAAAAAUACAAAUGUUAAAUAGAAAUAUUAACAACAAUAAUAAUAAUUAUUAUUAUAACAAUAAUAAAAUUAACUAUAAUAAAAUAGUUAAAAUAAUAAUAUAAUAAUGCACAAAUGUGGAGGGUUGAGACACGGAUAUCUCGCUUUCUUUAAGGUGAUUCAAACCUCUGCGGAAGAAUCAAUUCCGGUGCAGUAGAAUCUCCAACUUGUCACCCCCAGGAUAUAACAGCCCAGUCACACUUGUUGACAUUUUCUCUAGACUGCACAACUAAGAGAGUAUAGCUCUACAAACACUUUUUUUCUUACCUAACUAUGAGAUAGAAAAUAGUGAAUUUAAACUCACAAGAUAUAAGUUGUAGUAGUAGUAUUUUUCCAUCUUAACUAUACAUAUUUAUAGAUGAAGAAAAAUUAGACAAACAUAACCUAUACUACUAAUAAGACACUAAGUAAAUGCUGAAAUUAUUAGCCAGUCAAAACACAUUGAAAUUUGUAUUGUAAGUUUACAAAAACAUUAUAAUGUGUUUUCAAUUACAAAAACUUAUUGUAAUUGAAAAGCCAUAAUUUCAUAUAAUAAGUCUUUCGUCAAAAACAUUCAAAGACCAAUACAUUUCAAAAACAUUUACCAAUUUAUUCUCCUUAUAACUUACACAUUUAAUCGAGAAUAUAACUAUUUUAUUAAAAUCUCCAACAGUUGGUUUCCCAAUAGAAGUCUCGAUGGUGCUUCAUAACAAACUAGGAGGUGAACACCGCGCGAUGCGCGGUGCGACUCUACAGCUUGCCCAGAAUGCCCACACAUCUUAAUUGAGAUAAUAUGCUUUGUUUCCGGAGGUGCUAUAUGAAAUCCAUUGAAAUAUAUAUUUACAGUCUUGACUUGAACUAAAAGUAACAGAAAGGACAUCAGUUCAUAGUUAAUAGGGUUAAAAUGCAUCAUCUUCCAAGAUUGGAAACCGCAAAUCAGGGAAAUUACUCUUAAAAUAACAAUCCGUCAUCAUGAUUUUCUUCUAGCUAAUGCAGUUAUAAUUCCACCAGCUAUAAGUACCACAGUAGUAACUGAAAUGCCAAUUCCAAUGACGCCAUCUGCACCAUAAGUUAAACAUUUAUUUCAUGCAUUGCCAUACCCAAACAAAAAAAUCCCGAGGAUUCAAAGCAAUAUGGUUAUCACCUUCUGUAAUUUGUUCUUUUAUUGUCUUCUCAAGGUACGAAGCCCGCCUCCAAUCAGGUUUAAUCUAGCAAACAAAAGCAAAACCAAUGGGAUAAAAGCACCACUCUUGAAUACAACCAAAAUGUUCUAUAGUUUCUUUCUUUUGACAAGUAAUAUUGGUAAGCAUGUUAAACUAUGAGCAAUUUCAUUAAUGGGAGCAGAGAACUAACCUCCAAACAUGUCUAUACAAGCUGCAGGCUCCUUAAAUACUUACCACUUCAAUAACAACCAACAGCUAGAAGGUAAAGCUUUUCACUCUUCUGUGAUGGACUAUCGGUCCUAGAGAGAGAAGCUGCACACAAACAAGAGUUAGUUUUUAGCAGUGAAAGUAGUUUGCAAUUCAUAUUUAAAUCGAAUUUAAACACCAAAACUCCAAUUGCAGUUCUCUCUUUCCAACUUUCUAAAAAGGUCACACACUCUUAGAACAGUACUUUUUAUAGUAUGGCAAAAAUUACCAUUCUAUGUGAGUAACAAGUACUACAAUUAAAUUUAUGUAAAAUUUUGAGUCUUCUGCUUGUAAAAACCUAGCAAACUCUAACACAUGCAAUGACAUAAUUCCUUCAGACUACAGAGAAGAUUAUUAUAACAUGCAGUAUUAUAAAAAAAAAAAGAAAAAAAACUCUUAAUAACAUCAUUACUUUUCUGGAUAACAAACAUCUAUAUUCUAGUAUGAAAAGUGCCAUUGAACAACCAUAAACAAAUAGUGCAAGUAGUUACUCAUGCAUGGAAGGCACAGGUGGUCGAUGAUUAGGAAAUUUUUUUGGCCAAAGAGCUCAAAAAUGAUAAUAAUAAGAAGAGGAGGUUAUGAGAACUAAACAUGGAUCAAAAUAUAAGGCAUAUAGUGGUUCUGUCUGAUUCCUUUUUUAAGUUGAAUGUAACUGAACAUGCAUACAAAUAACAGAGCAACACAAGCAAACGACAAUUAUUUGCAAGUUGUUGAAAAUAUUCAGUAAAGAACCAUGAUUUAAAAUUUAUACAAUAAUUAAAAAAAAAGGUAAGAAAAGGUCUAUGAAAAUAGAUGAAAUGUCAAUAUCUGCAUAUGUACCUAGGUAAAUGGUGAACAACAGAGUGACAAUAUCAGAAUAAAACUUUCCAUGUGUAUUGAAAGUUAUUUGGGCGUUCAUAGUUUGGACAAGCCAAAUAGAAAUCUCGUCAUCCUUAAAACUCAUUCCAACACAAGUUGUGAUCCAUGCUGUGCCAGUUUUUCAUUAAACAGAAAAAAGAAAGAAGCAGAAUGAAAACAUAUGCAGAGUAUACAUAGAGAAAGUAGCUUUAAUGAUGAAAGGAUUAAUGAGUCUUACAAACUGUAAUGCAGUAGCUAUGUGUAAUCUGCAUACCUUUAAUGAUGAAAGGAUUAAAGAGCCUUACAAUUGGCUAUUACUGACCGGUGGAAGGAGUACUUGCCGAUUAGCAUAGCUGCUUUCAUUAUCCAUUUGCAGUAAUUGGUUUCCACUCUUUUGAAACCUGAUUUGAAAUAAAAAAUAAUAAUAAAUAAUGAUCAUAAGAUCAGUGCAUAGGACAAUUUAAAAAUUUAUAACAAUCAUAUAGAUUCACAACUUCUCGAAAACAUGGAAUUAUAAGAAUCACUAAUAAUGACUGAGUUGAGAGGCUAAGAUCUAAAAUGAAUGAGGGAAAAAUUAUGUUUGAUACUAUUAACAUGUUCAAUUUAAAAUGUUAAAGUACGCAGGGAAAAAAAGGUGCAAAUGGUUACAGUUGGCUGUUGUCAAUCUUCACAAAAUAUUAGAAAUUAAUAAAUAGAAUAGCAAGCGAUCACACUUUAAAAAUGUUGUUUCUAUGUUAGGCUUAUUACCAAAGUCCGAAUUUACUGCUAUCAUUUCCUUGUUCUAUGUUGUGGCAGCAUACAAUAUGACAAAACAAUACACUGAUGUUAUAUUCUAACAGCAAGCAAACAUCAUUAAAAUUUUGGUUGCCUCUUUUGACAGCAUACAAAGUGACAAAAUAGUUCAUUAUUAUUAAUUUUCAUCCUGCACCUUUCUAAUGACCAAUAAUAGCAUAAAGACAGCAAAAACUUAUAGUAAUGUGCAAGUGAAAAAAUCUGUUAAUAGAAGGAAAAAAAAAGGAAGACAAAACCUUAGAUGCACUAAACAAACCAUUUCCCUUUUUUUUUGGUUCAAGAAAAACACCCAAAUAAAACUCGCCUUGAGAAAACAAUUUCCCCAAUCCUUUUGUACCAUACUGCAAAUUUUAAUAGCUCAACCUAUAACAAACAUUUAAAAUUCAGUAGAAAAUAAAGACGCCUAUAACAAAAAGAAGAAAAAAAUAGUUUGUAAUUUAAAUAGAUAACAAAAAACCUAAAACUUAAAAUAGCAAACAGUUAAAACUUAGAAACUUUUAAAGUUACUUUUGUUGCACCAUAGGUGAACACAUGAAAAAAUUUUGAACCACCCUAAGCAAGCGGACAACAACACAAUGCACCCUAUGAAAGGACACAUAAAAUCACAUAAGAUUUCUACUAAUACACAAGAAACCAGAAGGGGAAAUUAUAAAGAAUAAAUUACCAUUUUUGUAAAGUCUUUGUACUCCUUAUAACAACAUAACAAACUUUCCAAACAAUCUGAUAUGAUAAUUACACAUCAUCCCUAACCAAGCUAGCAAAUAUAGUAGAAUCAUUAAAAAAAAAGAAACUUUUCUAAAAAUGCGACAGAAACACUAAGAUAACAUGAAGCUUGUCUUUUGUUAAGAAAACAUGAGGUCAGCGAUUAAGAAAACAUGAGGUCAGCAGUUAAAUAUCUGCAUCUUUUGUUAUUUUUGGCCGAAGAAAUACUACUGUUUUAAAUGUAGAAAUGGCUUUCAAACUUCAUUCUAUGAUUAGAAUAGUGCAGAAACCCAAUAAUGAUCUAAGAGGCUGAAAAAAUACCAUUGUUUUAAAUGUAGAAAUGCCUUUCAAACUUCAUUCUAUCAUUAGAAUAGUGCAGCAACCCAAUAAUGAUCUAAGAGACUUUAAGCGAAGAAAUUAGGGGGGGAAAAGAUAAAACAUAAAGCAAGAAAAUAAGAAAUUCGGGCACAAAAAGCUUACCUUUUGAUGAUUUCUCCAACCUAAAUAAAAAAAAAACCACAAAACAAUUGAGCAAAUGAUGAGAUAUGAAAUAGGUAAAAAAAAUAAAAUGUAAGAUUAACAAUUGAGCAUGUUAGGGUAUCUCGAUGUGUGAUCAAUGGAUUUUUUCCUUAUGCGGCUAUAGAGACAUGUUAAAAAGAGAGUUUGAGAGGGAGGUACGAGAAGUAAGUGCAUUGGUGGAUGAGAAAAUGAAGUCUCAUUUGAAUCUUGUGGGUAGAUGAAUGACACAACCUCUAUAUCCAAACAUAUCCUUAUCUGCUUUCUUAAUCUCUCUCAUAUGAUCCGAUAAAGGAAGAAAAACACUAACAAAUAUACAUAAAAAUAAAUAGAUAUUCCUGCUUGAUCUUGUCAACACAGGCCUCCAUAUCGAAAUCCAUCCUUAUUUGCUUUCUUAAUCUCUCUGAUGGGAUCGAAACAAGGGAAAAAACGAACAAUAUACAUAAAAAUAAACAAAAAACUCAAAAAUUUUAAGAGAUUGGAUUUCUUUUGCUUAGAACAUGUGAUUUUUUUUAAAUUUCACAAAAAAAAGUUAAAAUACUUACUGAGCUAAAAUAUCACUUGUUCUAAUAAACAUGCUGAGAUCCAGUCUUUCCCUUGUUUGCUUCUUUCCAUGCGGCUUUCUUUUUUUUUUUUUUGUCUAAUUUCUUGCAGUAAAAAUAAGUAUCAAUACUUACGGAGCAAAAAACCGAAGAUGAAUAUAAAUUUCACCCAAAAAAAAGGAAAAAAUACUUACUUAGCAAAAAAAUUACAUGUUCUGAUGAAGAUGCUGAAGAUCCAUUUUUUCCUUGUUGCUUCUUGUUUCCACGUGGCUUCCUUGUUUUUUUUUUUGCCUCAUUUCUUGCAGUAGAAAAGGAAAGUUAAGAUACUUACCGAGCAAAAAAUUCAACUAUUCAAAUGAAGAAGAUGAAAAUGGAAAAGAUCCUAUUUAUCUUUCAGAAAGAAGAGAGAAAUAACGUUCAACCAAAAAAAUAAAUCUCAUAAAAAAAACAUAGAAAAAUGCAGCAGCACAAUGUAAAUUUUACGCAAAGAGCAAGCAAGAAACAGUUUGAAUUUAGAAAAUAGAAAGCAAGGAGCUAAGCCAACCAGAGUGCAAGAAACGGCAGUAGAGCAACAAAGGAAAACGGAAGAAAAGCACUAUUAUCACUGUCGAUGAUGAUGAUAUCCCCAAAAUCUGGAAAAGAAUAGAUGGCCGAUGUGCAAAUUGCGCAGAGAAAUUGCAUCAGUCUUUUCACCCGUCAAGAAAAGAGGCAAAAGCUGUUAUUUGGCAAAUUGCAGCAGUGACGGUAGAAGCAAUUUAUUUUCAGUCAAAGCCCAUGGGAACAGGAAAGGCUUCACAACAGCACUGGUAAUUUUGGAUACAAGAGCAGGGUCAGAAUUGUAAAACCAACAAAUUAGUAUUGAGCCCAACACCACCGCAUGUCAUAAAUCAAACUAAUCACUGUGACAACACAGCAGACACGGACCAGGUGGCUUUCAAAUGGGUUUCUCACAGUGGCUAAAAGAAACAACCCUCCGUGUAAAAGAAAGCAAUAAUUUGUUUCAAAGCAAGAGAAAAGAAAAACAAGAAAAUGAAGCCAAGUCUUCCCUUCAGCUUCAGCACGUGAGAUCCUUGUGACAGACAACCAUGCUUGAACCAAUCCCAUUCAGCCACGUCAGCACAACAACCAUCCAUCUUAACAAACUCAUUCAUGCUUUUACUAUAUAGGUAGAUUAGCAACCUGAAUCUCUCCUGAAUUUUGUGGUCUACAUGAAAGCAUAUCACCAAGAAUGGUUAAUAAAUAAUUGAUCGGCCCCAGUUGAGCAAACAAACCUGACAGUCGUGACACUAGGCAAUUGCAAGAUGCAGGGACCCAAACAUUGAGAUGUUACACCAAGUCUCGUCUCCACAUCUGUGGCAGUUUAAAUGACCAUCACAUACGAGAGAAAACAGUGCGAGGAGAAAACUGCCAAAUUUCUGGGUAUUAUUCUUGAGCAAUGCAUGCCAUUUCAUAGCUAUAUCUUUCAAGUGACCAAAGCAUGUGCAAGGUAUUACUGUCAGAUAUAAAUGUUUGUGAACGGCAUAGCUCAUCUAGUGGAUAAAUUCCCUCAAUUUUGGUAUUGAAGGUCUAUAUCUAUCAUUUGAGAGGAUUCAAGGUUUACGUUUGAAUGGUCAUUCGUGAAAUAAAAAUGUUACAUGUCGUACUCACAUGUGAGUCAAAUAAUAUCCAAUCUAUCAGGAGAAAUCAAUUUUUUUUCAUUCCUAUCAAAGAAACGUUUGUAGUCAAUUUGAGUUAAACAUUUUUAGCAAUUUAAUGAGAUAGAUUAUUUUUCAUGGAUAUUCAUAGCAACUAGACCUGAAUUGGUAACAUUUUAUACCUGCUGUGGAUUUUAAAAAGUUGAUCAGUUUCUGUGCAGAUGCCAUAAUUUCUCCCCUUGUCCUGUCCCUCAAAAGUAAAUGUCAAUAAAAAGCUAGACGACAUCAGUGGAGAAGCCAGGAUAAAAAGCCAUGCAUAUGUUCAUAUAUAUCUUACUUGUCGCUUCUGUUUGUUUGUGGAUAGAAAUCCUUUCCCAGCCGUCCAAAGAGUGAAACCACAGGUUACAGACGAUUGUCCUAAUACAAAUUAUAGAAAGGAACGUGCGUCAAAACCUUCUGGAAGCAUGUCUGUGUAUUUUAGCCCAAAGUAGACAAGACUUUAUGAGAAAAUCCCCAAGGCAAAAAUGCACAAUAUACACCACACACACAUACACAUACAUACAUACACACAUGGACACACUUAUAUAGUCCCACAUUUUGUGUUCUGACUUUUUUCCAUUUUGAAUAUAAUUUAUUUACAGCCAUCGAACUUUGGUUCAGUGGUUACCUAAAAGGGAUUAACUCCCUUUUUAGCCUGUAGGUCGGGGUUCAUACCAAAAGAGGUGUUAGAUCACCCUUUUGGUCUAAUCCGGUCUGUGUACCUACUAGCCUUUCACUACACUUUCCGAUUAAUUGAUUAACUAAUCCACUAAUCAACAUGCACUACCUCCUAAAAAACUCUCUAACUAUUUUUUAUCUAUAUAUUUUUAUUUUUUUUCUCAAAUAUGCACACAUAGUAUGUGCCUCACCUACUAGUUUAUAUCUUAGUAUAUUACGUAAGUAGGUGUUAAUAAAAAGUAUUAACAUUUACCCUUUCAAAAAUACCUUUUCAACAUUUACCAUUAUCUAUCCAUACCUUAUCUAGAAAACCUUCCACUUCUACAUAAUUACCACUACAUAAUUAUCACUACACUCUCCAAUUAACUGAUUAAGUAAUUCACUAAUCAACAUUGCAUCACCUCCUAAGAAACUCUCCAACUAUUUUUUUUAUCUAUAUAUUUGUAUUAAUUAUUUUUCCAAAAUAUGCACACUCAUAAUGUGUACCUCACCCACUAGUCUAUAUUAUAUAUAAAGCUUGAGAAAGAGGUUUGGAGUUAACGUUUAUCGUCACUUCAUAAACUUUAUAUUUUGCCCUCAUAAAAACUACUAUUACUUUAACUACCUAUAACUACUUAUGACUACCUUUAACUAUUUAGGUAUAUGUUUUCAACAUAACUAUCCCUAAAUAUUAUAACUGCUAAUAUAAAAUUAUUUUAUGAAAUAUAUUUAAAAGAUUAAAGUUUGCUUCAGUAAUAAAAAUUUUAUUUAAAAUAUAUGACCAUAAAUAUUAUAUAUUUUUUGAUUGCACACACAUUGGGUGUGCAUUGAGCACUAGUAUUAGGUUAUAGGAAUGUUAUCAUUCCGUCAAAAAAAAGAAUAUGAUUUAUUUACAUUCCUAAGUAAUUCUUUUAUUAAAAAAAGAUAAUUUUAUUUCAAUAUCUCACUAGUAACAAAGAAUACAUUAAACAUGACACAAAUAUACAUAGAUCUUUCAAUUGACACAACAAAUCUAAAAAAAUAAUAAACAUAAUAUAGAUUAAAACUUCAAAAGUAUCUUCUAUCAAAUGAAUAUUAGUGCAAUCCCAAAAAUCUAUGUGUAUCUUCUAAUAGUCAAAUAUGAUAAAAAUUUCUUCAAAUCCAAAGACAAAUUUAGAUUUGACAUAAUAGACGUGAAAAUUUUCAUAUUUGAGAAACUGGAUCUACAACAUCUCUCAGAUUUCACAAAGAAAAAUGACAAAAAAUACUCUUACAAAAAAAUCUUAGAACAGAAUAAAUUUCCCACUAAAAAAUUUAUGAUAAAAGAUUCUCUUGCCAGAAACUAUGAAAAAGAAGAAUCUCUCACUAAAUUAACUUUAGGAGAGAAUUUAUUUAAAACAAAUGAAAUAUAAAUAGAGACGGGCUCCCUCCCAUCCAUGGGGAGAGCUCAGAUUUUCUGGUAUCUCCCCAUGAGAGAGUUGGAGGAGGUUUUGGCUUAAAAAUUUUUAGAGAGAAUGAGGAACGAAUGAAUAAAACACAUUCCUAAGUAAAUUAAACGCACUAAUUUAGUCCCAAGUUCCACAACAACAUUUUGGCCCGAAACUAGCAUGAGACAACCGGGAUAAUUUUUACAGAGACGAGUCAAACUAAUCAUGUUCUAAUCAUAUGAUUUAGAAAAGUGAGACCUAUCCUAGUCAAACAGGAUCCUCUGUCCAUUAUAUCUGUUCACUAUCCUGUUCAGAUGGUAACUUGGCCAGGAAUUAAUCUUCUUUUUCGUUAGGUCUCACUGAAUUGAGAUGGAAAUCCAAUUCAUCAUGCAUGUUGCUUCUUAAUUAAGUAGUGUACUUGGUGGUGGUGUCACCACUUUGUAGCUUUUUUUUUUUGCUAAUUUCUUUCUUUUCUUCCUUCGUUUGUAUUGUCUUGCCUCCUAGUUGUGGUUUUUUAGCAUUACUUUCUUGUCUGUACUACUAGUUUGAGGUGUGCAAGCAACCAAAUUUCUGGAGAUCCACUGGUAUAAAGUGUUAUAAAAUAAUAUUAGUGUGUGAGGUCUUUUGCAUAUGCCGUUAGAAGUUCCUCCCUAUUUGUAUUUUUAUUGAUCUUGUCCUUCCAUUUAAGGUCGGCCUCUUUUGAUCUUGUCCUCUUGCUCUUUUCGGAUUUCUCUAAGGUCUCUAAAGGCUCUUCAUUUUGUCUCCCUCCCUCUGACAACCAAACGCAGCGUACAGAAUAUAACUACUUUACUGAUUGAUGAUAGAGGAAGAAAAAUAUAGAAUUAAUCAAAUUAUAAACAUAUAUCUAUUGCGUAGAGAAGAAUAAAAUCCAGAGAAGCACAAGACGAUGAAAUUUAAUCUUUUUGGAGUUGCCUUUUCUUUAUAGGUCCUUUUUUUUUUUUUUUUUCCUUUUCCUUCUGUGCAACGAUAGUUUCCUGUUGACGACUGAUUGAUUCUGUAUUUGUCCUGAGUUGGUUAGAGCACUAACACCGGUUUUCUAAUUGGCUAAAUUCUAUUUUGGAUGCUUAAACAAUGGACGCACUUAUACUUUAAUCCUUAAACUUUAUUUUUGAAUAUUUUACUCUAUAAAAUUUGAAGUUCAUCUCAUUUUAGUUCUUCAAUUUUGAGCAUCACUUGUCUACCAUUUUGUUAGCUUUACCAAUUCCAUGGGACAGAUUUUAUACUUUAAAGGGUAAAAUGUUCAAAACUUAAGGACUAAAGUUAAUGAAUUUCAUUCUUUAGGAGAUAAAAUAUCCAAAAAUAAAGUUUAAAAACUAAAGUUCUAUAGUUUAAAGGUCUAAAGUAGAAUUUUGUCUUUCUUAUAAAUUCGUAAAGGGAAUCCAUGGCUAGCGCAAAGAAAUUAAGCCACCAAUAGAUCAAUAAUUCCUUUAAACCAUAUGAAUUUAUAACAUCUUUUUACAAAAUGAUUGGUGAUUAUUGCCAAGCCCUGAUAAUUGAGGAACAUGGGAUGUUGUUGGGCUCUAAUACAUAUAUAUGACUUGAUUACAUACGAAAUAACAAUGACAUAUAACGUCUCAUAUAUAAGAAUAAGGGUUAAAAUCCGUAUGAAUGUAGCAUAAUCUUCGAAAAAUAUAGCAAUUUGCAGCCCCUCUUUUUAGUUUCAUAACUUUCAAAUAUAUUCCUACUAAUCACAUACUUUUUUAUACACGUAAUUUUGCCAAACAGGUUUUUUUGCAUUGAAUAUCGUAUUAUAUAACAUGCAAAAUCGUUGUUUUCACACAAUCUUUUUGUACGUAUUAUAUCCGCCCUUAUUUUACUGACUAUUGGUGCAAUUUUUUUCCACGGGAAUUGCAGAUGCCCGAUCUCCUCAGUUGUAGGGAAGCGCCAAAGUCUUCCAACAAGGCAUCCAACGGCCAAACCUACCCUUCCUGAGUUCCUAUGAAACUCACUGCUGGUAGUUGGUAACCAACAUCUUCAUCACAUCUAUCUUUCUUUUUCAUCAUCAAAAUUUAACUAAUCUUGUUCCCUUUCACCUUCUCUUCAAACUUUCAAAAUCUCCCGACAACAUAGUUAGUAACAGCCAACUAAUUAUCCUAGUUUUAGUAUUUGUAUGUACCAUAAAUAUCUGCUGACUCUGUGUUUUUCAACUAAAGCAUUCAUUCUGUGGGAAACACCAAAAUGCUCCACAUUUUCAACAAAAGAUUGCCUUCUCAGACAACAGAAGAAAUUCGCCAAAAUCUAGUCACUGGCAACAAUAAUGUUUCGAAAAAUGGUCUCACAAAAUCAUUCUGGGGCCUUUGGCAGCGCUUCUUUGGAAGUAAAUAAGCAUUCGUCCCUCUGUACUUGUAAAUUCCUCUUUGUUUUGCCAUUUAUUGUGUUGGAUUUGAAGAUAGUUUCUUCUGCUAAAACUUAGUAAACAAGAGAGCGUAGUUGAUUAAUCACUGCAAUUAAAAUUUGUAAAUAUGAAUCUUUUGUUGUUUAUUGGAUUUUCUAGAUUGCAUUUGAGAUGGGUUUUUUCUUGAAACUUUUUAUAACAGAGACAAUUGAUGGGGGUUCGAGGACUGAAGAGGAAGCAAAGGUAUACUCGUGGCUAUAUGCAUUGGCUCAAUCUGGGAAGGAUUUGGUCUAUGAAUAUGUGCAAUCAACUGAAAGAGGUUAGACUUUUCUGCAAAUUUGCUCUGUUUUUGCUAGAAUAUUCUUUGAUUUAAUCUUUCGGGUAAUUUCAGAAACCUCCCUCGAGAUUUCCAACGAUUUCACUUAGCUUUCUUGAACUUUGAAAAAUAUCACUUACAUCCCCUACUUAUGACUUUUGAUAACAUUAUCAUUUUAAGAUAUAUUAUUUUUAAAAAAACUCAUUUUUGGAUAGAGAAAUUAUUUUCAUUUUCAAAUGUGCCCUUUGUUGUCUUGCUCUUUUUCCAAAAUUAAAAGUAUAUUAAGAAAAGCUUGAAAUCAAUAAGCAAAUAGUAUGUACGCACAAUUUUAGUAGGGUACAAUAUUAUAGUAGGCACUUUAAGGUAUGCAUAAUUUAAUUUUUAAGAGUAUAUUUAAGGUAUUUUCAAGCCAAAUAAUAUUAUUAAUUUACUACAAAGUGUUUUGCAAUCAACUUGAGAAGUUUUCAAAUUGUUAGAAUUUCUGAAAACUGGAAAAGAAAACAUGUUUAAAAUUAUGUUUACAAACUCAUUUGACAUGCUUUCAAUGACUAAAAUCUCAUUUGAGAUGCUUUUACUAAAAAAUGUUUGUGAAUUUCUAAAUUUCAUAUUUAUUGUGCCAACUGAUGACAUGAAAAGUAUUCAAAAAUCUUUCAAUCUUGUUAACAGUCUAUAAUUUUUAACUACAAAAUCAUAUCGGCCAAGUUUCUAAAGUUUAAGGGAUUAAAAAGACUAAUUAUGAAAACAAAAGAAGGUGCAUAGAAAAGGGCAAUAUUGGAAUGAAAACAUAUUCUCUAUCCAAAAAUUAGUUUCUUAAUAAUGUAUUAUAAAAUGGGUUUAUAAUGUUAUGAAAAGUUAAAAAUAGGAGAGGCAAGUGAUUUUUUUCAAAGUUCAAGGGUGUUAAGUGAUAAUUUUUACAAACUUCAGGGGAGGCUUCUGAAAUUAUCCCUUAACCUUUUGCAGUUAAAGUUGGACUUAUUUGCCUACUUUUGAUUAUAUCAAUAACGAUGGGAGGGAUGAUAUAAUUAAGAUUAAUCUUAUUUACACUGCCAAUAUAUUCCUCAACACCCUUGAAUGCAUGUCACUUAAUUCCAAUUUGAAUUUAUAUAUAUAUAUAUAUAUUUAUAUAUUUUACAUAUAUGGCAUACAUCAACUAGUGCUAGUAUUUAUACUAUUAGUUAGUUGGUGUAUAGAAAAUUAACCCUAAUUCAACUAUACUAGCCCUAAUUUCUGAUUUGAAUCCUCCCAUGCCCUACCUACAGCUUACAUACUACACUCAAACAAUUUGACUGAAAUAGAGCUAGGUGUAGACAGCAAGAGAUUAUAUUGCAAAUUUGCAAUAGGUUUUACCAGUCUUAUUUAACUUAUUUUGACAAAAUAAAUAAUUAGUGCCAACCCAAAUAAGGGAAAUAUUUCUAACAAUAACCACUUCCUUUCCAAUGAACCCCUUAAAAUGAUAGUUAAGCUGAUCUUUAUUAAAUGUCCUUGCUACAAUUUCUUUUUUUUUUUGUGGAUUUUAAAUACAAUAUCUGGUAGACAUUUGGUAGAAUGCUAGUGCUUGUCAAGGAGCAUUUGGUGCAGCAUAUAAGCCAUUCUCAUAUUGGUUCAGGUUUGUCAGCUCAUUUUCAUCUAUGGUUUACUGAUAUUCCUUAAGAAUAACAAAGUAUUCUAAUAGUGAUUUUGCACAUUGCUUGGAAAAUGGCUUGUUGUCAUCAGUUUUUAGACUCAAUUCACAAAUUUUCUCUGCAGGUUUGAGCUUCAGGGAGGCUGAAAGGAGACUGAAGGAAACCGGGCCAAACAUUCCAAUUCACACUAAAUUCCCCAGAUGGUGGCAUCUUCUUUGGAAUGCCUUAUUUCAUCCAUUCCACAUCAUCCUCAUUGUUUUGUCAGUUUUAUCUUACAUUACUAGCGACGAACCAAACGGAUGCAUCAUGCUUGUACUAGUCUUCAUUAGUGUCUCCCUUCGAUUUUACCAGGUAUUGUCUAGUUUAUUGGUUCAAUUUUUCUAUCGUAGUUAUCAUAUUUUUCUUACAUGCGAAACAUGACACCUGAAGGUGUGUAUUUGUGAAUGUCAGGAAUACAGUAGCUCAAAAGCGGCAAUGAAGUUGUCUGAAUUUCUAAGCUUCCCAGUAAAAGUUCAAAGGUGCGCUGGUAGAACAGUUCAGACAGAAUUAGUUGUUCAAGUUGAUCAAAAGAAUGUUGUCCCAGGUGAUAUUAUCAUUUUUGAACCUGGGGACCUCUUUCCUGGUGACGUGAGGCUACUAACUUCAAAAAAUCUGGUAGUGAGGUAUAGGCUAAAGGUUCUCCUUAUCAUUGAGACUGAAAUCAGCAGAUUUUGUAGCGUAAAUUCCGUCAUUUAACUCGUGAUACUUACUGCCUCAUGAAACAGUCAGUCCUCACUGACAGGAGAAUUUGGAGCUACAGAGAAAACAGCUGAUAUCAGAGAAGAUUCAAGCACUCCGUUGCUGGAUUUAAAGAAUAUAUGCUUCAUGGUUAGUCCACAAUAUUUCUUGCUCUAUUGUCUGCAUGAUGUUAUAGUAUGUAUGUUGCCAUAUAGUUGUUGGAGUAUAUAAGCUAUUUUGGACACGGGACCGGGGUCUACUUCUUGAGGAACAGAUUUAAAUGGGUGGAGUAUAUAAGCAUUUUUUCAUUUUUCUCUAGCUGGUGAGUGGCAACAUAGAACAUUAUAAAGGGGUGGUUAAUUCUCUACUUCAUUGUGCCUUCAGUGGUAUUAGUUGAUAGCUAAUAACAAAAGAAUUGAUAUAGAUUUAUUUUGCUUGUGUGGCCAGUUCUUAACAAAGUAGCUGAGGAGAGUAUGGGUUCCUCUUUUUGUCUUAGGGAACAACUGUAGUAUCAGGGAUUGGAACUGGUCUGGUUGUCUCCACUGGAUCCAAGACUUAUAUGAGCACAAUUUUUUCAACUACAGGGAAGCUGAAGCAACCAGACGGCUUUGAGAGAGGCAUCCGACACAUCUCCUAUAUACUCAUUAGCCUCAUGCUUAUAGUGGUCAGCAUAAUAAUCCUCAUUGAUUGUUAUUCAUCAGGUGAACCAAGUGAGAGCAUACUGUUUGGUAUGUCAGUUGCUAGUGCACUCACUCCUCAGAUGCUUCCGCUCAUCAUUAACACUAGUCUUGCUAAAGGUGCACUUGCUAUGGCCAGAGAUAGAUGCAUAGUCAAAAGCUUAAGUGCUAUACGAGACAUGGGAUCCAUGUAAGAUGAAUUUACUUCAGCAUUGUCUGUGAAAUGUCAGUGCUCAGACUUGAUAAGCACAGAACUUGUUGAGUUGUUUAUCGCAACUACUGUUGACUUCCAUUUUGCAUAACAGACUGUAACGUUUAUACCUUUCUCCACAUCUUAAGUCGCCCACAUCAAUUUUAUGAUGCAGAUGAUUGUAUGAAAACACAUGGCUGUUCUAUUAUUGACUGCUUUACUCUCUAUUGUAGGGACAUUAUAUGCAUUGACAAAACUGGUACUCUUACCAAGAAUACUGCAAUCAUGAUCAAUUACUUUGACAGCUGGGGCUUGCAAAAAGAGAAGGUCCUAAGACUUGCUUUCCUAAAUGCUUUCUUCAAAACACAACAGAGGUAUCCUUUGGAUGAUGCCAUAAUGGCACAUGUAUAUACAAGUGGUUUCAGGUUUCAGCCAUCUGAAUGGAGUAAGGUAGAUGAGAUUCCUUUUGAUUUUACGCGUAGAAGGAUAUCCGUUAUUUUGGAAACAAGAAUGACUGAAAAUUGUGUGAGCAACUACUUUACUGACAGAAUUGUGAUAACUAAAGGAGCACUGGAGGAAGUGAUAAAAGUUUGUUCCUUUAUCGAGCAUGUUGAUAGUGGUGAUACUUUGGCAUUCUCCACUGAGGCCUAUCAAAGGAUCUUAAAUAUGGCAGAAGAACUAAGUAGUCAAGGAUUAAGGCUUCUGGCUGUAGCAGUCAAAAGGCUUCAGAUGGUGUGUGCAUAACUCUUUUCAUUGGUUCUGAUAUCUGUGCUUCUUGUUUGUUUUCAUUCGAUAAACUCCUCUGAUUCUUCCCAGUCUAUCAUUCAUAGAUAGUUUACACUUUUAUGCAAUUUUUUUAUUGCUUCUUACUGAUUUGUCAUUGGCAUGGAGGAAAGUAGUUAACUUUUCUUCACUUAAUCUAAGAACAGCACGCAAGCUUCGAUCAUGCGUUGUUUCUUACGCAAUUUGCCUUGCCUUCAGCACAAAGUCUCUUCUUUACUCAAGUAUAUGGAAAUUCAGACAUGAAAACUUAUCCACAUUUGUGAAAUUCUAUUUUGUUGACCACUAUUCUGGUUCAAAAGUAGCUCUUUCUCUCUCUCUCUCUCUCUCUCUGUUCAGGAGAUAGGAUCCAAUUACAGUUAAAUGUUUGUGUUUCUGGUGUGCAACAUUUGGUACGAUGUUUGAAUAAAAUAGACCAUGCAUAUAUGACUGUACCUUACAGUUUUGUACCAAAUAAUGCUAAUCAGUGAAAUGCUAGAUAUUGGUCUAAUAUCGCUCAUAAAACUACAAGCAAGAUCAAAGUUUUGGUUUAAAUAUAUAAAGCAUUAACUGCACGAAUUACGUUUGAUAUUUUAGUCAACCUUGUAUCUACUUCCAACAGCUAUUGUCUUUCUUUCAGAUAACAGAUAGCAGAAGCAUGGUUUAUGAUGAACACAUCGAAUCUGACAUGGUUUUCUUAGGCCUCAUAACUUUUUUUGACCCACCAAAGGAUUCAGCAAAGCAAGCUUUGUGGAACCUAGCUGAAAAGGGAGUAAAAGCAAAGGUAUUAACAGGGGAUGCGCUAUCCCUCGCAAUAAGGGUUUGCAAAGAAGUUGGGAUUAGAACCACUCAUGUUACUACAGGCCCUGAACUUGAGUUACUUGACAAUGACUCUUUCCAUGAGAAUGUGAAAAGAGCAACAGUUUUGGCUAAGCUCACCCCAACUCAGAAACUUCGAGUGGUGCAAUCUUUGCAGACAGGGGGCAACCAUAUUGUAGGGUUCCUGGGAGAUGGAGUAAAUGACUCGCUUGCAUUGGAUGCCGCCAACGUCGGUAUCUCUGUUGAUUCAGGCGCAUCAAUUGCAAAGGAAUCUUCUGAUAUUAUCUUACUUGAAAAGGAUCUUAAUGUUCUGGUGGCUGGUGUGGAGCAAGGUCGGCUUACAUUUGGGAACACAAUGAAGUACGUCAGAAUAUCAGUAAUUGCCAAUCUGGGAAGUAUUGUUUCAAUUCUCAUUGCAACCAUAUUUUUUGGGUUUGAACCAUUGACACCAAACCAACUACUUGUGCAGAGCUUCUUAUAUAGUUUGGGCCAAAUUGUAAUCCCAUGGGACAAUAUAGAAGACGAUUAUGUCAAGAUUCCACAAAGAUGGUCUCUCAGAGGCUUAACCAUGUUUACAUUGUGGAAUGGUCCUGUUUGUUCUAUAUGUGAUUUAGUAGCUCUCCUGUUCCUUUGGUUUUAUUAUAAGAAGAAAUCAUCUGUAGCAAACAAUUUCAUCCAUUCUGCUUUGUUCGUUGAAGGACUUCUAAUGCAGACCUUAAUCAUCCACUUGAUUCGGACAGACAAGAUUCCGUUCAUCCAAGAGGUGGCUUCCUGGCCUGUUAUAUGUUCCACAGUUCUGAUUUCUGCAGUAGGCAUUGCAAUUCCUUACACACCUCUGGGAACAGUACUUGGACUGGUUUCACUACCACUAUCAUACUUUGGCUUCCUAGUUGUUCUCUUUUUAGGAUAUUUUAUUUUCGGACAAAUUGUUAAGCGAGCUUAUAUUAUGGUGUACGAGAAGUGGCUUUAGACAGCAGAUUCAGCCAAACAGGCGGUAUUCUAACAUCACAAAUAGUUGAAAGAAACUUAAAAGCAUGCAUUUUCAUUUUGUAUUCCAGUGUAUUACAAAAUUUAGCUACAAUGUUGUAACAAGACUAUUCCCCUUGUUGAUGGGGGUUUUGGAACAUUCUUUUUCCAGCAUCACCUUCAAAUAAUAAAAAAACAUUAGAGUGUGAUGCUUGUGCCUGAGCAGAACAGGCAAAGAAUAAGCUACUUUCAGAUUUUGUCACUGAUUUUUGUGCCAUAACAGAAGUUUUAACACCAUCUCUCACAACAAAUGAUGUUGAAAGAAGCAGCAGCACACCAAUACAAGCAACAGGAUUAUGUUUGAAAUUUGCCUGCUUGACGUACAACCUGCAAAAGUAAUGUUUUAUGAUGUAGGCAGACAAUUUGAAUGAACAUAGAAAAACCAGUUUAGCUGACGCAUUUGAUAGCAUCAACUUCACUCAUUUAAGGAUUUGUUCAAUACGGAACGGGCAAUGCCUAGUACUAUGUGCAUCCCCAAUACCGAAACCGAGUCAGAUGGUAGUGACUUUGAGACACUAAUGAAUAAAUUUCAUAAAAUUGUUGCAGUUUGAUCAAAUCCUAGAAGAGAUAAAUAAUACGUGGAGAUCUUACCCAGCUGUAGUUGAAGAUAGUUGUUGCGGAUGUUCCACUCAAAAUCCCAGUGCAUCCUGUCAUUUUUGAGUGUCCAAUAAGCCCACCCAAAGGAAGCUGCAUUAUACACCUCUAACUGGGCUGUGCCAAAAUUUUGAUAAUCUGUUUGGGUUCCAGUGGUCUGAUUCCACUCAUUCACCCACUCACCUAAAAUCAGUUUAUUACUGAGUGUCAUGAUUCUGCAUCUUAAACUCCUAACAAGGUUCAGUUAUAAUAGUUAAGCUGAUUGAUACUGGUUCUUGUUACAACUACUCAAAAAAUGUUCAAGUUAAUAAAGUUAUCAACUCUUGCUAAGCUAAAACACUCAUUUCUUAUAAGGUACUACAAAUUGAGAGUCUAGACCAAUUGCAAUAGGCUAUUCCAAAGAAAAAAGUGGACAAGCCGGUAUAGUUGCUUACCUACAAAAACAAGUGGACCAUUGGCACUGUUUAGAGCUUGUAUUUGGGAUUCUCUGCUCUUGUAUAUGAAUUCAAUAUUGGCCAGUGUACUCAUGUUAGAAAAGGAUGGGUCAAACAUAUUGUAGUAGUGCAAAUCAACUACUGUGUUUAUUGAGCCUAAGUUAGCUUGAUAGAGUUCAAAUGGAUCUGCAUCUCCAAUUCUCUGGCAGAAUAUCACAUACGCACUGGACGAGUAUUUACGAACAAUCUGAUAUCCCUGCUCGUAAAAUGAAACAAGGACAUCCAAUGGAACUGUGGCAGCCCAUGGCUCAUUUAGAAGUUCAAUUCCCAGCAAGGAAGGAUGCUGGGCAUAUCUGCAGGCAUCAAAGUUAAUUACUUUACUAUUUCCUUGUAUUGUUUUAGAUAAAGUAAUAAAUCAAAUGUACAAACACAAAGCUAGAUGGAUGAGGUAGACAGCAAAGUAUAAAUUUGCGCAACCAUCAAAUUGUCAUCAGACAGAAAUAAGCUCUACAUGUUGAACGGAAGUGGUUGGCCAAUGAAGAGAGUUAGAGACAUGAGAAAAAAAUUACUGUCUAUCUCUAAUCAUACGCUCUUAAUCUUCUGUAAUAGAAAUAUUUAACAGAAAUCUAGAGUUUACUUGCUCCAUGGACCAAUUUUGAACAAGCAAGCAUUCCAUGGAGAGGGAGGUGAAGUAAGACCGAACUAAAUUUGUACAAUCAUCAAUCUAUUAGGACAUAAGAUGUACGAGUAACAAUAACAUGUAGACUCUAGUUUUGGUUUCAACUCUGUUAAAAACAACUAUGAACUGCAAAGUGAAUUAAUUCUACCAAUUGAUAACUGAAGGAGGAAACAAGAAGCUGUAUGUGGCCUGAGCUUACCUGGAAGCGAGGAAUUCAAUGACAUCCAAUGUUUGUAAGAUGAAAUCUGGAGACGACCACCCUGUUGUACCAUCCCUACUGGCACUAUGUUCCAUUCCAUUUUGUGAGCCUGGAGCGGCAUGAAGGUCUAUUAUGCACUUUAUGCUGUAGGCUCUGUCAGAAAAAGGAUUUUGGUUGUAUGAAAAUGGUAAAUCUGAAUGUGCCUAUAUAUUGAAACAAAAAGGGAAAACAUACGACGUACAGAGCCCAUGAAAAUGCAUUAUCGAGAGCUUCCAAGCUGCCAUCAAUGAAAGGAGCUGGAGGAUUGGGAUCAAAAGCUAUCCACCAACCAACUGGUAUUCUAACAGUAUUUAUCCCAUUUCUGUACAGAAAGUCAAAAUCUUCGAUGGUGAUGAAUGUGUUUCUGUGCUUCUGGAAUGACCAUUUCAUGUAAGAUCAGAAAAGGGGAAGUCUUUGACCAGAAAAUAUUUGUUCCAUUAAUAGCAUUGGCGCUCUUAAUGAAGCACUUUGAAUACAGGAUAUAUGGACAAUCAAAUAAGUAAUAAAGCAAAUAAGAAGAGGAAGACAAACUUGUUGUAGGACACCGUGUUCCCAUCCAUUCCUGAAUUAGAUUUCAGAAUGUCAUGCAAGUGCCUCCUAUAUAAUAAUGACAUUGUAAUACCAAAGACAGUUUUAUGUGCUAUUCACCAUAAGAAGUGGGAAUUGCGAAGUACGUCAGAAUAUGUGCAAACAUUUUCUGCAGAUGAAGGAUUUAAUGCAGUUUCACCUCUUUAAGACAAAAAUAUUCAUUUAUGGAGAUCAUCCCAUAAUUUGACAUCUUGCACCAAUCAAGACAACAUAACUAAAGGCGACAGAAAAAAGAUUUAUAUAACACAUAGGAUCUCUAACUGAUGAUGGUUUCCUUAUCAAACCAGGAAAAAGAUUGUUACCUUAAGAACCUCUUUUCCCUUAUUGUACCCAUAUCCAUUAGCAAGCUGGUAAUCACCAUGCAGGUUAUUUGCUGUUAUGGUCAUCUCGAAUGUGGCAGCAUUAUCAUCCCAACCAGGUGUUCCAGGAUAGUCUGCUGUGAGCUGGUUCGAGUUUGAAGCCUAAACAAAUGUAGCACAAAACUCUCACACUUUCCCUGUUAUAUUCACUCACUAAUACAGAGCUAUUUGAUCACUGAAAUAGACUGAAAACUCUAUUUGUCAGUAUUGGUGAUUCACCAGUAACAUUUCUGAAGAACAAAGAAAGAAACAACAACUUGUAUAGAACAUAAAAAGAAAUAAAGCAAGAACUCGAAAAUGCCAAUCUCCUUGGUCAAAAUGUUGGUACCAUCCUAAGAUGCUCUAUAUGGUGUUAAAUCAUUUGAAUACUUUUCUCCAAGCAUGGAAAACAGAGCAAAUACAAACUUAUAUAGCUAUCUUGACCAUCUUUAUCACUUUCCUCAGGUUAAUGAUUUCCAAAAUUGUUUCCUAUAGUCAUAAUUGAAUCAUCAUCUCUAGUAGUUAUUGCCAAAACUUCUACACAAAAUCUUCUUUUGUUUACUUUUUGCCCAAAAUUAAACAAUUAACAACAAAAUUUGAAUGAUUACGAAAGUCAAGUACUAUGGUUCAAGAUGGAAAACAAGCUUUGCAUUGGAAAUAUUAAUCCGUCUAAAUCAGUAAUUAAAAACAUUUGACAACCAAAUGGCCGAUUUUGGAUAGAGAAGUUUAAGAAAAAAAAAAAAAGAACCUGGAGAUAAGUUCCACUUUUAAGUUUAAUGUGAAUCCUAUUCUCCUUGUUUCUCUCAAGGUAAAAGGUUUCUGUAGCAGAAGCUGAUUCUGCACUGGCAGUCACCACACUUCCACUGCCAUUGCAAGUCAGAAAUUGGCCUUGAGAAGUACGAAACUGAAAGAUUGAUUCAGAGACUCUCCAUAACUGCUCAGAAAGAAAUCAUCUUGUCAAAUAAUCAGAAAUUUGCAAAUCCAGAUUUUUAUGGCAUAUCAGAACUUUAUUGUUUGGGGUACAUAAAAACUGCACAUUAAGCAGAAGCAUCACUACUGCAAGUUUCGUACUGGACGAGUAAGAAAAAGCCACUUUGUUUAGUAACUGGUAUAAAAUAAUUCACUGCCUCAUGAUCUCAGAGGAAAGACGUUUGCAAAUGGAUAUGGAAGGAGACGCAGAAAAGUAAAAUUUCCUGAGCAUGACUAUAAAUGUGAUCAACCUAACUAUGAAAAAUGUAUUCCUGCUGCUAAAGAAAACACAAUUCAGACAGGGAAAAACCUUUAAAGCAAUAAUGCAAAUGGGAUUUAUCAAAUUACUAAAAUACCAACUGGGAAACUUCAUAAACUCUCAAACUUGGUUACAAUGAAAUCAAUCAGCUUAUUGAGGGGGAUAAUUUCAAGAAGACAGGAAAUCAAGCUUCAAAAAACUAAAUUAGUCCUCUCACCCUGAAAGUUUCCCAUGAUAAAGGAGUAUCUCUAUCAACUGUAACAUUCAUCCCACCUCCAUUAUCAGCUGAGACAUACUUCUGCAACAUCACGGACUUUAAUUGCACCUCUGUUCCAUCCUACAUUGCAAUCAACACAUACUAAAUUAGUAAUUCCAAUAAAGAAACUAACUACAAACACAGUGAGAGUAAUAAAUAAACCAAAUAUCAAACAGAAUAACUUACAAGCAUUUCUCCAUUGGGAAUUCCGUCAAAAAGAGAAGGCUUUAUCCACCCUUCUAUUACUAACCAACCACCCAAGUUCACUCCUCUUACUUUUGAAUCUUCAUGCAGUCCCUCCACUUGAUUUACAAAAUUAUUACAAAAUUAACAACGAAAAAAAAGAAAACCAUCCACUAAGUUGUUGAAAUUGUAUAAUUUCUACAAUUCAUCUACAUAAAAUUCUCAAAACGAAAUUGUUAAAGCACGGCAAACCUGAGCAUGCAACGCAGAAAAGCAGCCAACAAGAAAGAAGAAAUGCAAUGGCUCUUUUGCAGAAAGCAAGUCCCAUGAAAAUGCGGCAAGAAUCAGACACUAUCGUCGAAGAUUUUCGAAGAAUCCAUCUUCAGCAGAAAGCGUGUAGAAGCCAAAUAAAGAGAAAAAGAGAAAAGAUUACUUUUGAAGAAGGUGGAGAAUCUCAACAAUACCUUCCUUAUCACUCAAUUAAUUCCAUAACUUAGUUUGCAGACAACCAUAAAAUGAUAAAAGACUAGGAUCUAACUUGGGUUUUCAAUAUUUAAUUGCAUUAUUAAGAACUUUCCGAACAAUCCUUUGAUCAGACGGGACAAGAAAAGAACACAUUUACAUUCUCCAGUCAGAGAAAGAAAUGUAGAAAUAGAACUGGAAGAGAAGUGUGAAUAUGUAACGAGGCAAAGGGAUAGAGAACAGGCGAAAAGGGAGAAUAAAAAAGGUGGUAACUUUGCUUGAAGAUUUGGCUUUUGUUUCGAAAUCUCUUGAUUCUUGAUUGGCUUAGAAACAAGAGGUUACUAAGUAGCAAAAAAAUUGUUCAGAAAGCAAGCAAUUUUUUCUGCUAACAAUUUUUGACCUUUUUCUGUGGGUUUACUAUAGCUGGCGAGUACUGGUAUAACAGAGUUGGGAAAAGCCAAAAGGGAUACAUCUGUGUAGCUUGUAUUCCUCAUUCAGCAACUUCAAAUAUCACUGCAUGGCUUCCACUCUGCUUUGUGCUCGAGCUCUAAAGACUAAAGAGUGAUAGAUUCUACUAUUUUUCAAUUGAGAAUGACUUCGCCAACUUGCAAAUAAAAAUGUGCUCCUGCCCUGCACCCACCGUUUUCUCUUUUUUUUUUCUAAUUUUUUUUUCGCUUGCUGGAAUUUUGCAUUAUGAUCUUGCUAAGAAUAGAUGAACUAGUGAAAUAUCAAUAUAAGCAGGAUUCUUCAAAAGGCACCGGAUGGAAAAAAAAGUGCACAAGUAAGAAUUCUUCCAUCUUACUCCCUUGUGACUUUUGUUGAUUAAAUUGAAUUUUCAAUGCUAAAGUAUCAUGUUGGUGGAUAACAAUAUCAUAAUUCUUUUAUGAGUUAACCUUGGCCUUGUCAUUAUGCUCUUUAAGACACAGAAUAAAAAAAAUAACAUGAACAUAAGUAAUAAAAUUCAAGAACAAUAUAACAAAUGUUUCCUCAAAUUCACUCUGCAUUGAUUCACCUUGGCCUUGUCAUAUUUUUUAGUCACUUCAUAAACAUCAUAUUUUAGUUCUUUUUUGUUUCCUGAAAAUUCAAUAAUUAUUAAUUGAUUAAUUUGACACAGGUUUCUCUCGAAUUCUCGAAGAAACACCAAUUAUGCUGCAAUCUGCAUUAAAUAAUUCGCCAAUUUUUAUGUUUAUCUGGCCUCUCCAAAUUCAAUUGGAGCACAGUUUUUUCCCUAAAGGAUUAUGACUAAAAGCCAAGAGGAGAUAAUGUAUUUUACCGAGCUUUCCUUUCACAUCCAGUUGUAUGUCUCAAUAAGAAGCAAAACAUAAAAUCAUCCAAAUCUUUGCAGUACAGAUAACGAUACUAUGAACAAGACAACUUUUUUUUUCUUUUGAUAGAUGCCCUAUCGUGAACAAGACUUUGGUUUUAUGGGUUGAUAAAUGCCCAUGAAAAUGAAAGGUAGGCAUUUCUAGUGACCCAAUCUUCCUCUCAAAUUUUUAAAUAAUUUGAUGUAUAUGCUGCACAAAAUUCUUCUGGCAACCAUCACACUUGCGUUACCUCUCCAUUUAAAUAAUUUUUUUCCAACAAUUAUACAUGGAUGUAUGCCCAACAAUCUUAACUAUUUGGGAGAAUUGUACUAAUUUCCCUCACUUGUUGUUGAUGUGAAAAUUUAGUCCUUCAAAAAAAAAAAGAUUAAUUUUAAUCCCUAACAAUAUAAAAAUGAUUACAUUUGGUCCAAUUUCAUUUUUUCGAGCAAAAUUUGGCCGGAACAAAUCGCGCUUACAUCACACGCCCAAUUUUUAAAGGGUAAAAUUGGCAAACCACCUCACUAUUGACCAGAAAUGUAAGGGACUAACGGCGCAAAACUUAGUUAAGCAUUCACUAAUAAUUACAAAAUCUAACCCCCCCCCCCCCAAUUACCUGUUAUUCAUCUCAACCCAAAACAAAACCUAAUAGCAAACUUCUAGCGGCGGAUUGAAGUUUAUCCAAAGGAAAUUGGUGAUUGAAUACCUACUAUUAGAGAAAAGCCCAACUGUAAUUUACCAUUAACCAGCAAUUCAAUGUUCAUAAAAGUGGGGCAGAAUUGCACCAAUCGUUGGAGAAAGAUGUUAUUACUAUGUCAUUUGCCCCAAAGGAUGAACACGAAACUCAGAUACAAUUUGCACUUGAAAGGGGGAUUCCUGCUCAUUUUGUCAUUGGACCCAGAGAGGUUGACAUUUCCAGAUAAUGCUUAUGAUGUGAUUCACUGUGCAAGAUUUAGGUUUCACAGCGAUGCAAAUGGUAGGAAAAUGUUUUAUAAAGUUUUAAUACCUUGAUCUAUAUUAUUUUGGCUAAGAUCAAGUAAUCAUGUGAUUGAGUGACAGGUGGAAAACUUUUGAUGGAGCUAAAUAGGAUUCUUAGGCCCCCGCGUGAAUGGUCCAGCGGUAGCGCCUCUUACCGGUGACCCUUGAGGUCCCAAGUUCGAGUCUCCGCUCUGCUGGAUUCCUCCGCGCAUUUAUCGUGUUCGGGUCGGGUUGGGGCGCCGGGCUCGGACCGCAGGGGAUUAGUCGGGCCCCGUAAGAAUUGACCCGAACACCCUGUGUCGAAAAAAAAAAAAAAAUAAUAGGAUUCUUAGGCCAGGAGGAUAUUUUAUAUGGUCUGCUACACCAGUUUACGGAAAUGAAGAUAGAGAUGAGAUCAGAAUGUUUGGAAAGGCUUUGAUGCCACGCCGUGCGCGAGGCGCCCAUUCGACUGGUAUAGCAGGAGAACAGCCCGUCAUUAAUUGGGCCGAUCUUUUCCCGUCCAUCAUUUAGCAUGACUAUAGGACGCAUUCCUAUCUGCAAGCAAUGCUCGUUGGGUGGCCCGUUGGCCCAAUAGUAAAACAAUGGUUCCCCAAACAAAGUAAAAAUGAAAAAAAAAAAAGAAAAAGAAAAAGAAAUAGUGGCAUAAGAUAUUUAGUUUCGUGAGGCCCUGUGUGCUGGCUGAAAGUUGACAAUUGUGCUGUCAAAUUCGGUUUUUUACUCGCAUGUAAAGACAGUUUUUGACCAAAAAAAGAAAAGAAAAGACAGUUUUAAUAUAACCAAGUUGGUGAAAUGAUUGGGCUGAUUUGAGUGUUAUAUGUUCAAUGUGCACGAACCUGGAGGGAAUUAUUCAAUUAUAUGUUCUCUUUAGACUUUUAGCACAAAUUGACGGCUCUCAGGGGCAGACACAAAAAGAUAAAAAGAUUUUGAUCAGGGUGUGAAUGGGAGAAAAGAUGGAGACAAUAACAAGGACGUCCCAUUGCAUACAUUUAUAAAAAUUAGAUACAAUGAAAUGAAACUAAAAGUCUGUUCCCUUCGUAAGCAUGGGGACUUUACAGUUUUAGCAUUGCACAAAAGUUAAAACCAUAAAUAUUCACUCCGUGAAUCCUGAAUCCAAUGAGGGUAUGCAUUUGCCUAAAAAUAUGUCACAGGGCAUUCUGUAUUGAUGGUAAUUUCAAAGCUCGUGAUCUAUUGAUUUGAGCUUAUGAUAAAGAACUUAAACUUUCGCUUCAAAACUAAUUAACGAUGAGUGGAGUAACCCCAAGAUGUUAUUAACGUUGUUGAAAAUUCUUAGAAUAUCAAAUGUCUAUCUCUGAUACCAUGACGAAGAAUUUCAAUUUCAUUUUUCAAAUUACUUGGCAAUGACCGGAGUAACUCAAAAUUUUUGUUAAUAUGAUUGAAAAUUAUUAAAAUAUCAAUGUGAGACAUUUUAGUCUUUUAAUAAAUAGUUCAGCUCACGUAUGAACAAUAAAAUGUUGUUUUAGUUGCUUGUAGCAUUUGACUAUAGGCGUUUAUGCAUGGUACUCAGCUAGUAAAAAUAUUAACUAAAUAAUUGUGGGAUCUUUGAUUUGAAGGGAAUAUUUCAUGAACUAGAAAGAUACUCUGUAUGUAAUUGAGUACACGUCAUGCAUGUCACGAACGCUAGUUAAAGUUUUGAAAACUUGCAGUGAAGAUAGCAAGUUGGAGAAUCAGACUAGAGCGAAAACCAUAAUGAUGAAGAAGAAUGGAGAACCACAAUAGUUCCAAGAUCCAAUUUUUUCCCUGACAGUUAUAGAUGACUCCCCUUCUAUCCUGCUACACUUGCUUCAAAAAAGAAACAUUAUAAUUUCCUUCAUCUCCUAAAAUUUUGCUUUGGCCGUAAUAGCAUUGGAAGCCUCGUUUCAAAACCUAAUCCGAAAGCAGCGAAACUGGUUUUUGCAAAGCCGCUGCUUUCUUGUGCAUGGGACCGUAGUGUUUCUUGGCAGCAGCCAAGUUCUUGGCCAGAAUCAAUAAACAAAGAACCUGUCCUUCUCAAAGGCAUUAAGGCGAAUGAACAUGUCACAUCCUAUUAUUCAUAGACUAAUUUCUUAGUUUCUUAGGAUAUUUUUUAUGUGUAGAACAUUCUCUCUAAGGAAGAGUAGACUAAGGCUUAACCUAACUUUGUACGUAUGAUUAUACAUAAUAAUAUUUUGGUUGUCCUAUAUAUCCCAUCCUGAUGGCUAUACUUUCUGAUGUAUCUAUAAAGCGUGAGACAGAAAUAAUAAAUACUCAAUCAUUCCCAAAUGAUGCAAAUAAUGUUAAUUAUGCAUGGCUGUUAGUGGUUAAGUCAUAAUCCUAGUUUUGGUAUUUCUAAUUGUUGCUGUGACUUUCAUUGAAACUUCGAAGUUUGAUCCUUUCCCUAAAAGCAACAUGUCAUCAAUCUUCCAUACGGGCAAGCAAGCAAUUAUUACUAGUACUAUUUUUUGGCUUAAGGAUUGGUGAGAUCAACAGUCUCUUUUUACAUGAUUGAAUGCUUGUUAAAUCACAAACGAAUUUGUUGAGCGAAUUUGGUAUUUUUUUGACAAGGUUUAAAGGACUAAUCAAAUUUUCGCAAAAAUUUAGGAAGUUACUUUAUCAUGUAAAGUUAAAUUCGUGGAAAGAUUUUAUUACCCAUAGUAGCUUGUGAAAGUAUGUCAAUGGGUGGGUCAGGUCUUACCCAAAUUCAAUCCAGAGACAAUAUUUUUGGAUAAUGUUUAGAUAUAAUUUCUCAAAUUUAGACUCUACCCAAAUCCAAACCCUAUAAGAGAGUCAUGAGUUUAGGUAAGGUUUGAUUUUCUAUGAUUCAUACCUAAAUUUAAAUACAAAUUAGGCUCUACCCAGAUUCAUGUUGAAGUUUAGGGAAAAGAGAUACAAAAAUAUAUUUUUUGAAUAAGGCUAAAUAUUUAUAUAUGUUACGGUUGUUUUAUUUUUUUUCAAGCUAAUCCUAAUUGGCAUUAUAAUUGAUACAAACAUUUUUCAGAAAAAUGAGAACAAGUAAAGGUAUUUAAAUGAAAUACUAGAUGUGGAUGCAAAUGAAACUUUGAAAAUAAAUAGAAGUAGUUGAUAAUACUUCUUUCUUUAAUUUCAUAAUAUUGGAUUCAAUUUCUUAAAUGUUAAUUUUAUUAUUUGGAAACAAAAGGUCAAUGGUAUUUAUGUUAUUUUUGAACUUUAUAUAUUUUUAAAAUAGUCUUACUUUAGUUCUUCAUUGUAUAUUUAGAAAACUAUCCAUAGAUACUCAUUGGAUACUCAAACCCAUAAAAGUCCGGGUCUAGAUUUACUUUGUUAGACCCAUAAGGAUUUGGAUCCGAGUCUGAGUCUAUAUUUCACUAAAUUUAAUGAAUUUAUAUCAGGAUUCAAUCCAAACCCCAUCCAUUGACAUGCAAGUUGUGACGAUAAUGUACUCCUCCUAUCUCAUGUUCCUAGAAGGUGCAAACUGAGCAAUCAAAAUACUAUAACUCUCACAGAAAAAGCAAAAAAGUUAGCAUCACAAUAAUGUUCAGAAAAUGAUUGACAAAAGAAAAAAAAUAAUGUUAAGAAAAGGAAAACUAGAAAACAAGACUGUAGAUGCCGGAAUCUUAGGUCCGCAAUCAACGCUUGGGUUUAUGAUAGAAUAAAACCCGUAAUGCUAGAUCUAAAAUGUGAUAGGAUAUCUAUCACAACUACUAUUCUUUGGCAAUCUUUGACCAAAAAUAUAAAUUAGUAUCUAAAUUAGCUACUAAUCGAAAUAAGGAACAAACAUUUAGCACAAAACUAAAGAAAAGCUUAUUUGCAGUAACACUGGGGCUGAAACAAUAAUAUCUCUUCACGGGAUUCUAGUAUAACUAAUCAAUUUCACGAGUUAAGUUUCGUUGUCUACUAUUUAUUUUGAUUUGAAAAAUCAAUCUCAUCUUUAGAGGUGCAUAUAUUUAUUUUCUAGAUAAGCCCAGAAGAUUAUAUACAUAUAUUCUAAGGACUUUCAUCAAGAAAAGAGGUGGCUGAGGGUGAGACAGAAAAUAAGGUAGAUUCUCUACAUUUAGUUUUGUGAUGAUUCUUCAAAUUCACCAUACCAGAUAUUGAUAGAAUAUUGCUGGCUUGUUCCAUAUUGCCACAAAAGUAUGAUAUAGCUGAAAAGUUAGAAAUUAGGCGAUGCUUAAAGUCGUCAUAUUGCUAAUCAAGAAUUUGUAUCCAUUGAUCUUUUCAAUUUUUCUGGAAAAAAAAUUAGGAUUUAUUUAUGGAUAACUUUGUUUAGAGACUAAAGUGGACGUCAUGGCAGCAACUCUUAUAACACUGUUGUCUGUUAAAAAAUCUGGCACUAAACACAAAGGAAGGUUCUAAUUUACUGGCUUCAAUAUGAUUUCUUACACCUCUAUUUUGAUGAACCAGCAAGAUGAAUUUCUCAUCAAUGUUUUUGGGUUCUUCCCCCACCAACCCUCCCUCCCCUCUGUUGAUUCAAAUAAGUAAGAGAUGGUUUACAAAUUACAGCAUAGAUUUUUUUUUACUAAAAGCUUGAACAAGCCUAGAAUUAAUAUGUCGGGGAGCUAUCAGUUUUUCACUCCUAAGGAAGAAUGAAUCAGAUCUUCACUCUCUCAUAAAGUUGAGAAUACCAAGAAAAGUUAUGAAAAAAAAAAAGGCACAAAAAACCAACGAAGAAUCAAUCUCCUCGUAAUCUCAUGCAUGCAUUCGAGGGUCAAAUGAGGCAGACGUAUAUAUGCAUAUAUUGCAUGGUCAAGCUAAAGCUGAUUUCUGCGUUUCUUAAAUCCAUUUUGCAACGUUUAUUAUUCCAAAGGGAGUUUCUAAUUGUCAUGUCAUUUUGCCACAGUACGUGCACUUGGAGUUUUGUUUGAGAGAAUAAUUAUAAUACUUAUUAAUAAUGCUGAUUACGUACUAGACAAAAGGUUUUGAUGGGGAUGAACACUAGCAAUCACCAACUUGUGCAAAGAAUGGACAUAAUAAUCGAAUUGUAUAUCCUUAAUUCAUAAAUACUCAGUCGGUAUCAAAUCUUUUAAACAAUGUUUUUUCUGAUACAUUCAAAAUGUUGCCAGUUAGAUGAGAUAUCAUCUUUAAUUGUUUAAACCCCUUCUGAUGGAGACCGCCAAAGCUUGGAAUUAAUAACCUAACAUCAAAGGUUCGAGUGUUCUUGCUUGCUCAAGGAGAGAAAAUGAUGGCUUUGCCAUCUUUGUCUCACAUUCUUCGAUUUUUGUUAAUUUUUUCCGGAUAAUUUUGACUGUGCUAUCCCUUUUUGCUUAGUCGUUGAAACGGGUAACAAGACAAAUUAGUAUCUUAUUCGCUUCUCAAUUUUGUAUUUGCUUGCACUUCCGGUUUAGUGUAUACAGUUGGCUAGAUCAAGAAAUAUGUACGUGCUAAUUUAUAAGCACAUGCUAUCAACAAAAAAAAAAAACCUUCAGAGUUUGAUUUGCAAUAUAUCUAUUACAUAUUAUGCAUUUUAACCAAAAAAAAAAAAAAAAUUGAACACGUUAUAUAUCUACUUUAGCACUGGAACUGAGUUGGAUGGCCAUUUUAUAUGUCCCAUGCCAAACUGACCAGUUUAUACCUCCCAUGACAAACAGGAUUAAGUUUACUAGCUAGCUGUUGAAUCUUAUAUCAAACUAAAACUGCACCUAAAGAUAUAAAAACUGAGUCCUCCAAUGGGCAUUGACUAAGAUUUGCACAUCCUACCAUAUCGUCAACCAGACCAUGCAUAUCUUUGAACAAUAUUCCGUUUCAACACACUGAAAAUUCACAAAUUAAGUGGCCCUUGCUCAUAUUCGGAAAUUAUUAGGCUAAAAAGUGGACCUUGGUAAUUAUGCAUACCAACUUUUUUCUGUCUUCUGAACAAGCUAAGAGUCCUUCUUUCUAAGCCACAAUUUCAUAGUUUGACAAGAGCAGAAAAGUUUUAAGUGAUCCUUGCUCAUGUUCAAUAACAACUUAGGAUGGAAAAAAAAAAAAAAGAAACAUCGAUGCAUUUCAUUAACAAAUCUUACACUAUUAAGUUAUAGGAUUCAAUAUUGAUAAAUUGCUGGAAUAUACUGUUGCGAAUCUUUUCUCCAAAUGGAUCCCAUUUAGUGGUAUACCGUAAAUCAAGCUUUGCUAUACCGAUUUUCUAUUAUGGUCCCAACUACAAUUUUUUUACUAUUUAAAAUAGGACGUGUUAAUUAAUAUAUAGAGAGAGGUCGAGACAAAAGCAAUGAAUAUAUCUAUUUCCACCAUGCAUGAAUUACGGGCCUUGCAAGAGGGAGUCAUGCUACAUGUACAGGAGAACGUUCGACCAUUUUCAAUUUGCUUAGCAAUGAUCAGAAUAUUUGAAAUUGAGGCUAAUGCCAAAAGGUGGUACAGUAAAUGUAAGUUCGAGACCAUCUAUUAAUGGCGAGUCAAUCUAGCUAGUAUUAAUGCCCUAAAGAACAGUCACUUUUUUCUUUUUGUCAUUAAUAUUGCAGUUUUUUAUCUGUUGAACUGUAAAAGUGGAUAUCCAAAUAUAGAUAAAAGAGUAUGGCUAUGAUUGUAAUGUUCCUUUUCUUUUGGGGAGACUUGGCUCGGCACCAUAAUUAAUAAAUGUUCAAUGCCUAAGGGGAAACAAGAAAAGUUGCAAGACUAAUCAUUCAGACAGAAGAUAGGGCCUGAAUAUCAUUGCUCGAAGCACAAAAUUCCAACCAAAAGCUACAAUUGAGUUUUAGGAGCCGAAACAACUAGAGUAUAUAUUGCAGUCUGAUGAGUCAGAAAGCAGUUUUCACCCACACCCAAAAUUAUGCACCCGUUCUUUAUUACAUGUGCAUGAGUGAGGAAGAAGAAAUGUUUGUUUGAAAUUUGUUUAGCACGAAAAGGUUGAUUACUGGAAGACCACAAGCUAAAAGGUACAUGUUGGUUCGAAUACAAAAGCAGAAAAUCUUUGGAAUUGGCGCCCUAUCUAAAUUCAUGGUCUUUGUCAUUGAUGAUUGCAGAUUGGCUUUGGUUUUGAGGGGUCAGGACUCACAUGGAUUCUUUUUUCUUCAAUGCGAACGACAACCCUACUGACUUAUCUCUGUUAAACGUCCCAUGUCUGUCCUCAAAAUUACUGUAUUUAUAUUCUCUCUCUCUCUCUCUCAAGUCUUCUUUCCGGCAUGCACAAACAUAGAUGGUGACCGAGUGAAGACAAGCCAGGACCUUACAAAAAUGCGAUAUCAAAUCUUGAUGGUGCUUGACCAAGAAAGAAAGUUGCUAAUGCAUCAAUUUGGUUUUUAGUACUACUAACUUCUUUGCUUGAGGAACGAAAAGGGUCGAAACUAUGGUAGGUGAUGAAAGAAAGGAUUGACUACCAUGAGUUGAUUGAGGUGUCUUAUUUGAUCUUUUAGGCUCCACAGAUUGUUGGAGACUUGCAAGAAUUUUGAUUGCAAUCUAGCAUUGCUUCUUGUUUGGAUGACCUUUUCCAUUUGGGAUUUUUAUGCCAUUUGAAGUUGUCAUGACACUAAUAAUUGUCGUGAUGAAAACUGUGAGAUAGUUCAUUAUGGAAUUAUCAAGUAAUUAUUCCUUGACGUCCUAUAUAUUGGACCCAUGUACUAGCAUUUUUAACAGUAAUUUUCUAAUGCAGCAGAUGUACAGUAGAUAAAUGUUUACACUAUUUUAGAGUAGCUAAUGUUUAUUGACACCUUUUUCUUUACAUUUUUUUUUUUUUUUUACAAAAAACUACUAAGUAGUCGGACUGCCAGUAACAGUAUUCGAUGUCAAUAUCCUCACGUUUUCAGAGUUUCUUGGCGAAUGAUUUCUUGAGAUACUUCACAUAGUCAACUCGGCAAGUCCUCUAGAAUAUUGACCAUUUAUAUUCAAUUAAUGUAAUUCUUGCAAGAUUAAUAUAUUUUUCACUGACCGAAACCGUAUAAAUUUAGACCAAUUAAAAGUAAUCAGACAGGACUCAACUGAAUCACCCCAUGUCCAUAUAUUUGGAUACUAUCUAAUCACAGUCCUUGGUUAUGCAAUUGCUCAGUUUUCUCCCUUGUCAAAUAGCAAGAUAAAGGGAAUGAAUGGAUUGAGUGAUACGAAACUACAAGAAAAGAGAGUGUAAAUGAGAGAGUGUGGAUUCGAACCUUCUCACCUAAAGAUAAAAAAAAAUGAAGUAGCAGCAGCAUUUAUAAAAAUGGCAAUUACGUACACUAUUUGGGAAGAAAGUUAGCCUCGAAUUUCUUUUGGUAAAAGCGUGGGUGUGUGUGUCUAGCCCACACGCUUAAUGUUUCCAAAUAUAACAAGCAUAAAAAUUGUUAUAAUAUACUUCUUUUACCUUAUUAGUAAGUUUAGCAAGAACAUCAUUCAAAGGUCUUAGAUGAUUCAUCUCAACUUGUCAAUUGAAAAAGAGAAAUGUCUUCUCUCUUGCCCCCUCUCUCCCCCUUGAGGACACAUACAUGUCAAGACACGGCCUCACGUGUGUAACUGCUGUAAUUCUUUCUUAAACAUAAACAAUUGAUUGGUUCAACUUGCAUUUAUCAAUUCUUCGUCCUUCAAUUCUAGGACUUGAUGAGGCCUAUAUAAGGAGGACAAAGACAGUUUUCCCUUUCACAUGCAUUAGCUGGCCAAGAAAAAAGAAAGAAGAGAACAAUAGUUAAGAGAAUGGCCUUAGAAACCAUAGUUUUUCAACAAGAUCCUUUUAGUUAUGGUUGUAACCAAGAAUUUUGUGACCUAUGGGGCCUUGGAAUCCAUGAAAAUCAAGGAAAAAUCAACUCUGAAAUUUUUGAGCAAGGCUUGAUAAGUGGGGCUUGGGAGAGCAGCAUCAAUUCUUCAUCGGAUACAAGCACUGUUGAGGGAUCGAUAGCCGGAAGUAAUCUAGCUCCGGUUGUUAUGCCUGGCAGGAAGAGAAGAAGGCGGACCAAAAGCUUCAAGAAUAAGGAAGAAAUGGAGAACCAGCGGAUGACUCACAUUGCGGUGGAAAGAAAUCGCCGGCGACAAAUGAAUGAUUAUCUCGCCGUCCUCCGAUCGAUGAUGCCACCUUCCUACGCUCAAAGGGUAUAUUUUACACACACAACACACACUAAUAUUUUUUGCAUAAUUUAGGUGGGUUGGCCAUGUAUAGGUUCAGGUGCACGUAAAAUAAUAACGAUUAACACAAUUCCCAAAGUUAAGAAUCACAAAUCUUGAAUGAUGAUGAAUGCAGAAACUGACAAUAUCGGCACUGUUUUUGCGUAAUUGAAAUGAUUAAUAAUAGUACGACAGUUGCUUAAUUAAUUAACCUUUGCUCUUUUAACUUAUUAAUGUAAGCAGGGGGACCAAGCAUCAAUCGUAGGGGGAGCCAUUAAUUUUGUGAAGGAGCUUGAACAACUCCUCCAAUUCCUUCAAUCACACAAACAAGUGAGGCAGCAAUCGUCCACCAUCCACUCCAAACUCUUCGACAAUUUCUUCACUUUUCCUCAGUACUCAACUUGUCCAAGUCGGCAAAACAUGGAUAAUUCCAUGGCCGCUGACGAUGCCAUGGCUGAGAAGCACUCUACAAUAGCUGAUGUUGAAGUGACCAUGGCAGAAAACCAUGCCAAUAUUAAGCUACUGACGAGAAGAAGACCAAAACAGCUAUUGACACUAAUCACAGGGUUUCACUCUUUGAGCCUUGCCAUCCUUCACUUGAACAUUACUACGAGAGACCAUUUGGUACUUUAUUCUUUUAGUGUCAAGGUAAGUUCAACUUAGUCUGUAGUUUAUUUUGUUUUCUACAAGAAUAAGUUUUAGACGCAUUGAACAUUUUUGGUACAAAAUAGGUUGAAGAUGAUUGUCAGCUAACUUCAGUGAAUGAAAUAGCCACUGCUGUGCAUGAUUUGGUGGGCAUGAUACAUGAGGAGGCGGCGUCCAGCUGAGAAGAAAGCUUAAAUAUGGUGCCGUGCCAUGCCAUGCCAUCCAUCACCCCAGCCUUUCAUCUUCCAUUAUUCUUGAAAACUAGCUGUUAUCUUCAUUAUUGUCACAACCAUUCUGUCCUUUGCAAUAUUUUUAUAUAUAUAAAAUUUGAAGUAAAUAGAUUUGCAAUUGUUAAUUUUUAAUUCUAUGUUUUUCAGAGGAAUAUUCUGUUCCCGUUCCAUGCAAUGGCUAAUUCCUAAUUUGUUUUGCCAACUAGAACACUAAUAAUUGUGAAAAGUUGAAAACUUCUCAAAAUUCUGUGCCAUCAAAAGCCAACUGAAUGUCACAUCAAUUGAAAACAUGGGCCACUCAAGGUGGGCCUACUUGAUUGAGACAUGACCCAAAGUUUACGCCUCCGAAUCCUGGUAGCACCCUAAUAAUUUUCUAGAGUCUAAUAUUCUAGCGUUUCAUUUUCAUUAACGAUAUUCUUACGUUCUUGUGUAAAAGAUUACAAAAGAGGUAAAUAUCAAACAAGGCUUAUGAGGAAUGUGAGAUAAAAAAAAUAAUUAAAAAUUGUGAUUAUGAAAAAAGUAAAAUUUUUUUUUAGAAAACUCCAAUCCAAACAAGGCUUCGGAAGGUCCAGAUUUUACCCAAAUCGCGUGAUUUGAUGAAUGUGAGAUUUAAAAAAAUGAUUCAAAAAUGUCAUUAUGAAAAGCGUAAAAUUUUUCUUUGCAAAACACCAAUCCAAACAAGGCUUUAAAAGGCCCAAAAUUCACCUAAAUCACGCAAUUUGAUGAAUGUGUGAUUAAAAAAAAAAAGAUUCAAAAACGUGAUUAUGAAAAACUUUUAAAAAAAAAUUUGGAAAAACUCCAAUCCAAACAAGGCUUCAAAAGGUCCAAAAUUACCCAAGUACCUUAUACCAGCAAUGAAGUAUGUAUUUGUUAAUUUUGUGGGGAGUUUUUCAUUAAGGUAUAUCUGUCAAUUUUGUGGGGGAAUCUUUCAAUAUGAUCACGAAUGGGAAAGAUCUUGUGUACCAAAAAAUCACAAGCAUAUGGACCCACGACCUUUUUUUUUUUGGUUUUGGAUUGUAUGAGGAAACUGAGUCGUUGCCUUCCCCAAAUUUGGUACUUCUCGGGAUGGUGGCUGUGGGUCUCUAAAAGGUUGAAAGUUUGCAAAUAAUUCGUCGUUUGCUGCAAAAUGAAAAUACCAAUAUGAUUGCAGAACUGCCAACCAGUUACGGUUAGAAAAGGGUUUUAUUUCCAAAGCAAUAUCUGCAUCACGUCAGAUAAUUAUGAACUAAAUUGGCAGCUGAUAAGGCAAAGUCAUGACUCAUGAGUUCCAAGUUGACCGGUCGAGAGGAAAGUCACUCUAUUUUUUUUUCUUUUUUCUCCUUUUUAACUAAAGAAGAAGAGCUAUUAUGAUUUCUUUAAGAAUAAAUUUUAUAUAUACUGACGAUGAUGUAUGUAUUAUUACGAUUGGAUAUACGAUAUAUACGUAAAAUUUAUGUUUCAAAUUCAAAUUCGAAUUAUAUAUAUCAUGCAUUUAAUAGUAAAAGUAUAUAUACCGUUAAUAUACAAAAAAUUAAUCAUUUCUUUAAUGAGUACUAUAAUGUUAUUAUCACGAAAAUGCUGAAAAAGCCCCUAGAGUUUCAAGAUAUUAAUUUAAUGGUCAGACUUUAGAGCUGCUGUGGAGGUGGAGCCAAGCUCUCUCCCUGCUAGGUUGAUGUUCACUAUUUUUGUCAAUUGUCAAGAAUUCAGCACAAUCAUCAAAUUUCUAUAGCUAUCAAAUAAGUUGAUCACAAAUUCCAUCUGAUUUUUUUUUUUUUUUUGUGUUUUAUCUUAUUAAUUUAGUCCCUUGUGUUUCACUUUUAUCAUAUUUGAUCUAUCAUAUGGAUUUAUCCCCCUAAAAUUAUUUUGUUUAAGUUUACUCAAAAGUAACAUAACAUGACAAGCAGAAAAGUCCAGAGGCCUUGGUAUAACCUGCAAAGCGAAGUCAACACUGAGAAAUUCUGUUCCCACUAGAUGUUCAAAACGCUAUCCCCACAUCCCGGAAGAAAGCUACCUAUCUAUGAAGUAGGAUCUUGAAGGUACACUAAAACCUGCAAACCCUUCUUCCCCUGGACGUAAAAAGCAUAGAAUCUUGGUCCCCUUAAAAAGCUUUUACAUUCUGAGCUCAUGUGCCCGUAGACUUCCUAUAUCAGUAAUUAAAAAAAAAAAAAAAAAAAGGUUGAUGACAGACGAGUUGUAAUCUUGCUCCUGGAUCUUUCCUUGCAGGCCUAAUCAAUCAGGGAAGACACACAUGUUAUCAGUCUGAUAGUCUUACCACAGUUUACCACCCCAUUGGCUUGAGAAAAGUUACCCUUUACAAGUUCAAGAUAAAUCAGGAUGAAUCUGGACGCUAACUCAGUUGGAUUUCUUUCUUCAUGUAAAAAACUUCUCAAGCUCGUACGUUUUCUUUCCUUUUUUUUUUCUCUUUGGAUAUCUUGCUAAAUUGUGGGCGGGGGAGGUGUUAGACAAUGAAACAAAGAAAUUUUCAUUAACUUAAUUAGAUAUGACCAACUGGCCUGGCCUAGAUCAAAUUAUCAAUAUGGGCCUCAGUGGGAAGGAUAUAUUCCGCUACUGGAUUAUGCAAUGGUGACUUACUUAAGACCUAUGACUAACAUGAUUGCCUUGCAAGAAGGGGGGAAAAAGGCACAGCUAAGAACAAAAUGGUCUCUAUCAGAGUUGUCAAAUUUGGAUCUCUAACAGCAGAAACCCCGUGUAAUUACUAUAGGCAAAUUAUAGAGGUAAUAAGAGCUCCUUGCAACUUUAAUUAAGCACAGCGCUUUCUCUAGCUGCCACCACUAAACCUGUUUUACCUUUUCUUUGGUCUUGACAGAAGCAUCAGUGUUCAAUUUAUUAAUGAUUCUUUAGUUUCAGGCCCCUCCUAGUUCUGAAUAUCCACAAUCCCUUAAAAAUUCUCUGCAAUUUUAGUCAGGAUAGAGUUGGAUCGGCAUGCAUCUUAACAUUCUAGCCAUUCAGCUUGAGCCUACUUUCUUUACAGCAUGACAAAUUCUUGCUUCCUGGAAAUGAGGCAGCAUCACAAAGCUCUUAGUUACAAGUUUUGUCAAUCAAGGGACUGUUGGCUCUCAAAUAUAAGUUUCGUUGAUUAAUGGACCUUUUGGUAUGAAUUAAUUGCUUGUGGCUCUAUGAGUCCUGGUUUCUUCUGCAUCAGCAGUUUGGCUGAAGGGACGAAUCUUUUAGUUAGUUGUCAUGGAGAAUUUUUUUUAUAUCAGAAAUAAAUGAAGACACUGCUAAGAAAAGAAAGGGAAACAAGUUGUUCUAUUUAGUUAAUUGGCUUGAAGUUGGAUGUCCGAGGCCAAUGAAUUUGUUUACUAAGGUCAAGAGAUUUUAGUAGUAGUAGUAACUAGGUGAAGCAGCAUGUGUAAUACGGCAAAUUGCACUAUCUAUAAGGUCAAGGUCGACUGCUGGAAUCAUAAUAAAUUCUUUCAUUAACUUCAUCUUCUAGCAUUUUUUAGAUUUCCGGACAGUUGACACCUCCCCCGGGGAGAAACCAAGAUGAUUAUAAACUUGAAACCAAGUCUGAUGCAAUGGACAUGGACUAGAAAUCUUUGACGAGAGCCAACUUGUAGAAAACUCAAUCUAGAUGCUUAAUAGAAUGUUGAAAGUAGUGGAUAUGAAUCAUUAUGGAUCUAAUGAUCCUAAUAUGUUUUGCUAAAAUAGAUUGAAUCUCCACGUAGGGGAUCAGCGUGUUUGUUGUCAGAUUUUUUUAAAAGAUCAUUUCUUGAUCAGAUUAAUUGUUACAUUUGGAAAAUUUUUGGGCUUAGUAUUUACUUAGCUGAUACAAUAUACCAAUUCAAACGAUUUCCCCACUUCUAUGUGCUGAAGUGACGAUCUUGCAGCAAGAAAUUACGUAUCUUGUUUAUUAUCUUAGACCGGGAUUUCCACAUUUAAGAAGAUGCAUAUGAAGAUGCUACAGACAAAAUUGAGGAACAAGAAAAAGAGGGAACUAAGCAUGAAUUACAAGGAGAUAACCUGCAACUAGAAGCUGGACAGAUGACCUACAAUUUAUCACGCUAAUAGCAAUCCAUUGCUCUAUGCAAAAGCUGAUAUUCCUGAAUUUCUUCCUGAUUCAGAGUAAUAAAAUACAUCAUCAUUGCUCAUCAGAAAAGUAAAAAUGAAUAGCAAUCUAUUGCUUUUUGAGAUAACUAUCAUCUUAAUGAGUCCAUUUGCCAUCCCUUGAGAAUGAUCCAUCCAAAGAUCGAUGAAAUUUGGAAUCAGCCCACUUACAACUUCAGUUCUGCAAAGUAAUAGUUUUAGUGGUAAUUCCUCAACUGUUUAGGACCAUCAUACACCAAUUUUUAUCCUCAGCUAGAAUUCAGAGGACCUGAACUGAGUGUGUGGGAAGGUUCAAAAUGAACGGACUAACUCCUGGCUUCUGCCAUGUCUGGGUAUCGAGACCUUGCCACUGGAUGAGAAGGACCUCUUCAUACGCAUAGGCACACUCUGCAGCGAACGCCCAAAUGAAAAACUCUUUCUUGAUCUAUGUCUGCUUGAAUUCUUAUCCCCUUGCUUUGCUGCAACUAUUUCUAAAUUCUGUUUCUUCACUUCCAGAUCCUGAAUACUAGAAGACCCUUCGUCUAUUACUGGAUGAAUCUUAGCCACUGCAGCAUAAAUCACUGAAGCAGAAGGCAAGUCCAUUGAAAGUGACCUCCUUACUGGUUGCAUUUCUUCCCCAAUCCUUACGCGAUGAUCAGCCAAAUCACUCAAUACUCGAACCCUGUUCUUCCCUGCAGCAAAAUUAUUACAAUUCUUCCUCAGCAGUUCCAAAACCUUGCCUUCUUCAUGCGAUAUUGGACCGAUAUUUUCAACUCCGAUUCUCAACUCACUAGUCAUGCCUUCUGCAACUGCAUCACUUUCUUGUUGAUUAUCCAAUCUAUCAUCUUCCCUGGGACCUGAUGUAUCCAAUCUGUUAUCCAAAACUGGUUGUGAUGUAUUCAUCUGAGGUACAUCUGUACUAGUAUUGACAUCAGUAUCGCAAACCACUGGGGCACGACACAGAGGACAAUUUUUGUGGGAUCUCAACCAUGUAUCAACACAAGUAAUAUGAAAAGCAUGACUACAUUUUGGCAAAAGCCUAAGAGAUUCAUCAUCUUCAAACUCACUCAAGCAAACAGAACAAUCAGUUCCUUCAAUCAGGCCGUCACCUUUCUUAUACUUGAAAACAGCUAUGGAGUCAAUCACCGAUUGCUCUAAACCAACUGUGCGAAUAUACCAUAUGGGAUGAUGCACCCUGGGGCCGUGAUUUUCAUCAAGAAAUUCGUCACGAGCACCAUCAGCUGAUGAUGAAAUCCUUAUAGAAUUCCUCAAAUUCGUCUGGUAUCUUCUACGGAAAGCAAGAUAGAAAAUAAAAACAAAUACAGCUCCGAGAAUACAAAGCAUGAGAACCAAGAAUGUAGGCAUACUAUUCUUCUGGCUUGGUGGAGGAGGAGGACAAAUUACUUCACCCCAAAUUCUCUGAAAUUGCAUUGUAAAAUUGCCCGAGUCAAUGUGGAUAGCUAGCUAAGAGUGUGUAAAUUCAAGUGUAUUUUACUGUUAAUCUACAAUAGCCCAUACAGAUACUACUGAACACAGGGCCCAGAAUAGCUUUGAAGGCACAAUAAAUAAAACCUUUUUCCCACCUCUAACAGCCCUGAAGCUCUGACACUUGGUCCAGCCUAAUGGUGGUCAUGUUCUUGCUCUCCAUCUAAAUUUAAGUUGCAUUUCUUAGAUUUUGACACUUGGGUCGUUCAAGAAGAAGGAAGAUAAAUUUCAAGUGCACAAUUCCGGGUCAAUUAAUAAACUUCAAGUGUUUUGACCAAAAAAUAAUAAUAAUAAACUUCAAGUGUUUGUUUAGCAAGUUCAUCUAAUUCAUAUCCAUCAGAUUUUUUUUUUUUUUGGCAAGAGCAGAAAUCAACAUAAAUCUCACAAUGCAGGCUUUUCUGUUAGAAUGGUUUUUUAAAAGGCUUUUGCAUGGCUUCACGGUUCAUUUCUUCCCUUAAACUCAAGAAGUAGUAGGAUUCAAUGCCAAUUCUUUUCUGAACAAUUUAUGAUACUGUCAUUGUCACGGGGCACAAUCCGACAGCCUUAUUCAAUCUCACAAGAACUAUAUGAAAAUUUAUUUUAAAAUCUGAUUAUAUGUUAAAAAUCUAGGACCCAGAGUUUAAACAAUUCUUGUGAAGACAAAUCCUUGCCAUUUUAAUAUGCAUAGGUAAUAGGAAAAUAACUUCACAGCAAUGCCCGCAUGUUUCCUUUGGAACAUCGAAAAGAAACAAAGGAGGAAGAAGAAAUAUUGGAAUUUCGAUCCAAGCUUUGGAUCUAUCGACUCUCUCGAACACGAAGCUUAUCCUAUAAUAAUAAUGUCUGGAUUAUUUACCCCCAAAAAAAAAAGUCUGGAUUUUUCUGUAAGAACACACAAACACUACUGUUACAUUACAUAUCCAUGCACUGGUCACGACACUAGACAACGCUAUUCUCUUUCCCAAUGAAAAGAAUCAAGUGAUGCAACAAAACAGGUAAUCUCAGAGAUGAAGACAACAACAUUAUUUUAAUUGCUCUCCUAACUAAUUAAUAGUACAAAAAAUCUGGUUCAGCUCUUUCCUUCCCGAGAUGCACGUCCAUCCAUGAUCCAACACCAGACGUUUUCUAGUAGAAUUAAUUGAUUCUACUUUCUUCCUCAGAAUCGAAGGUUACUCAAUCAUAAGAACCUAGUUGGGCACCACGGAGCAGAUUUAAAAACUCUCCUUGACGUAAGUAAGUUAGGGAUCAAAUACUUUGACCUAUAUUUUUUUUAGACUUUUUGAAAAUUUAACCAACAAGUGUACAGCACCCGUCGUCUGAUACGGUGAUAGUUCAAUUUUCCUUGAAUUCUCCGUUAAUUCUUUUGAUCCACCCCUUCUCUUAGGUAUAAAAUAAGAGUUCAAUUUUCCUUGAAUUCUCCGUUAAUUCUUUUGAUCCACCCCUUCUCUUAGGUAUAAAAUAAGAGUAGAAGUGGAAUAAAAAUUAUUGUGUCGACAAAAACAAAAGAAAAUACCAGUUUAAAAUACACUCGAAAGACAUGUAAUGCCAUUUCAUAUUAGUCAAUUAUCAUCAUGAUAUCUUUAUCCUUCGGAUCGGAUUACAUGUGCUACCACCAUUUUCAUCCUCAAAAACAUUAACGACUUUUUCUGACUUGCACAUUUAUUUAUAAAGAUAAAGAAAUAAGUUGAAAAAACGUGUACUAAGGAAAAAAAAUAUAUUAUACUAGCAAGGAAAGAAUGCUUACUAAGGAAAAAAUAAUGGGCCUAUUUGACAAGUAAAUUUUUGACCAAAUUUGUCUAUUACUACAAGUUUUUUAACAACUUUAGUCACAGUAACUUUAAAAAACUUAUCAAAAUUUUUAAAAGUAUACACUUCAAAAUAUUCAAAAAUUUACACACUUUAAAAAAACUAUUUUACAACUUCUACAAUAAACUGCAGUAAAUUUUAGACAAACACCCAGAACAACUUAUUUGUCAAACGGAACUAAUAUUAUGCUAGCUAGGACAAAAUGUGUACUAAGGAAAAAAUAAGUACUUGCAUUCUUGCACUAGGAAAUUCAAUUCAACUGAAAAAAGAAAGAAAGACAAAAUGUUACAAGAACUCUAGCAUUGCAAGUGAAACAGUCAAGAAAGGCAGGUUUGAUAUUUAAUGGUGCACUGAAUUGAACUAGCUAGAGAUGAUGUACCACCUCCUACUGGUCCUUAUGGGCAUUGUACUUAGUCAAGCAAAGCAAUGCUCCAACGCCAUUCUCAUGAAUCAUUAUAUUAUCACAGAAAAGAAAGGGAUUGAGAGUGGAGAACGAGGAAGCACGACAAUGAAUGCAAGCAUACGAUCGGCGUCUGAAGAUGGGAAGAAAAAAGUGCAUACAUUGAAUUCCAUAAAACCCCAGGCCAACAUCUCAUGAGUUUGCCAGUUUGGAAUUCAGGACUCGUCCUCCCUAACCUUAAAGCUUCCGAACCACCUUCCAUGGCACAAUCAAAGCACACUGUGCCAGUGGUGGCACAAGCAAACUUCUUUUCCAAUACUCAACACUUCAACUAUAUUCAUUCCAUGCUUCAAUCAAAGCACAUUUUGCCAGUGGCGGAACAAGCAAACUUGUCUUCCAAUGCUCAAUACUUCAACUAGAUUCAUUAGGAUUGCACCAACAUUUAACUCAAUAAUAGCUAGUAAUAUAUGUAUCCAGACACACCAAAAAAAAAAAAAAGAAUCCAACAAAAAAGAAAAAACUGAAAUAGCAAAUUAAAACGAUACCAAGUCUUAGAAUAUAACAUGAAAUCUAAAGAAAGUCCUGACUUAGUUAAACUAAUUAAAGACUAAAACUAGAACUGAAAUUUCCCUCACAACCCCAUCUCAACUUUUCUUAAACCUUCUCCUUCUACUUACAAGCAAUAUGUAAUAUAUAACAUAUGAGUAACAAAAUAAACCCUCCAAUAUAGUGGCCAACUAGAAAUAGAUAACCAUAAUGAUUCUUCCCCUCUUCAGCUACCAUUUUUUUUCCUUUUCUUUAACUAGGGUUUCUUACCAAGGGUAUGCUUGUUAUUAUGCAUCCAAACUUUAAGCACCUGCCUUUUGAUUCCAAGCUCAUUGCAUAAUUGCUGCACCGCUUCUUCGUCUUGCUUUUGAAUCUUCCACCCCAACUUUUCAGCUAAAUCUGACAUCUUCUCCUUCUGCUCCUGGCUAAAUUUGGUCCGAAACCGCUUUUUCGACGACCCCACAAACCCUCCACCACCACCGCCACUCCCGCCGCCGCCGCUGGUGUUCAUGUUUGACAUGUCCUCGUGCUCCCCUCCACCGGAAAUCGAAGGCAGGGCUAGCGGCCUAUUCUGCUGGGGAGGUGACACGUGGAGGUACCCCGAUGGGGUACGGUAAGUUAAAAGUUGCGGCGGAUGCGGCGGUGGUUGCUGGUGGUAGUGGUGGUGGUAUAAAUGAAAAGGGUCGUGGGGGGGCAGGCCGGGGAGGGCUUCUUUGCGGUGGAAGUUACGGUGGCAGUUGCAGGCGGCGCAUUUGAGUGCGUCGAGUGUUCCUUCAGCUCCAGCAGCUAAGAACUCGCCGCAGCCAUCGACGGCGUGGCCGCCAAUGCCGACGGCAUGGUUCUUUAAGCAUUCUCGGUACCUGGCUUUCUCUGGGAGGUUGGCUCAGCUGACAUUUCCACUGGGCUUGGUACUUUGUUGGAGACCCGAGUGGAGUUCGAGUUGCCCAGUGAGUCGUAACUCGGACCCAGCUCCAUCUCAACUCCUUCAUUCUCUUCUUGAUCCUCAAACUCCAUGUUUUCUUAGCUAAAUUGACUACCUAAUUAUCUCCCAAGUCACUACUUUUUUGUAUCUGUAUAAAUAGUUGACAGUACUUACUCUAACUUAAACCCUAGGAGAGAGAGUUACCGUCUACCUGAAAAUGCCUUAUCUUUUAACUCAUGGAAUUAGGAUGAUAAGACAAAUGAGAAAUUGUGGACAAAAAUCUUCUUCAUCAUGGGCUCAACUUAUCUAAUCUGUUUAUCCUACAUUAAAUGUAUUUUAAAUUAAAUGCCUUUGUAUUUAUCCUUUUAUAUAAUAUAAAAGAAAAGCACACAUAUGUAUUGGGAUCUGUAAUAUAAUAAUACUAGUUAGUUUUAAAUGAAAAGUAAUGCAAGUAUUCAGUAUUCUUUUUUUUUUUUUUACUAUUUCAAGUGUAUUUACUGUAAGAUGAAAAGCAUAUUUUGCAGUUUUAAACGUUCUAUACAGCGCGAUUAUAUUCAUUUGAACAAAUUGUAACUCUAUUUCAUUAAUAGUAUAAAUUAUCUUAAACAUGGGCCUUAUUUGGCAGAUAAGUUUUUUACCAAGUUUGUCUGCUAUAAAUUUUUAAAACUUUAACUACAGUAAUCUUUAAAAACUUCUCAAAAUUUUUGAACUAUACACUUCAAAAUAUUUUUUAAAAAAAACACACAUUUAAAAAUUUUUUUAAAAACUUCUACAGUAAAUUUUUAGACAAACACCCAAAAAAUUCACUUGCCAAACGGGGCCAUAGUUUAAGCAUAAACACUUAUUUGCGAGUUUCAUAUUUGACGUUGAAAAUAAUGUACAUCACAUUUUUAAAUUUCAAAAUUCGGCCAAUCAAAAUCAUGGCCUUCUGACCAUAAUGUCUCUAAUUCAACAUUUGCUUAGGAGUUCGGACCAAUAUGCUAUUCGAGAUCGAAGAUUGAAAAUUGAACUACAGAUUCUACUUUCACCCAAAAAAAUUACAAAAUCUACUACUAUUAGUGCAUGAAAACACACUAAAUUUUGGCUACAUACCCAUAAGUAGACAUUAGUGCAUACCAUAUGUGCACUACAUAGUACUCCGAUGUACCAGUACCAGUCAUUGAUUAUCAAAUAAAAAUGAUAAAGUCAUCUUUCACCUGAUAGGCUCUCACCUUUACUUGAACAAAGAUUAUCAAUAAUAUUAGUAUGAGGUCACUAUUUUUUGGUUUAAUAUAUACAACCGUUACGGAAGAUCAUAUUGACAUAUCAAUAUAACCGUUUGAUUGUUUAGCGUAUCUAACCGUUUAAACAUUACGAAGUACCAUCUACUCAUAUCAAGUGAUGCAAAUGGAAUAUCUAAUAUUUCCUUAUGAUAGAUCAUAGAUGAGAAUAGAUCAUAGAUAAGCUUACUUCAAUCUUCCUUCUUUUUUUUUUUUUGGUUGUUUCACAAACCAGCACUUAGAAAUUAAAAUUCUUUCUGUCUUUCCUUCCAGAAAGAAUUCCAUGGUCACCGGCUACUGCCGGUAAGGAAUUAGGAGUAAAAUUGCCACACUGUUUUAAUCUCAGUCAUUUUGUUUUUCUCACUUUCCAGCGAAGUGUAAAAUACUACCUAGUGCAGACACAGAGUAUGUGGUGCAGUACAGUACUAUCAGUUUUGCAGAGAAAAGCAGCCCAAAAAAAAAAGAAAUUUCACAAAAGAAAUUUAAGCCACGCGCUUUUCCUCAUUCUCGCAUCAUCAUCAUCACAAAGUUCAUAACUGAUGCGCACGCAUUUCCGUACCAAACGAUUGAAGUGACGUCUGCAUGGGCCCACACUGCUACAAUCAGGAGUCAGGAGAAGGAGGCGCGUGGAUAGCGGCGCGUUAAAAACAAUACAUAGUAAGCCGUGGAAGAAGAGGGUGGUAAGUAGGGUUGAAAGACGAAACAAAUUACUUAAUACUUAAGUCGAGUUGAAUUUGAUAAGAAUUUGUUUUGAGUUUGGUUUGUUAAUUACUCAAAUCAAAGAUGAACAAUAAUAUUUUAUGGUCGAUAACAUUCAAAUUCGAUAAAAAAAUUCAUUUAGAUUUGAUUCAACAAAAAAAUUAAAAUUGAACAAAAUUUCAAUUUUGUUAAAAUAAUAAAAUUGAUUAUGGUCAUUUACACCUCUAGUGAUAGUGUCUCUCAUCGUGGUGGGUUACCAAGGAAGCCCAAAAAAAAUUAAAAUUGAACAAAAUUUUAACUUCGUUAAAAUAAUAAAAUUCGUUAUGAUCAUUUACACCCUAGUUUAUGUCUCUAGUCAUGGUGGGUUACCAAGGAAGCCAACUCAGGAUUUACCCAGUAAAACUUUGUUGGAAUUUAAGGGAGUGGUGUUGUAUUAAAAAAAGUUAGGGUAAAUUACCCAAGAAAUUUCUGAAAGUAUAAAUAUAAUCAUUACCUUUUAAUUCUUUAUUUAUUUUAAGUUUUAAAUUAACUCUCAAUAAUAAUAAAAUGUCAAAUUUUAUUGCUCCUAUUUUUUAAACUAUGGGUAUCAUAAAUUCUUAGAUGUAAGAUAAUUGGGUAAAAAACAAAAAAAUCCCCUGUGGUAAAUCUAAUACACAGAAAAGCCCAUGGUUCAAAAUAUACAACACGACCCCUCAUGUUUUGAACUAAAUUGUAAAGGUAACUGGAAUCCGUUAAACUUAACGGAAAAUAGAACGAAAUGACCAAAAUGCCCUGAUAUAAUUAAGCAAAAGACAGCUCAAACAAAUCAUUUGUUUUAUUAUCUAAAUAAAGAGAAUUGAGGGUUAAGGGUAGAAUAGAUAUAUUUGAUAAAAAUUAGGUAUAAUUUUUUUUUUUAGAUUCCAAAAAGUCAUUUUCGUUAAAUUUAUCGAAUUCCGUCACCUUUACAAUUUAGUUCAAAGCAUGAGGUGUCGUAUUGUAUAUUUUGAAAUCAUAUGGGGCUUUUCUGUGUAUUGGGUUUACCACAGGGAGUUUUUUUUUGUUUUACCUAAGAUAAUUAGACGAGAGAAUAUACGCAUUAUUUACUACCCAAAAAAAAUGCACUAUUAAGUCAUGCAUAAAAUACUAUAAUACUAAAUUUGAAUAUUAGAACCAUAGGAACAAUAGAUUUAAAAAUUAGAACAAUAAUGUAAAGAAAUCAAGAGUUGUUUUAUAUGCAUUUAUUGGCAAAUGAAUAUGUAUUUGCCCACAUUCUAUUUUGCAGCAAUUUGUGAUAAAAUGGCAAAAUUAUUCCUUUUAAGGACAUGUUCUCACAAAAUUUUCAUGUGAUGUUAAAAUUUGUUAUAUGAUGUGCUUUUCCUUUCAACUUUGACUUGUUUUAAGUUCAAAAAAAAUCAAAAUUAGAAGUCACAAGACAUUUGUUUUUCAAAAUUUAAUUAAUUUUGAAUUUUCAAAAAUCAACUGUUGUAAAAAGCAAAAUCAAUUGUGCAACAGGUCUAAGGAUGCGUUUGAUAAAACUGAAGCUUGAAACUGAAAUCUAAAGUAUGAAUCUAUUAAAUUAUUGAAUUGUUAAAUACUAAAUUUGAUACAUUUGAGUGUAUAUCACAUUCAAUAAUAAGUGAAUAGUUUAUCACUUAAUUUUGGAGAUAAAUUUUGGCAUAAACAAUUCAAUGCCACCUAAUUAAUUCAGAUGUUUUAUUUUGGUAUCAAACAUGUCUAAAUAUAUUAAGAUCUGAAUCAAUUACAUUUAAGUAUUGAACUGUGUUAUCAAACGGGACCUAAGUCUAGCUUGCAUUUGAACUAAAGAAAGGCAAAUUUUCAUUUUAUUUAAAGGAAAAAUAGUUCAAAACGUUUCUCAUAUUUUGCCAAAUAAAUUAUUUCAUAUUCACAUAAAAAAAUGGUAACUUUACUUAUCUUACAAAAUUAAGUCAAAAAAAUUGGUUCAAACGUAAAUUUUUUUUGUCACUUUUUGGCCUUGAAUCAUUACGUGUCGUACACAUGAUCAUCUGUAUUUAAAGGCAAAAAAGUUAGAUUCCAUUUAAUAAUUAAAUAAAUGACCCAAUCUAUAUUUUUUUAUCUCUAAAAAGGUAAACGUCCGACUCGAACCAUAUCCAUAUUUUUCUCUUAAAAAUGUGGGAUCAAAUCAAAUCCAAUCCAUAUUUAUUUUUGCAACUAAAAUAAUGGGAUACAACUUUUUGUGCAUAAAAAUAAUUGCAUGUAGGUCACAAGUUGAUUUAAAGUUUAAAGGUGGUCGAAAAUUUUGAUUAAAAUGAAAUUUUGCUAAUUUGAAUUUAUAAGAAACGUAACAUUAACAUUUUAAAAGUAAAUGAUAAAAUAUAAAUAACAUUUUAAACUAUUUUUAUUUAUUUAAAAAUCACUGAGAAAUUAAAAUCCAGACUGUGACAAUAACGUCACCAACCAUAUUUAAUAUCACCCAUGUUAAUUAAAAUGAAGCCUACAAUUUUGUGAUUGUGAGUAAUGGGGUGAAAAUGGGUGGCUGGAAUUUGUGUUCGGAGGUUGCGUCUAAAGGUUGAAAAGUGGGAAUUUUCUGCACUGUAAAAAAAUGAGAGGAAGACGAGUAGAAGACGUCAACAGAAACAGCUGCGUUUUUGCUGAAAAAUGUGUAUUUAAUGGGUUGUUCGGUGCAAACAUACUGUACGAUACAAGGUUUGGUUGAUAAAUUUCACGCGCUGUGUUGGUCAGGGUGUUUUUCACGCGCUAAGGAUUUUAUCAGAUUAUUGGAAAGAGAAUUUAGUACGAGGAAGCAAGGAACAAGCGUUUAAUGGCAUAGAAUCGAUUACUACUCAUUAUUGUAUCGUAGUUUCCUGAUGAAUUGUGCGAAAAUAAAUUUUCAUUUUCUCACACAAAUUUAUUUACUACUUAAAUCAUAAAAGUAUUUUUAACAAUUUUUUUUCAUAUAUAUUACAUCAAAAAAAAGUAUCACAGUAGUAUUAAUUAUUUUGAAAAAUUAUUUCAAAUAAUCUCUUAUCCAGACACCCGUUGUCUAAAGGAAGUAACAAUUUGCUAAGUUGUCACUUCCAUUGCCUAAGUUGAACAUAUUACACUGAUGAUUUGUUAUCGUGAAUGUACAAUAAUAUGCUUUAUGUAUUAAAUGGUUGUCCAAUGCUCAAUCAUCCAGCAUGUUUUGUUUUAUGUGUUUUGCAAUAUGACAAUAAUAUGCUGAGAGGGGUACCCACUAGGGUUUACAGCAAAUUAUGCCAUGGGUUGAUUAUAGCAAAUUAUGUGAAUAUUAAUGCUUGAGGUCUCCUUCAAAGGGGGGAAAAGGAGAAAAGAUGGACUUCUUGUAGUUACUACAACUUCUGACCUAUGUAAUAACCUAUACCCAAAACUUCUCAAACAUUAAAAACAAAAAAGUAUAGAAAUCCAAAACCCUCUGAUCUUUCGAGUACAAGCACAUUAAAUCAGACAUAUAUAAGUUUGUUGCACCUUAUAACUAAAAAUACUUUUAGACCAAUCAAAAUAUUUACUCAAUAUGAGGUUGCAGUGACUUAUAUGGAAAAAUACUAACGUCAUAGAACUUUCAAUGGUGGUACUAAUUAAGUACUUGAGUAUGUUAUUUGGAUGCCCACUCAGGCAAGUGCUCAUAUUCUUAGAGAAUGUGUAAUUUUUAAUUUUUGAGAUGCAUUUAUGUCCUUAUCCAGUUCGUAAUUUAUGAUAAAAUGACCCAAAACUUUUGAACAAGUACUUCUAAUUAAAAGUUCCAAAUAUGAGUUUUUGUUAAAAGCACUUUCAGUAUUUUAAUUUUUACUGAUAAAUUUAUGGAAUGAUGUUCAUCAAAUAUCUCAAAAGCACCUCUAUCAUCCAAUAGUAUGUUUUUAACAAAAAUACUUAUUUGGAAAGCCAAUUUUGAUUGUUCAUUUUCGUAACCUUAUUUGGAAAGCCAAUUUUUUUUCAAAAAUUUUUAUAUUUUUCGUGAAUAUAUUUAUCAAUAAUUAUUUUAUCUCACAUGUAUCAAAUCGCUAUAAUACGUUUUUUCUACAAAAACUCUUAAAAAUGGCCAUCCAAAAAAAUGUGGAGUUAAAACUGAUCGAAAAGAGGUAAUUAUAUUCAGCAAUGAAACAGAUCUUUUUUGGUCCUAAAAGUGAAGCUAAUUUUAUCCUGUUUUCAGACAGAAAGAAUGGGGUUCAUGUGUUUCCUUGGACUGCCAACCAGAGAGAUGGAUGAAAGACAUAUGACUAGACAUGCUGACAUACAUACACAGCCCUCAACCAAACACACAGACACACACACACACACGCAAUCACAGCACACACUACCCCAACAGACGGACACACACUACUCUGUCAGCUGGAGGGAAACCAAUGUAGCAGCAUACAAUUCUGUUCAUCAUAUCGUCCACAGAGACAAAAAUAAAUAUUAAAGGACACCACGCAAGGACCCCAAUUCCCAUUUCUGUUACUUUUGUUUCCUUUAUCGUUCUUGACCAAAUUCCAUGCAUGCAUACUUGCUUACAAGAAAGAUGACACAAAAACCAUCUUAUUCGAUACUUCAGGGGCUUAAAUCUUUUGUUUUGGGGCAAUUAUACUCUUGAUGAUUUCAGGGUUUCGUUGUUCAUCAGGUAUAAGUCAGUAAAUUGAAAGACAAAGAUCGGAGCAGUGUGUGCUGUGUUUUUUUCCUUCUCUCAGUUGAUAAAGGAUAGAAAGUGAGAGAAUAAGGGGAAAAAGGGCAAUAUAUGAUUGUGACAAGACGAGAAAUCAGUGGGGGCGACCCUGAUUUCCAUUUCCAAUCCUUCUUCCAUUCCCAGGCACAGCCUCCGUCCCCACAAUUCUCUCCUCUUUCACCAUCAUCUCCAUCAUAUGCUCUUGUCCUUGUCUCCAUUUGCUUGUUUCUACAUGUAACUUUUUUUUAUUGAUCACUAUUACCACAAAAAUGACUUGUAACAACUGUUAAACGACUCAUAUGAAAUUCCAGGCACCCUAAUUAGUUUACUAUUUUUACCUUUAUAUCUUUUGUCAGUUUUGCGCCCUGAUAUUCUCUCUUUCUUCCGUGUUAUGUGCCCAAGGAUUAUCAAAAGGUCUCAAGUUACUACAAUGAUAAGCAUACACUGUCAAUAAAAUUAGAUGAGAAUUGUACGCCUGCAUUGAAAGUGCACAUAUUAUUGUUUGUAUCUCUAGGCAAUUCCAAACGGUUAGUAACUAAAAGAUGAGUGAUUUUAAAAUAAUAGAUUUUUCUUCAAACAUCAAUAUAUUAUUUUACCUACUCUCAAACUAUGGGAAAAGGGGAACCCAAUCCAACUCUCUCUAAAUUAUUUAAAAAGAGAGUUUUAAGAGAACGAAAAGAUCCUGAUUCGAUUGCUAUUUUCUGCAGAAAUAUUCUACAUUCUGAAUGAAUAUUUUUUUUUUAUACGUUUCUAAAUCACAUAUUUGUCUCUUAUACCAUCACAUCCUAAAAAGUAUUAAAAUGAUUUUUUUCAAAAACUCUUGAAAAAUUUCAAUCCAAACAAACCUUCUCAUAUAUGCAUGCAUCAGGGGAGGCUUGAACCCUCAAACCGGUACACAAUAAGGACUUUAAAAAGAUCUUUCUGGCCAACAUCUAAAAUACUAAUAGAUUGGAAUACAAUUUUAACAUGUAACGUGUCUGAAAUAAAAUUUUGGGUGCAGUGUAACAAUAGUAGUGUUACGGGGAAAAUUGACAGCACAAAUAGAAACAGCAAAGGGUGAUAAAGAUUAUAACCGCAAUCAUGACAAAUCUCAAACGGGAUGGAUGUUAACAUAAAUAACCCUACAUGGUUGAUUUUUCAUACCAGAUCAGGGGGCAUUUGGCAUGCAAUCCCAUAUGGUGGAGAUAACAGGGAAAAUGAGAGAGAUUUAAUGGCCCACCAAUAACAGUGGUUUGGUUGACGAUGCAUGUAACGAGGACAAAGCUGCAUUGCUUUAUUCCAGAAAGCUUCUAUUCAUCAUUGCUCGUGUUGUAUGUUCUUUUCUUUUUAUUUUUAGAUCUCAGGUCUCCAUAUCUAAGGUAGCUAGCUAGAAAAACAGAGUAAUUCUGAUUGUUUGAAUCAAAGCAAGCUAACAAACAAGUAGCAUUAAUUUACUUUAUAUCUCACGAAAGCUGAGUUACAAUCAAGCCGAACUCGUUCGACGAAUGCACUUUAUCUAUUUUAUCUCUAAGCACAUUUGAGAUACUACGUCAAUACAAACAAGUGCAUCCCCUCCAUAUAAACGUUUCUCCUGCUAUGGCAAAUAUUUUUUCUGGAGGAUUAUGGAAUGGAGGGUACAAUCUCAAGAGACUUGGCAUAGUGACAUUCAACACUGCCUUUGAGAACUGCUAGGUUUUCAACUUGUUAACGAGAGCAAAGCAAAAGAUGUUCGUCCAAAUUACACUAAUUCACCUACUAGUUGUUUAAAGAAUGCCAAAAUAGUGAAUAUUAGCCUAUUAUUAGGUAGCUGGCGUACAAGAUAGGUUACAAAACAUGUGCAGGAAAUGUUUGCCCCUGGCAAAGAGUACUUCUGGAAUUGACCUUAGUAGCAAUUGGAAUCAGUAGUCCAAAGGAAAUGACCUUAGUAGCAAUUGACUUUAGUAGCAAUAGGAAUCAGUAGGUUUGGCCCAUACGUACUGAGCAGCUUGAGCCCUAGCUCUUCUUAGCCAUUGAACAAAACCCUUCUUUUUUCUUUUUUCAUUUUUUGGCCCUUUUAGAUCACUGAACCAAUUCCUUGGUCGUUAACAUCAAAAUUGUUAAUAACUUCUCUAUGUGCACCUGCAAUUUCUGAAACAAUUAGUAGUAGUAUUAGACAAAUGAAAAUAAUGCAUCAAUAUCACAAUAAUCUUGCUCCUAAAAAAUAGAACUUUUUCAAAGGUGAGGGUGACAUUUGACUUGAUGCAAGUCUAAAUAAUUGGUGCAUGUGAGUGUUGCAGGGAUAGCAGCAAGGAAGGCUUCAGUCAGAUCAGAUUUUGUUAGUUGCAGUGGUCUAGCAUAGUAUGGCCCCAUCAUUAUUUUGUGAUGUGUAUGGGUUUUGAGGAAGCUACACACAAAGCCAAGGAAUCAAACACUUCUAUGUUUGGGCUGACAGUCUCAAAUGCUUCCUCCACUACCAUCCACCUUUCACUCGAACAGAAACUAGUCUUUGUCAUCCGAACAGACCAUAUACAUACAACAAAUCUUUGCUUGCAAUUCGCACGAUAAUUUGCCCAUCCCACCUUUUUAUCAUUAUUGUAGUUCAUUAGCAUAACUUUGACCUACAUAUUUAUAAUACCAGCCUGUCUCCUUUUAUUUUUUUUACCAAAAAACAAAAUAAAUAUUGAUUCGUCUAGAAAUAUACUACCUGAUUUGCUGUGGUCAUCAGUUUUGAAUUUUUGACCACGAACUUUUAACAAUCCAAGGAUAAGAAAAUGUUUUGUAAAGACAAGAAAUUCUGAAAUACACCAAAACCCUUUUUUUCUUUUUUCUUUGUGGAAUUUUUUCCGGUGUUUCUUCUCUGUCUUAACCUCUUUACAAUUUUCUUGUUAAUGUGGAGUACAAAAAAAAAUGGAGGAAGUGGGAUGACGUCACUUCAUACACCAAAAGGGCAUAUAAGGAGACUAUUUUUCACAUGUAAGUUCAAGCACCCUCCCACAAAAAAAGAAAAAAAAAAAAGAUACGCUUAGAAACGUUAAAAAGUAGGUAGAGACAAAGGUAGACACAGAGCUUUGAUGGACAAUCAGGCGUGCAAAUAAAAGAUAAGGGCAAAUCACCUAAAGCACGCUUUGUGUUCUACUUAGGACUCCAUGACUUCAUGCCCCUAUAAACAAUCCAAAACGUCAAACCAUGCUUUAGAGCAAACAAAUUCAAUUCUAAAUCCUUUAGGAUUAGACAACUUGCGAACCAUCUCAAUUGAGUAUUGGGUCUGGAGGUUUCUAUGGAAAGAUGAAGAAAUGAGGAAUGGAGUUUAGUGGACAGAAGAAACAACGACUAAAAUGUCCACUGUCCCUGGUUUCAUGUAUUCCCUAAAUGAUAUAAUAUAUUAUCACGGAUAGCUAAGAGUUAGAUGUGCAACGUUCAUGAGAUAAAAACGCUUUAAAUUUAUGGACCACGAACACUUGAGAAUCCACACGCCAGGAUUCUGCAGAUUAAUUAUUGGGGGUAAGAAAGGCUAGUGUAAAGAGACAAAUAAUGAAGAACUGAUAAAAUGAGUCACCAAACCCUGACAGAACUCAACAUGUCAUUUAUUUUUUUCCCGAGAGAAUUGUGUUUUUUUUUUGCCGAGCAAUCCCAACGGGACCUAUCCCAGAUUUCUGGAGGCACAGAAUUUAGGUGGGCUAUCUCUUCAAGUGAAAACUCGUGAUAAAGAACAGAGGACGGAUAACACGCUGGUGGGCCGUCUGCGAGAUGUCAGAAUUGAUAAUCCUAUAUGCCUCACACAGUAGGAACAAUUUCAUCUGAAAUACAAUCUAAAGCUACAAUUGCACUGCAAUGGAAGUACCCCGCGAAUCCUUGAUUAUCGUUUACCUUCGGAAAGGCACCAACGAGUUUGGGUUUAGAGAUGGCAACAACUGAGCAUUGAUGGGAUGCAAUGCUCUGCUUUACUUCUCAGUCACAUAUAUGCACUAACCUCUUGUGUGAUGACAACGUCGCUUUUGGUACAUGUGACAUCUAACAACUUAGAAAAGAAAAAUCAGUCGAGCUUCAAAACCGCAUCAAGAAUUGCAAAAUCGAAGUUCUGAAAACUUAGAAGUCCUUUAAAUGAUUGUGAGGUUGAUAUCUGUUUCUUCCUGAUACUAUUAAAGUGAUUGCCAAACGAGUAGUUCCAUGCAGCUGGAGUCAUGCGGACCAGAAGCAAACAAUAUAUGGUUCAUGUACCCAGAUGUUUCAUUCCUCACAAAAUAUUCCAUGAAAAAGUUCUGUAGCUACUGCUUUUCACUUCUAAUUUACCAGACGAGUCCAUCCUCUGAAGACACUAAGCUUUUUGUCUCUUAAAGCCACUUCAAGUUGAGAAUGAAACCGAAUAUAUGGACUACAUCCUUUAAGGUAGUUCAAAAUUGACAGAAUUAGCAGAAUUCAUACAGCUUGUAUCAUACAACUUGUAACUGGUGCGUUUGUAAUACCUCCUGCAAACACUUCACAGCUCUAUCAUAGUUUAGAAAGCCCAUGAACCAGAAUUCGUGGUUGUCAACAGAUAUAAUCUGGAUAUACUUCUCUGAAGGAUUAUUUCUGCUUGAUGAAGGGUUAACUGCUUUAAGUUGAUGUAAUGGUAUCACCACCUAGACAUGAAGAUCAAAGAGACAGGAAACGAUCAGCAAAUAUUCUUUACUAAUCUAAUAGAUUAAGCACCUGAGAUUUUGUAGAACAACACCAUUCCUAAUAAAGAAGCACUACCUACUAACAGUAGGCACCUUAAAAGAUUUAUGCACUUAAAUAGAAUUCCCAUAAUAUUAGGAUUUCUAAAAAAAAUGUUUCCAAAAAGAACUGUGUUCAGCGUCAAAACCACAAUGAAGACCAGUAUCUUCAUAAUUUUCCAUAUGACAAAGCAUAAGACGUAAGCGAAUGAGUCAAUGCAAAAUCCAAUACAUGCACCAUGAAGUACUCUGAUACAAAACCAAUUCAAAAAUGAACAUCGAAGCACCCUCAGAGUCUUAAAAUAUGCUUUACCUAGGCAAUGAUAGGCAAAAAUGUUUUGGAACAUUAAUAUUUUGGCUAAAGAUCAACAAUGCUGCAAUGGACUGGAGACUUCAAAGGAAGAUGGAUUGAAGAUUGGUGCAGACAUGACAUGAUCGAAUUGAUAGCUAUCAGUGGUCAAAAUAUGGAAGAGGAUGACCAAAGGUUAAUAGCAAGUCAUAUGGAGCAUAGUCAAGUGACUAAUGAUCAGCAUGUUAGACAGAACUAUAUGAGCAUAAUCAGAAGACAACCAUUUAUGGUAUAGGAGAUAGUUUUGUUGAGUUGAUAUAUCCAUUUCCCAUUUCCACUCGCAUCUAAAACAACAUGCAACUCAAAAUCCCAAUUUCCACUUAACAACUAUAACAUCACCCUAGAUAGUCAUUUUUCAUUUCAAUUAGCCUGCUUUAUCUGGGAAUCUAUAAUACAAGUGUUAUUUACUUGAUACUUGAGAGAUCAUAUCUAAUAUAUCCAACAGCAUCUUAAUUUAUAGUGAAUUUAUGUAAAGUCAUGAGAAGGCAAGGCUAUUGAAAAAUAUCCGGAAUUCAAAUAACUUGCCAAAAUUUACAUCAGCAACUAUGUCAUGCUUUUUAAUGAAAAACCCUUUGCUACACGAAGAAUCCAUGGUACACAACAGUUCUGCCAAGAUCAGAAAACCUCGAAUAACAAUAAUAAUCUCAAAUUGGAUGCUGUCAUACACAGACCAAAAGUAAUGUACCAAGCCUCAGAGUUAUCCUGAAGUUCUACUGGCUAGAUAAAUAGUGACCACUUUGUGCUCCAUAAUGCAUUACUAUGCCAGGAAGACAGAAAACAACUAUAAAAUGAUCCAAUGACAUACACUGUGAAACUCAACAAUAAAUCAAAGGUGCUGAAAGUAACAACGAAUACGCUCUGAACACAUCAUUAUACCUUUUGACUUUUAUCUAAAGCUUGACUUACUCUUGAGAUAAACCAUACUCAACAUUUUUUUUUUUUUUUUGGGGUGUUUUAGCGCUAAACCAAAAUAUAUCAUUGAGAUAGUGAGUGUGUUUGGAUUGAAAUGAUUUGAAAAAAAAUAAUUUACAAAUCCCAAUCACCUUUUUAUCUUUCCAAUCAUCUUUUUAUCUCACAUACAUCAUAUCAUAAAAAGUGCUACAGUAAUUAUCUAAAUAAUCAUCCAAACAAACUCAGUGUUUUAGGAAAAUACUACUAUUCAUCAAGUCUUUUAUCACCUGUUGAAAGAUGCUACUAAGCAUUUUUACCCAUACAGGAACACAGGAAGCGCAGCAGAAAUUAAUAGAUUCUCCCCUCAUAUUGGAUAUCCAAGGUUGAGUUUUGUGAUUUAAACUCUUUAUGACCAAUAUUUUCUAUGACCAUGCAAAAGAAUCUGAAAUACUAGUCUGUUACAAAUACCAACUGACCAAGAUAGUGGGUGAUAAACUUGAUCUUCAUGGUAAAACACAGUCAGAUUGCAGGAGAAUAUCCACUAAGGCAAAGCAGAGAUGAUCUAAUAAAUCAUAUUAAAUGAGGUUCAUUCGGAUUUUACAUAUAGAAUUACAUAGAGAAACUGUUUUCUGCUAAAAAACUGGUUUUAUUGUACCUUGUAAUAGCUCCACUCAGUCUUAUCAUCAGACUUAUAAGAUAGAGGAUUGUCACUACAAAAUGCAAGCUUUGCAGUAGACACAUAUAAAAUACCCAUCACUGGCCCCGCUGAUGUGGACAAAUAACAAGCAAAUGAAUUCUGAAGUUGCUCUUCAGGAACUGUCUCAAAAGUUUGACGAAAUAUCUUCUCAUAGCCACCUUCAGCCAGAACCUUAGUUCCCUGUGCAAUUCUUCCCAGGGCAGCAUCAGCAAGACUGGGGCCAGUUUUCACUAAUUAAAAAAGAAAAACAUACUUUAGCAGUUUCAGUGGUAAAACCUAGAGGCCUUUGUCCUUGUAUAUAUAUAUAAUCAUCUGUAAAAACCUAACAACUUCAGGGUAUUAAUUGAAAGUAGAAUAGUUUCACUAUUAAUAUUUUAUGAGCAUAAACAAUGAUUUAUUAAUGGACUAGUUGAAUGUCUUAUAUAUGUAAUCAUCUUCCAUGUCAAAAACCUAACUUCAGGGCACAUACUUGAAACUAGAAUAGUUUCACUAUUAAUAUUUUAUGAGCAUAAACAAUGAUUUAUUAAUGGACUGGUUGAAUGUCUUAUAUAUAGAAUCAUCUUCCAUGUCAAAAACAACUUCAGGGUACAUGCUUGAAACUAGAAUAGUUUUCACUGUUAAUAUUUAUGACCGUAAACAAUGAUUUAUCUAAUGGACUUAUAUAACACUUGAACGUCUUACUUAACAUUUUUGCAACUUGGAUUUUUUUCCAAGGCAGUGCUUUUAGUUACCUUUUUCUUUCCAGAAACCCACUUCAAGGUGAAAAAAUCAAGAAAAGUCAUACCAUAGAAAUGAGAGGAAGCACUUCUAUCCUGUUAUUUCAAUUUUGCUUGUAUGAGAAAAUAAACAGAGACAGUAGAAAAUCAACUCAGAACCCUUAUAGUUGGCCCAAAAUGGUCCUAGAGACCAUUAAAAUUUGAAACAUAAUAAGUAAGGUAAUGUGAUAAACAUGCAUAAUUUCAUUGAGAUACUAUCUGACCAAUAAAAUGGAAUUGAAUAUCUUUUCCAUUUUCUGAAGUUACCUUCUUUCCUAUGAUCGGUGGAAAAGAAAUAAAUCAACAAAACAUUCACCAUAUGAGAUAAGCUUGGCAUCUUAGUUCCAAUGAAAAGCCAUGUCAAUCAAGGCAGAGAGCAUAAUAGUACAUAACAAAAGUAGAUAAAUCUCUCAAGUAAUUAACCGUUAACUAAUAUUUUAAUAAAACUUUAGUAAAUUAUCUAAAAAAAACGCUUAGAUAUUUUUUCUCCUCUCUUUUCAUUUUCUUUAAUUAUUGUAACAUGUUUUUCCUGCACAAGAAUCACGUCUCACCAUUCAGGUUGCCUUGUGUGCAUUAUUUUCUCUCUCAAAAAAGUUCACCAUCUUUUUAAUUUUCCAGAGUUUUUUUUUUCUUUUUUAACAUACUUCACAGAUUUAAACAUGUUUGCAUUAGCAUCCAUCAUGCAUUUGCAUGGGCACAUGCGUUAGCAUAAACCUCAAUACCUCUGGCUCUAGGGCUAUUUGAUAAGUCGUAUAGAAAAUGAAUUUUUAUUUACCAGAGAAAAACCAACAUGAACCCAUACAAAAAGAUAAUAAUUAACUACACAAUUAGUGGUACAAUACAAAAAUAAAACCUAGAACAAGAUCAACAAAGCUGACAAUCUACUUACAAUGUUGCCAAGUGUUUCCCGCCAGGUCUUCCGCCUUCUUUGUUGCUUCCUUGACAUUCCUCGCCCAUCUCCCCAACACAUCUUUUGCACUCUCCAUUUUACCUGUACACAAAUUCAACAAAAUCAACACCAUACGUAAUCAAUUAAUUGCUUGUUGAGCAAUUAAUUUAACCAAAAAUUCAUUAAAAAAAUAACUUCUCCAUCCUAAUUAACCCUAGUUAUUGCAUUUCCAGGAUCAGGUUCCUGAAAUGCAUAUUCAAGUACAUCAAUUUAACAUAAAUACAAAUAUUCCUAUCCAAAUUGCUAAAAAUGAUAAAAGGUAAUAUACAUUAUAUUAAAAAGGAAAAAGAUAAAGAUAACAGAUCUUACUUUUGAUAUCUAUGGAGGACAAAUUACUAUCGGAAGGAGCGGCGGAAUAAGCGACGUAGGGAUUGGAUCCGCUACGUUCUUCAGAAUACGACGGCGUACUGGACCUCGGCCUCGGCGAUUCCGACACCAAAUCCUCGCUCCACCGCACCGAUUUCUUCAACUUGCUAUUUAACGGACUCGGCGAUUUAUCGCUUCCACUUCCGCCACCACUCUCAUUAUUCUCGCUGUCAUUAUUAUCGAAUUUAUUGCUAUUAAUAUUCUCAUUUACUAUACCAUUACUCUUACUACUAGCAUUAUUUUCCAAAUUUUGUUUUUCAUUUCUGUCUUCUUCAUUCGAUUCGCUUGAUUUUGCAUCCGGAUUCGAACUCGGAUCCGUUCCCUGACCCGAACCCUUCCUCUCCUCUGCCUCCGCUAUCUCUUUCUUUCCUACUCCGUCCUUGCUCGGCUGCUCCAUCGUCUGUCAACUUCAAUGACGGUGGCGCGUGCAAUAAUUCGCUCGUAUUUGGAUCUCUUUUUUGGGUUACCUCGUAUUCGCUAACGAUUUGGAUGCUGAAAUAAGAUUAUUUAACAGCACUAAUAAUCAACGUUAUCAUUUAACUUUUGGGUAUUUAACUUUGUCCCCCCAUAGUUUAUUACAUUCUUUCGUAUUGACCCACGAAACUAUUAGUUUUGUCACUCACCUCCCCACAAUAUCGUGCUCCUCCCUUGGUUUCACCAUCUUCAUUAAAAUUCAUUUUAAUGAUUUAUUUUGCAUUCAAAUGGUCGUAAAUGUUUAUUUGGUAUAUUUUUGAAAAAAAAUCAGAUGAAAGUUAAGAUUGUUCCUACAAUAGUACGUGGUAGGCGGACAUUUGUAGAUUCAAAAAAGAAAAGAAAAUAAUGUUAUAGAAUACAAUAUUAAGUUUUGUAACUCAAUAGGUUAAAAAAAAUAUUUGAAAUGAGUAUCAAAUAAGUCUACAUACAAAUCUUUUACAAAAGUUAAUGAAGAAAUAAAAAAGCACCUAACAUGAAUAUAUAUGGGUUUGAAAUAUAAUUUUUCUUUUGAAAAAAAAAAGUUUACAAUGGUAAUAAAAAGGUAUUGAAUGCAUUACCUGACUUUGGGUAUAAUCUUCAUAGCAAUUCUACAUGAUUGUUUAAGCUUUUUUGAGUUGAUUGCAAUGAUUUAAAAAAAAUUAAAAAUAACUAAAAGCUUAAUUUUUCUUAAUUUAUGUUUAAAAAUUAAAAGUGUUGAAAAAAGUCUAAAUUUGUCUCUAAUGGCACCUCAACAAGUCAACAUUUUAGAAUGAAAAAUUUUUAGUGUAGACCUUAAGAUGAUGUCAAAAGCAAAUGAAAAUAUAUAAUAACUUAUUAAGAUUUUAUUGGCACAAGGGAAGAAUUUCAAAGAAUAGAGGAUAAGAGGUACGCAACCCUAUCCCAUAAAUCUUUCAGAGCCUCAAAGAUAAAGCUAUAUAUUACUGAUUAAAAACAAUCAAGGACAGGAUCUUAAAUGAAUUAGUUCGAUAGUCUAAAGGUUAUUUAACCAAUUGAUAAUACAAGGGAGCAAAUUGAUAUAAGAUCAUAGAUUGAGGUGCUAACUUCCAUUUAGCCCGCUCUUACACAGGCACGUAAUUGGAGGGAUUUAAUUACCGGCAAAAACGGUGACCUGCAUUGGGGUUGGAAACUGAGUGGACCCCCUUGUCAGGAAUGGAAGGACUUAAGUGUAAUUAGUGAAAAUUAAAUACCUAUAUCUGUUUCUGUUAGGUUGGUUACUCAGGUGGUUAGAACUAAUGAUGUCAGCAGCUCAGUUAGUUAGUAGACGGUUAGCUAGCUAAUCUCCUUAUAAGGAGCUCAGUACACGAGAUGAGCAUUAUUAGCAGAAUAACAAAUUGAUUCUUAUUUCUCCCCAAUUUCUUCUCACUUUACUCUUCUUCCUCAUUUCUUAUUCUUCCUAAAUUCCUUCCUCUCUUCCCUGCGCCUACGACAUCUCAGUCUCAGGAAUUCUACUUGAAUUCCUGACAAGUGGUAUCAGAGCUGCGAAUCCUCGGAUUAUUGCAGCUCAUCACAAUGGCAGAAGGCACCCGCUUCAAGAAUAUGGAAGAUCAACUACGGAAACAAGAAGUUCGAUUGCAGGAAGCUCUGCAAUCAAUCCUCUCUCUUCAGCAAAACCAGCAGGAAGUUCAACAGCAGCUGCGAGGGGAAAUGGAGAACUCCAACAAGGAAAUGAGAACAAUGAUCGGCGGCAUGGACCAGAAACUCAAUGCCUUGGUUCAGAUCAUGGCCAGAGAAAGGAAUGGAGAAAGGGAGGAAGCAACUCAACUAGAGAAAACCCCCAUUCUACCCACGCCGCCACCACACACGAAGCUCCAACCGGAGUUUGGCACCAGUCAAUGCUCAAGAGUCAAACCUCCCAAGGUAUUUUUACCCAAUCCACCAAGGAUCGAAUUGCCUUUGUUCGCCGGAGAGAAUCCACGCAUCUGGCUUCGCAAGUGUCAGAAGUACUUCAUAACUUACCAAAUUCCACCAGAGCAGCAGAUGGAGGUAGUCGAAAUGUUCCUUGACAAUAAGGCAGAUGUAUGGUACCAAGGCAUCAAGGUAGAAUUUCCAGAUUUGUCAUGGCAGCAAUUUGCCAACAUGCUCAGCGAGAGAUUUGCAGAAAAAGGCACGCGCGAUGUGGUGGAGGAUUUCAAUAAGUUGCAACAAUCCGGAACUGUGGAGGAUUACCAAGAAAAGUUUGAAGAAUUGAAAUCACUAAUGCUGGUAAAGAAUCCUCACCUUUCUGAAUCAUACUUUGUUUCAAGUUUUAUUAGUGGAUUGCGAGAGGAAAUUAAAACCAUGGUAAAAAUGUUGAAACCAAACAAAGUGUCGGAUGCGAUGGAAUUAGCUCGAUUGCAGGAGGAAGCUUGGAAACUGCAGCAAAAGUCUGCUAAGCUAAUAACAAAAUCACCUGUUGAUCCCAAGUUUGGCCUGUUUAAGAACACUGCGGCUGUUUCCAAUGCCUAUAAGGUUCCACCAUCUAGUAUGCUAAAAAAUGAAAAUAAUGAAGCCACGCCAACUAGGAGGAUAUCUCCACAGGAGAUUCAGUUUCGGAGGAACAAUGGACUGUGUUUUAAAUGUGGGGAGCGUUAUGGUGCCGGACAUCAGUGUAGGAAUAGACAGCUGAAUAUGAUGGUAGUCGAGGAAGAAGACGAAGGGGAAUUCCUAGAUGCGGUAGGGGAGCAAGAUGAAAAAACGGGCAACCCAGGGGAAUUGAUGGAUGUAUCCUUACAUACACUCUCGGAAGCGUUGAAGAGGAAGACAAUCACUCUCCGAGGAGAAAUCAAAGGCUUUCCUGUGUACAUUUUAGUAGACACAGGUAGUUCAGAAACCUAUAUUAGCCAACAUCUGGUCAGAACUCUAGAAUUACCAUAUGAAGUCACUAAUCCUUUCACGGUGGUCAUUGGAGAUGGUUCGAGUGUGACAGGGUGCACCAAGUGUCCAAAAGUGCUAUGGUCCACAACAGUCACAAAUUCUGUUUUGACAUGAGGAUUAUGGAGCUAGGAGGGUGGGACAUGAUCUUAGGAGUGGAUUGGAUGACCCAUUAUAGCCCCAUCACCUUUGAUUUCCACAAACUACAUAUAGCUAUUCACAGUGAAGCAGAAGAAGUGAUCCUGCAGGGAUGUGUAGUGGAGGCUGAACUUAAUCUAUUGAGGAAUAAGGACCUACGAGACUACAUCAACUACAAGCACAGUUGUUACAACCUAACAUCUGAGCUCCAGCAAGGGAGCCCAGAUACCGACACACCAGCAGAGGUAAAGGAACUAUUGGAUAAGUACAGAGAGGUCUUUGCUGCUCCUACAGGGUUACCACCUGAGAGGAAUCUGGAUCAUUCCAUACCUCUUAAGGCUGAUGCUCAUGCCUUCAAAAUCAAGCCCUAUAGGUAUCCACACUCACAAAAGGCUGAGAUAGAGAGACAAGUCAUGGAAAUGCUAGACAGUGGGAUCAUUAAACACAGCAAUAGUCCCUAUGCCUCACCUGUGCUGCUUGUUAAAAAAAAGGAUGGAACCUGGCGUUUUUGUGUUGAUUACAGGCACCUGAACAAACUAACUAUUAAGGACAAAUACCCUAUCCCUAACAUUGAGGAGCUGAUAGCUGAGUUGGGAGGAUCUAAGUACCACUCCAAGAUAGACCUGCGAGCUGGUUAUCAUCAGGUGCGAGUCAAAGUCCAGGACGUGCACAAGACUGCCUUUCAGACCCAUGAAGGACAUUAUGAAUUUCUGGUGAUGCCCUUCGGGUUAACCAACGCACCAGCCACCUUUCAGGCUUUGAUGAAUCAGGUUUUUCAGCCUUACCUACGCAAGUUUGUAUUAAUAUUUUUUGACGACAUAUUGGUUUAUAGCAAGGACUGGGACCAGCAUGUACAGCAUUUGGAGGUGGUGUUAAAAGUACUGAAGGCAAACCAGCUCUAUGCGAAGCUAUCUAAAUGUUCUUUUGCCCAGCAAAGGAUUGAAUACUUGGGGCACAUAAUCUCAUCAGAAGGAGUGAGUAUGGAAGAUGAGAAGAUAAAGGAUGUACUAAAUUGGCCUACACCCAACUCAGUUAAGGCCUUGAGAGGAUUUCUAGGCCUUACUGGUUACUACAGGCGAUUCAUCAAGCAGUAUGGCAUCAUAUGCAGACCGUUGACAAACUUACUCAAGAAAGAUAGCUUCUGCUGGAAUGAGCAAGCAGACGCUGCCUUUCGAGAACUGAAGCAAAUCAUGUGCUCUUCCCCAGUCCUAAGGCUACCAGACUUUGAGAAACCAUUUGUAAUCGAAACAGAUGCUAGCAAUGGAGGUAUCGGGGCAGUUCUACAGCAGGAUUCUCACCCAAUAGCUUAUCUCAGUAGAGCACUCUCACCUAGAAAUUUGGGUUUAUCCGUCUAUGAGAAAGAAUUAAUGGCUCUAGUGUUAGCUGUGACCAAGUGGCGACACUAUUUGGUUGGACAUCACUUCAUUGUUAAGACUGAUCACCAGUCACUGAAGUACUUAUUGGAACAACGACUGACCACUCCCUUGCAACACAAGUGGUUGACUAAAUUGCUGGGUAUGGACUAUGAGAUACAAUACAAGAAAGGAAGUGAUAACAAUGCUGCAGAUGCUCUAUCCAGGAAGGUCUGCUAUGCCCAGGAAAAUCAACAAGAACACUCUAUACUGGCACUCUCUGCAGUUAGACCCAAGUGGAUGAAGGAUCUAUGUAGUAGCUAUGCAGGGGAUGACAAAUGGCAAUCUGUUAUAGCUCAGUGCUUGCUGGACUCACAAGCUGAGAGUGACUAUCAGGUUAUAGAUGGGAUAAUUAAGUAUAAAGGGAAGCUGGUUGUGGGAUCAGCCAACCAUAUCAGGAACUCCUUGCUCAAGGCAGUACAUGACACUGCUUUGGGAGGGCACUCUGGUCAGAGAGGGACUUAUCAGAAGCUAAAGAGCUCAUUUUAUUGGGAAGGGAUGAAGCAAGAUGUGGCCAAGUUUGUCAGCUCUUGUGAGGUAUGCCAGAGAUGCAAACAUGAGAAUGUGCCGUAUCCAGGCCUGUUGCAGGCCUUGUCUAUUCCUGAUAAAGCAUGGUCUCAUCUUACUAUAGACUUCAUCGAGAAGUUGCCUAUUUCUCAGGGGUUUGACACUGUCCUUGUGGUUAUCGACCGGUUCACUAAAUAUGCUCAUUUCUUGGCACUCAGGCAUCCUUUCUCAGCCACACAGGUUGCACAGCUUUUUCUAGACAAUAUAUACAAGUUGCAUGGAUUACCAGUGUCCAUUGUAAGUGAUAGAGAUAAAGUCUUCACUAGCAAGUUUUGGCAAGAACUCUUUAGGCUAAUGGGGGUGGAAUUACAUCUGAGCUCUUCCUACCACCCCCAGACAGACGGGCAAUCUGAGAGGCUUAAUCAAUGCCUGGAGAAUUUUUUGAGGUGUAUGACUAGUGAACAUCCCACUCACUGGCAUAAAUGGUUGUCAUUGGCAGAGCUAUGGUACAACACUACGUUCCAUUCAGGGUUACAAGCCACACCUUUUGAAGCCCUCUAUGGUUACAAGCCAACACACGUACCACUGGGGCCUUACCAGGACACUAUCAUACCAGGAGCAAAGGAUUUGGUACAGGAAAGAAUUAGAAUCUCUCAGUCUAUCCGGGAACAACUGGACAAGGCACAGCAAAGGAUGACUUAUUUUGCCAACCAGCACAGAACUGAAAGGACUUUAGCAGUUGGAGACUAUGUGUUCCUUAAGCUGCAACCCUACAGACAACAGUCCUUAGCUAUCAGGAAAAGUCUCAAACUAGCAGCCAAGUAUUAUGGCCCCUUUGAAAUUCUGGAAAAGGUGGGGCAGGUUUCCUACAGACUCAAGUUACCGGAAGGAGCCAGGAUACAUCCAAUAUUUCAUGUGUCCCUACUUAAGAAAAAGAUUGGGCCAGAUCAGCAUACCACUCCCACCAUGCCAGAGUUUGACAUGCAAGAUCAGUGCAUAUUGGAACCUGAAGCAAUCCUUAAAAGAAGGGUUAUUCUCAGAAAUGAUCAACCUGUGAUACAAUAUCUGAUCAAAUGGACUAAUAUGGAUAGUGAUGAAGCUUCGUGGGAGGAUGCCUCUGUCAUUAGCCAUCAGUUUCCACUUUUCCAGCCUUGAGGACAAGGCUGAUCAUAAGGAGAGGGAAUUGUCAGGAAUGGAAGGACUUAAGUGUAAUUAGUGAAAAUUAAAUACCUAUAUCUGUUUCUGUUAGGUUGGUUACUCAGGUGGUUAGAACUAAUGAUGUCAGCAGCUCAGUUAGUUAGUAGACGGUUAGCUAGCUAAUCUCCUUAUAAGGAGCUCAGUACACGAGAUGAGAUUAUUAGCAGAAUAACAAAUUGAUUCUUAUUUCUCCCCCAAUUUCUUCUCACUUUACUCUUCUUCCUCAUUUCUUAUUCUUCCUAAAUUCCUUCCUCUCUUCCCUGCGCCUACGACAUCUCAGUCUCAGGAAUUCUACUUGAAUUCCUGACACCCCUUUUAUUGACGCGGGAAACCGAGUCAAGUUAAAGAACCGCUCGUUUAACGGCAGCAAACGGAAUCUCUUUGAUCGUUUUCCAUUUCUCUUCUCUUGCUUAGGGGCCGUUCGGCGGAUCCUUCCAUUCCCCCAAACACCCAAUGAUUUUCACUUUUCAAAACCAUUAACCACAGGUUUAAUCCUUCCUACUCUGUCGGUCUAAAAAUUCUUAUUCUUUACUCAAAAUUUAAAAUUAUUUUUCUAAAUUUAACAUGCAUCCAAAGAAAAGGUGACUCCAUUCAAAAAAACAUGGAAGUGGAGAAAGAAGCAUGAGUGCUAAGAAGGAACUCAGAAAAUGAUGCAAAUUUCUUGCAGAUAAAGCAGUUCUUGAAUUAUCAUCACACUUUGUUCCUAGUCGAAUUUACUACCUAGAACUCUCAAUAUAGAAACCAAAGCGAAGCUUUUUUUAUUAUUUUUUUCACACCCUUUUCGAAGAGAAGUAACUAAUCACAAUCAUGUAAAUCUGCAGAAGCAAACAUGACGGAGGGAGUUUAUGCAACAUCUUCCAUCACGAACAAUGGGAAGUUCGGAGUACCUAGGAAACCAUCUUAAAGAAAUGAAACAACUGUUGCAGCAGCUUUAGAUGAAAUUGAAAGGCUGCAGUCAAAGUUUUUUUUUUAUUAGCUAAUUAAACUCGAAACAAUUAAGAAAAAAAAAAAGAAGACAAGUUCAAGUCCAAAUAAGCAAGCUGGUACGUACACUCCUGUGCUAGUGUAUUUUCAUGGAAUUCCCUAAUCAUUUCUUAUUAAUGCACUCAACAGUAGCUCUUGAAUCUUGUCGAUGAAAUUAAGCAUCUUCUCCUCACCCUCCUUGUCUGGAAGGAUAAGAAAUCAAAUAACCAAAUCAAUUUGGUCUUUUUUUUUUUUUAGAAGAAACCAAGUGAUGAUGCAGGAGCACAAAAGUGGCUAGUAUAAAAUGCAUAUAAUCAAAUAUUCGCAGAAGUAAAAUUAAUCAGAUAUGGAUGUAUAGAAGCAAUUGUUCGAAAUUUAGGCAGGAAAAUUAAAGAAGGAAAGCAACAUUUUGUAGGGAAAUGAGAGCAAUAUAUAAUAUGGAGAUAGUUCACAGAAUUUUUAAAAUAGGAAAGGGCAUGGUGAAGUGAAGUAACCAAAAAAAAAAAAAAAACAAGAAAGAAAGAUGGCAUAGAGAUGGAAAAAACAACUCAAGAUAAAUGAGAAGUCCUAUAUAUUCUCAUUUUUCCUACACCUAAUGAGCCAGGUUUAGCCAGUUAAAAGUUUUCCUUGUCUCUAGAGCACAAUUUAUAACUUAAUUCAUCCUAAAGCAUUUUACUCUCAUUUUCUUAAAUUCUAAUCCCUGUGAUUUAAUUUGCCAUCAUCAAAAGGUGGCCUAAUUCGAUCGAAGAUCGUUCAUCAUCAGUUGAUGGAAUCAUGCUUGUAUGGUAUGAAUUACACUCCUUGACAAACAGAUUAAUGUUGAGCAAAGUAAUUAAAUAUUAUUUCUGGGGUACGUAAAAUUAAAAAAAAAACCAACAAUUUUAAGAUUAACAUAAGUGUUAAGAUGAAACUGAAAACCAUCUUAAACAAAUGAAACAACAAUAUAUAGCAGCUUUAGAUGAAACUGAAACACUGUAAAAACACCUUCUGUUACAUUACAUAUUUAGGCUCGAAACCAUUAGAAAAAGGACAAGUUCAAACUGCAACGAAGCUGGUACACUCCAGUGUAUUGUUGUCAUGGAAACCCUUUAUCUUCUCUAACUCCGCCCUAUAAUAGCUCUUGAAUCUUGUCAAUGAAACUAAGCAUCGUUUCCUCACCCUCUUUUUCUGGAAGUAUUAGAAACACUCGAGUCAAUUUUGUGUUUGUAUUAGAAGAAGCCAAAGUGAUGAUGUAGCUGAACUGCAGUGGUUAAAAAACUACAGCAGAAGAGCAAAAGUAAUAUAAACUGCAGAUAAUUUAUUACCGGCAAAGUUUACAGGGAUGCGUAGAAGGUUUGUUUUUUUUUUUUUGUUUUUGUGGGAAUUUUGGGCAAGAAAAAGGAGAAAAUAACAGUUUCCACGGAGAUGGGAACAUAUGCAUAAAAUUAGAAACAAUGCAAUAAAAACGAUUAGAAAAUGUUGCUCACCUAAUUUUGGUACCGUGUGACCCUCAGGGUAGUAAAUAACCAUGGGAUCAACGAAGGAAGACAACAAUGCUAUGCCUUCCUCCUUCAAGAAAUCCGCCUCUCCUACAAGCAAAUCAAUUGUGUGCUAAGAUUAGUAUCAAAAUGCUUAUACAAAUGAUGAUAUUUCUUUUCUGAAGAUCAUAUUAGUACCUAUGAAAUGGAGAGAAGGGCACUCGAGAGGAAUCGAGAAUGCCUUCUCAGCCAAUUUGGGGAUCCCAAUUAAUAUGCCACCUCCAAAUUUUGCACCUGAUAAUAUUAUGACAAAUUUGAUCUUGGGAACUUUGGUAAGUGCUACUCCAUCCCUUUGUAUCCCCGGAAAAGCAGCUGCCAAAACACCCCCCUAUUUAAAAAACAUAUAAUUAUCAACGUACUUAAAAAUUGCACUCCAACCAAUAAAGAAUCAAUUGCAGUUUUUUUUUUUAUUAUUUGAAUAAAAUCCCACGAAAAUCCAUAAAGAAAAUCAAAAGCUCGUAAAAGUCCAUAAUCGCCUACCUGAGAGAAACCAAGUACCCAUCAAAAGGUCCAUGUUUAAUCAUAUAAUCCUCCAAGUACUCUAGACAUUCUUCAAAGUUAUAGCAUUCUGUGUAACUCUACCAUAAAAGAAAACAACGAAUUUUAACUGCACGAAUGAAUAGAUAUUUUCACUAUGCAGAAAUAAUAUUUCCAAGUACAUAAAUUUGACCUUGUCACUUUGGAACCACUCGAAGAAUGGAGGAUCAAAGAUGCCUUCAACGGCGGACUUGUCUUGAGCUGGAUAAGGUGCAUCGAGGAAGUCGACAUCUAGUUUAUCAAGAACAUUUUCUGGCCAUCGCAGGAUCAGUUUCUUGAGAAUUGCAGCACUUGUUCUGAAUCCAUGAAGGCAGAGAAUUCUUGGUUUUCUUUGGAUUUGAUCAUUUUUCACUUCAGCUACAACAUGGUCUUCGAUGUUGGCCAUGACAAGUUCGUUGACUUGUUCCAAUGUGGCCGGCGAAGUACUGAGUGAAGAUGUGGCAAUUUACAGCACCCCGCCCCAGAUUGCUUUCUUAGCAGAAACGUAAUUGUUCUGCUACUACUUAUAUUUCGCAGUAAAUGGAACAUUAUUUUAAGAUUGACCGUACUUGUAACAGUGGGACCAAAACAAUGGAAGAUGAUAGGAUAUUAGGGUUGGACCAACAGUAAAAAAGUUUCCAGCCUUUGAAAACAAACGUAUGAAUACGAGUUAAAGCAGUUUUUGGUUGAAAAGCAACUUGCAAAUAACUUUUCGUUGACUGUAACAGAAAAUAGUGCAAUAACCAAAAAAUAAUAAUAAUUUGUUGUCAUUGUAGUAUUAAGACUUGAGAGCAAAUUAACGAGCUACUCAAAUUAAGUAGGUGUUUGGUUUGUAUCCUGCAAUCGGAAUUAGAAUCGUAAAUCCCAUCAUGCAUAUGGGUAUUGAUCAUUUUCCCUUGCGCAUUCGAUUUGAAAGCGGGAUGAGAUUCAUUCUAUUAAAGAGUUAAUCAAUUUGAAUCCUAAAUUAUAAGUAGAGAAUGAUGAUGGAUAAAAACUAGCACUUCCAUUCCCUUACAAUUACUCUCAUGAUAGUGGUAUGCCGAAUAAUAGGGUGAUGCCCAUUUUUGCUCCUCAUAAUCAUUUCCCAAACAACCCCCACAUGUGUACUUAUUUUUUCUAAUUUCCCAACAACCCCCACAUGUGUACUUAUUUUUUCUUUGGCACAUACUUUGAACUAGUAAAUCAGGUUUUCCGUUUUUGUUAGGAUGUAGAAAUUGAUUUCAAGAUUAACAUUGGCCUUCUUUCUAAAGAAAAGAGUCAAUUUUGUCUAUUUGCUUCAAUCCCACUAUCCAAGUAUGUUUUAGCUGAUGAAUUUUGAUCAUGUAUGAUCAAUUAGAGGUUUUAGGUUCAAAUAUGACUACAGGUGGAAUUAUUUUUAUAGAUAUUAAUCUUCAUCCUACAAUAUGUGGGUUAAUAGUCGUAACGUUAUUGAAUUACACCAUUUUUGGUGUAUUGAUUCCACUGUUUUGGACUCUUGUAAUCAUAUUUAAAAAAAAAAAAGAAGCUUAUGUUUCGAACCUUUUGGGGACUUUAAUAAAUUUCUUCCUAUUUCCGUUAAUAGAUGACAGGGCAAAAGGCCCAUAAGUAAUAGAUAACAAAAUGGCCCAACAUCUGACUAUUUAAAUCAUUGCUUCUUGCCCGUCUACAUCAUUAGGCCAUCUAAUUCUGAAUUUCUUUUGGACUUCUUGACCCAAAAGAAGGAAAGCUUUCAGCCGGGGUCCUCCACUUAACCCAUAUUUGACACUCUCCGAAAGCAAUAAUAAGAAUUUGAAUUAAUCUUGUAUAUAUUGAUAUUGUAUAUAUUAUUUAUAAUACAUAUAUAUAUAAUUUAAAUUAGUUGUUAUGCAUCUAUUAUUGAUGAUAGUAUAUACAUUAUUAAUGUGUAAAAAAUUAUUUCUAAGUUGCCAUAGGAAGCCUUUUUAUUCAUUUUGGAGAGUUUUACGUAUUAUCUCUUGCCUAUUUAAGUUACUUUUAAACAGUGCUAUAAAAGAUGCGACAACAAAUCUAUCUUUUUCCUAAGAAAACCGUCUUAAAUUACAAUAUUUGUUAACACUCUGUUGAAAUUUACAGGAUUAAGCAUUUAUUUCAUCUCUCAAUAAAUGCUUUAUUUACAGCAUUCUCUACUUUUUGUUUGCAAUAUCAGGCGAUUCAGUCAAAAACAGGAAUAUCAUUGACAUAGUCUAACUUGCUUCCUUCCUCUCAUAAUUGCAAUGGAUGGAUGUACAUUGAUGAUUAGUGCGGCUGAUUCCAACAGGUUGUCACGUCCAUGACCAAGCCACUAAUUAGGAUGAGUAGUGACGUUUGAUCUCAGAUAAAACUUAGAAAAUCUCUUUAAUGAUAAGGCUUACAACCAAGGGAAUAGUUUACUUUUCUGAAAAACCUAGAAAAAAAGUUUUUUUUUCCCUUUUCUGAAGGGCUGCGGUGGUUGGAGGAGGAGGGAGUUUCAAUAGAAUACAUGAGAACUUGACCUUCCAAACAUAUAUACCUGCAUUUGUUCAAAAAAAAAAAUCAUAUCUGAUUUUUUGUUAAAUUUUUUCGAGUAGGAGAAGGGUAAGAUUUAAAAAGUGGAGAGAGAUAUAGAAGAAUUAAAAUUUAGAUGAGGUCUUAAUUUUAAUCAUUAGACCAAGACUUCCUCAGCGCAUAACUGCAGUUGUUUAGGAAAUAUGUUCAAAAACAUUCUUUUUCCAGGUAUUAUUAUGGGACGUGAGGAUAUGAGAGGUCUUAAUUUUAAUCACUAGACCAAGACUUCCUCAACGCAUAACUGCAGUUGUUUAGGAAAUAUGCACAAAAACAUUCUUUUUUCAGGUAUUAUUAUGGGAGGUGAGGAUCUGGGGUGUUAAAAUCUGUUUGGUUGACUGGGAUUUUAAUCUCGUAAUCAUGUGACGUGUAGUUAGGAAAAGGAAAACACGGUGUCCCAGCUGGAUUUGAAGCAACUAAGCAAAGCAUGUUUGGUUUUAAAACUCCAUUAAUUAGCCACAGAUUAUUGGUCUUAUCCUCUUUUUCUGGUUAUUAAAUCGAGAUCCAAAGAUAAAAAUAGUAAAAGAUAAGCCGUCCAUCUUGUUUUCUUGCGUAGACCUUAAUGCAGGCGUACCCUAAUUCUGUGUUUGAGAAAGUCUUGCCAAUUCUUUCCGGGGUAGGUAAAUCUGCAAGCUGAGUAGGCCUGUGGGGUGGACGUUAUUAUGGUAAGGUGUUUUUCACUCGUCAGCUUUAGCAAAUCGACCUUCUAAAUCUAAAGACUUUGUCCAAUGAAAAUAAAGUGUUUCUGGGAUUUUAACUGAGGACUUGUUUUUGGGGACUGGGGAGGACCAGGUAAAAAUACAUAGGCAAUAACUUGAAGAUUGAUUGUCCAAUUUACGUUGCUACGUGUGCCUUUAUCUUUGUGAUCGUCUUCCACAGAAUUCUAGGAAGGGUUCUAUCAGUACUGAAUCGUAGUACUGUGUUGAGAUCCUAACGGCCAACUGAAAGUAACAAAAAAAAAAAAGGAUGCUUCAUUUAUGAUGUCAUUGCUGAUUCUUGCAUGUUAACUUCAUACAUGAUGUAAAAAGUUUCAAUUUGAUUUUUGCAAAUUUUUGAGCUCUUUAUUUUUAAAAUAAUGCAAUUUGAUUCCUUACAUACGAGGCUUCGUACUUUUUUUCUCAUUCACUUUUACGAUAGUGUCGUGUUUCGCAAGGGAUCUUUUAUCCCACUUCUCGCACGUUCACAUAUUCAAAAUGCACAAUUUUUAUAACAGUUCUCAUUUCUAGCUACUUUGUCACUUUAAAUUCUAGUUUUAAACUAAAUUGAGUCAAGGUGUUCUACACUCGUCAGCUUUAGAAAUUGACAGUCUGAAUCUAAAGACUUUGUAAUACGUGUUUCUGGAAUUCUAAGGUUGGUCUGGAUAUCCUGAGUCAUCAUGGCUGAAGUGAAAUCGCAGAUUUUUUUUUUUUUUUUUUUUUUGGGGAGGACCAGGUAAACUAGGCAAUAGAGGACUGACUUUUGUUUUCUUUCUUUUUUUUUUUUCGACACAGGGGUGUCCGGGUCAAUCCUUACGGGGCCCGACUAAUCCCCUGCGGCCUGGAUCCGGCGCCCCAACCGGCCUGAACGCGUUAAGUGUGCGGAGGAAUCCAGCGGAGCGGAGACUCGAACUUGUGACCUCAAGAUUCACUGGUGAGACAAUAGAAGACUGACUGAUUGUACAAUAUUUGUCCAAUUUACGUGGCUACAUGUGCCUUUACUUUAAGACCUUCUUCCACAGAAAUCUAGGAAGGGUGCCAUCAGCGCUCAGUAGUACUGGUCUCGAGAUCCUAACGGUACUGAAAGCAAAAAAUUGUAAGCUUCUUUCAUGAUGUCAUUGCUGACCCUCCCAUGUUAACUUAAUAUAUGAUGUAAACAUUUUCAUUGAAAAAUUUUGCAUUAAGUGGUAGAGGUCAACACAACAAUCACCACAAUUGAAAUAAUGAUGUUGGUUUAAACUUUAGUAAAGAUUAAGCUAUAUAACUCAAAGGGCUUAUUUUCAGUUGAUUAUUUUAAUUGAUUAUAAAUUUUGAUUUUAGAUAAUUCGUUUUUGUGAUGUUUUCGAUUGCUGAUUAUAUAUUUUUUUAAUCACUAAAAAAGUUAAAAAUCCAUAAUUAACUAAAAAGUAGAUUUUGUCGAUUCUAUUUAUUUUUUAUAAUCAAAUUUUGUAAAAUUUAAAACAACCGAGAACAAAGCCAAAAUCGUGUUUAGCAAGAAAAAAAAAUUUUAAUUUUACUUGUUAUGUGCAAGAGCAAAAGAGUAACAAUAUACAAGUUUCUUUUCCAAAUACGGUUACCAGCCUUUACGGCAAGAAAGAUGACAAAGAUGCAUAUACAUUGAAUCAGUGCUGAACUUCCAUUUUUGCUAACUUGAUGUGUUGGUACCAUAAUUUUCAAUGAAGGGGAAAAGAAUUCCGGAAGUUCAUAGUACAGGCAAAGCACAUAUAAUUGUAGUCAAAAGUUGGUCACUUUUCCAAUUGGUUGGUAAGGAAUCCUGUAUUGCUACUUCUUUGCGGUGGCAUCACGGGCCAUUUUGUAUUUCAAUUGGUAAAUUGGAAGCGAUCAUGAGCCGAAUUCUUGGUUGAGUUAAAGUUUCAAUUGAUCUGGUCGAGCUUUGAUGUCGACUGGAACUCACCACGGAUCCAGUUGGUUGAUGAAAUAAAACUGAAGUACAAAAAUACUCGAUCGUUUAACUUUCCAAAAUUUGCAAUACAUCCUUUUCUGUAUCCAGAUCAAGAAAGCUUUUUUGUCUUUUUGAAUGGGCACAAGCCCUAAUCAUAUAGAAGUUUGAUUUAUCAGAAGGGGUAACGAAAGGCUUUAAGGUUACCUUAACUUCUUGCACCCGAAACCAAGGUUUAUUACAAGAAGCUUAUUUUUAGUUUUCUUUUUCCCCUAAAACGUAAUUCUCCAAAGAGGAAUUACCAAAAUCAAAUCACAUUACAAAAACUGCAACUAAUGGCCCAAAUGCAUCUCCAAUUUUUAGUAACAUUCUCUAGUUGCAAUCAAGAAUUUCCAGCUACAUUAUUUGAAAUUCCUAUGGGGGUAUAUAACAACAUUUGGCUGAGCACUUGCCUAGUUAGCAAACAUCUUAAUUAUAUGCUAUAGUCUGAUGUAUCUUCUUGGUGAGAUACAUGCCCUUUGCAACACAUUACAGUAUUUCUGGCUGUAAGGAAUCAAAUGGUACCUGUGAACCUAACACACUUCUCAUCAGGCAGUGCACUUCUUGAUAUAUUAGGAUGCUCAUAAAGCAAGGUUUGAGUUGCUGUUAUCAGAUAGUAUUAUAAUUACUAGGUGCCUGACAGCUUUUGCCAGCUUCUAGCUUAAAUCAUACUACUAUUUUGGAUCACCAGUAAUAAUAAACUGAAAUCAAGAUAACCUAUGAUUGGCCUAGCCAGUUAAGUCCCCUUGACUGACUGGAUUUAUAAGGUCCAUGAUACCUGGUUGCCUACCACACAAAUAGUCCGACAAAAACCCUUCUUGACAAUUUUCUUAUGAUUGUUUAAGGGUGUAUGUUACUGGGAAGUUCACAGUAGUUGGUGAGUUUAAGGCUUUCAAUUUUUUUAAAUCAUCAUGUACAAAGCACGAUGCAUGAAGUACAAAGAGGUAAGGAUUUUGGACAACUUUCUGAGAUGGAACGUGUUGGUUGUUUCUGAUUCACAUGGGGUUGUUUAAUAAUUUCUCUACCCCCCAAUAAUCCAUCUCUUAAACGGCUACAAUACAGCUAAUCCUGACCAGAACCAUAAACAAUAGUGAUCAAUCUUUGUUAAUUAGUAUUUCUCUUCAUGGCUUCAUCAUGCCUCCAAUCCCAAUAUCUCUUCACGUGUAAUGGGACCCCUAUUCGAAUUAACACCUAAUAAUCAUUUUGGCUCAAAAUGAUCAAAUACGUCCAUGCACACUUGUCUGCAGAUUAAAAUGGCACUAAUCAUUGAAACCUUGGUUGUGUAUAUACUUCUCAAUUCAGUUGAAAUCUUGGCUGUAAUUCUCAGCGUUUAGUUGGAACUGAUAGCCUCUAUUGAUAUGGAAAUUAAGCAUUCUGGAUAAAUACAGUAAUUUGACCGUGAGCCGAUUCUCUUAGUAAAUGCCCUGUACACUACGGAAAAUAGAAUGCGAACAUCAAUUAUUUUAGCAUUUGUCCAUGAGCAGAUAAUGACAUUUUACUUACCAUGAGAAAAUGACCAGAUCCACAUCACAAUUUCUUGAAGUUGGUCAGGGCUUAAGAGCUGGUGCACAAUUGCAUGCUGCGUAUGAAAUUGGAACAAGACAAAAAAGAUUACUUGACUGAGUCUACCAAAAGCCAAUCAUAGCAUCUAAACACGCUCUAUGAAACAGCUGUCUAAUGACGAUUUUGUACUCAAUCUAAUCUCCAUUUCCAUGAAGCUUCAAGAAGUAGUGUUUGAGAUUUAUCCUUUCCUUAAACCCUUUUAAAAGCUUGUCCAUUUCAUGAAUAAUACCUCUCCACCUAUGACUAUGCAAUAUUAAAAGAGAAUGCUACAGAGGAACAAACACAUCAUUUUCUAUUAAAGCUUAAUUUUUGUUAUUUAUGGAGUAUAAUAAUUAAGUAUUUUUGUAUGACAAAAUACAAAAAAGUUGUGCAAGUUCAUCGGGUUAUACGUACCAAGAAAAUACAUUGCGUAUAAUUUUACCUUAUUCAAAUAUUCAUCCUCUCAUCGAAGAAAAUAUUUAUACUUAAGGUCCAACAACUUAACAAACUGUUAAUAACAAAAUUUAAAUGUACAUUUGAAGGUGUAUGCAUAUCCAAAACUAUGCUUUUAAUUUCUUGUUACACGAAUUAAUGUUGCACUAUCCGGUACAACUUUGAUAAAAAUAAGAUGUGAUUUACCAACUAUCAAUGAAUAUUAUACUUACUAGGGAACAUGUGUCAUCCCAAUACAUAGUCUAACACAAAUAUGAAUGUCAAUUGAUAUUACAAAAAUUAUAAUAUCAUCAAUUGUUUUCACCGCUCUAAAAAAUUUAUCCCAUAUGGUAAAGGAUUUUGGAUUUUGACUGUAAAUAAUUAAAAGAAGUUAAAAGGAAUCUUAGCAUUAUUGAUAAAGAGCCUCGCUCAAGUCUCUUCGAACCACCACUCCCCCCUCUCCCCACAAAAAAAACACCAAAACCCCACCAAUCCAGCAUCUUUUUGUAUAUAUAUACUCUUCACAGUCCUCUCUAUUCAAGCUUAGACUCUUAUUACCUUCUCUCUCUCGCUCUCUCUUUUUCAGCACAAAAAAGAAGCUUGCUUUGUUCUCUCAAAGCAUAAUUAGGCACCAACAAUGAAUACUCCAUCAGGGUUUAAGCUUUUCUUGCUCUUGGCUCUUUUCACCACCUCAUGCAUGGCACAAGCCCCUGCAGCCACCCCAAAAGUCUCACCCACAGCUACACCUACUCCAGCACCCUCCAAAACUCCUGUACCAGCUCCGGCGCCUCAUGCUCCGGCUCCGGCUCCAACUCCCAUCACCACACCAACCCCAGCACCUGCCCCUUCUACCACUAAAACCCCCUCCCCUGCACCCUCUGUGGUUUCACCCCAGCACCUACCCCAGAAGCCGGCACUUCUCCGGAAGCCAGCACUCCUGGGGCAGCCGGGCCCUCGGCUGAGGCACCACCUUCACCAAGUGGCUCCUCCCUUCAGGGUUGGGCCAGAGGGCCGUUAUUGGUGGAACUGCGGUCAUUGGAACACUCAUCGCCGUGGCUUUGAUGUAAGAGCCACUGGGGGGACACGUGGAGGCUCAUUGACGUUUAGAUCUGCACUUCGAUUCUUAUGGACGGUUGAGAUUUAUUUAUUUUCACCUUUGUUGCAUUGAGUAGUAUUUUUCUUUUCCUUUUUUUUUGUUAUUUUGGGAUAUAUUUGUCUUAUUAUUAUUUUUUUUCCAUUUGUUCUCACAUUCGGGGAUUUGACUUAUUAGGCCCGAUCAUUUGUGUUGAUUAUUCGGGUGAUACAUGACUCUUGUGUUGAUACUUUCAUAUUUCUAGAUGAGUCCCGUGUACAUGAAAUAAUUUUUAUUCAAUGGAGUUCCUAUUCUUUUCAAUAA